AAAAAUCUAUUGCCAAACUUGGGUAUAUUCAAUGCUAGACCAAUAGAUAGAAUCACCAAAAAUGGAAAGGACAAUAUAGUUGAUAAAGUUAAUGAUUCCUCAAAUAAUGCUGAUGACACGAUAAAAGUUCAUAUGGAAAAGAAAAGAGAUGGCACUAGAGAAACAAAUGACAAACCCUCAAAUAAAGAAAUUCAGUGGCGCAAAAGUGAUUCUGCAGCAGGGAAGAAAUUGAAAAAGAAGUCAAAAGAGCAAGAAAGGGAGCUUGAUGCUAUUAAUGAUGCAAUGAACUCUGGAGGCAUUGUGCCUGGUCGAAACAAAGAUGGCGAUCUAAAUAGUUCUAGAGAUGUUGAUAUGGAGAAAGAUCUGAAGCCGAAGAGAAAGAAAACCAGUGAAAAUCUCUCAAACAAAGACAUUCAAGUUGACGAUGAUGAUAACAGAUUUAAAAAGAAACAGAAGAAACAGUCAAAGGAGAAACAAGGAGAACUUGACAUUAUUGACAAUCGAGAAGCCGCUUUCACAGAGCUCUUCUCUGCCAAUAUUGCAGGAAAGUGGUCAUUUGAUGAUAGCAGGCUAUCCUCAAAUUCAUUAUAUUUUUUUUGUUUGUUAAUAUCAUGAUUGAUAUUUUGUUCAUUUCUUAUGUUGUCUUUCUCUGUCUCACUCUCUGAAUUGCCUAGACUCUCCCGGCCGAGUUGGCUUUUAAUAAGAAGCUUCAAAAUUUAGACUUAGGAAAGAACUUGAUCACGAGAUGGUCAGAAUUGAAGGUGAGGCAUUGAAAUAUUUGUUUCUUUUAUAUUUGUUUUCAUCAAGUUUUUUCUGUAUACUUCAUCACCAUGCAUAAUGGUAACAUGCUUGAAUAGCAGGUGCUACAGUCAUUAGUUAGUCUGAAUAACCUCAAUCUACAAGGAAACCCUGUAGCUGAAUAUGAUAAAUUGGCAAAGAAGGUAAUAUCGCAAUCAUUUUAUCAUGUUAAUCAUCUUUCAAGAAUUCUGCUCCUAGCUGGAUUAAUCUAUGUUCAAUAUUGUUGCAGGUCAAAAAUCUAUUGCCAAACUUGCAUAUAUUCAAUGCUAGACCAAUAGAUAGAAUCACCAAAAAUGAGAAGGACAAUAUAGUUGAUAAAGUUAAUGAUUCCUCAAAUAAUGCUGAUGACACGAUAAAAGUUCAUAUGGAAAAGAAAAGAGAUGGCACUAGAGAAACAAAUGACAAACCCUCAAAUAAAGAAAUUCAGUGGAGCAAAAGUGAUUCUGCAGCAGGGAAGAAAUUGAAAAAGAAGUCAAAAGAGAAAGAAGGGGAGCUUGAUGCUAUUAAUGAUGAAAAGAAUUCUGGAGGCAUUGUGCCUGGUCGAAACAAAGAUGGCGAUCUAAAUAGUUCUAGAGAUGUUGAUAUGGAGAAAGAUCUGAAGCCGAAGAGAAAGAAAACCAGUGAAAAUCUCUCAAACAAAGACAUUCAAGUUGACGAUGAUGAUAACAGAUUUAAAAAGAAACAGAAGAAACAGUCAAAGGAGAAACAAGGAGAACUUGACAUUAUUGACAAUGGAGAAGCCGCUUUCGCGGAGCUCUUCUCUGCCAAUAUUGCAGGAAAUCCUGAAUUUGAUGGUGACAAUAUGGUUAAUGAAGCUUCUAAAUUCAACUCAGUUGAUGGCUUAGUUACCUCUUCUGCUAAGAAGAAGAAAUCUAAAAACAGGGGUAUGGGUCUGACAGUUCAAUUGUCUCAGGAACCUGAAGUUGGAUUGGGUGGACCAUCAACUUGGGGUGAUGAGUGAUUGAUUAUACUGUGAUGGAGCUGCGUGAAUUAUUUGAAACUCUUUCAGUUGAGCUACUCUUCAUCUCUUAUUGAGUCUGAUAACUAUUCUUUGAGAAGCUUAACUCUCAGGUGUACUCCAUAAGUUUUGACGGUGAAACUUGCUUUUCUUUUAAGAUGGUUUCUGAUGCUUAACAUUCCAUUUUGCUUCUCGAGUCCAGCCAUCUCUAGUCUUUAAUGGAAUGCUAGCCUGGGUUGCAAUUUAAUGCUUGCCAUUGUUGCUAUGUGCUGCAAUUUCACAGUGGCCAAGACCUCAAUUGUACCUGUAUCAUCAAUGUGGGAAUCACCCUCGUGUUACACGUUUCUUGGAAGUAAAUUUGCUUGAAUGAUUGUCAAUAAGCCAGAACCAUAACUGUAUGUAGAACAUUCUUGUUUUGUCAUCCCAACUAUGUGGUUGAAAUCAUUUGGUUUGGCUUUGCUGGUCUCAGUUCAUCACUUUGGGUGUGUUUGAAUCAUAGGAUCACAGGCUAUUAAAAUACAGUUCACAUUAACUUAAUACCAAAGUUGUGUUUAUAAAAAAAUUGUAAUGGGUUAAAAGGGGUAUACUAAUGCGGAGUCGGGUUUAGCUAAUGCGACAGUUGCCACAUUAGUGUUUUGCUCUUGCUUUUUUAAAAAAAUAAAUAAUAAUAAAUAAAUAUUAUUUUUUAAUUUAAUUUAAUAUUAUUUUUUAUUUUCUUUUAUUUUUACAUCAUAAUUAUUAAUAUAAAUUUAUAAAUUUAUUAUUCAUAUUUUCUGCUGUACCGUUAUAAUAAUUAAUAUAUAAAAUUGAUUAUUAUUUAACAAUUUAAUAUAACUAAUAAUAAUUACUUAAAUAAUAAUUUAAUAUAUAACUAAUAAUAAAUAUUUGUAUAUGAAUAAAUUUAAAUAAUAUUAAUUUAAAAUUAAUACCAAUAAAAUAAUAAUGUUAGUAAAUAUUAUUAUGUUAUAAUCUGUUAAUACCAAUAAAAUAAUAAUAUAAAACAUUAUUACGUUAUGAUAUUAUUUAGAGAUUAUUUGAUUAAAUUAUAUCCUUCAAUCUUUAUUUUACACAUUAUAUAUUUAGAAAAUACUUAAAAAUGAAUGUUAUGUUGCCAAAAAUGUAAAGUUAUAAGUCUCGAUCUUUAUGAAAAAUUAUGAUAUUUUUUAAAAUUUAUGGUAAAAAAUAAUGUUAAAUUUUUAAAAUUUAAAACUUCUAUACUUAGUACUUUUGUAGGUACUAAAAAAUAUUAUUUUCUAAAUAUAUAAUUUAAAUUAAUAACAAAAAAAUAAUAUAUUAUAGUGUACCAACAAACAUUAUACAAUAUUAUUAUAAUACAGUAUUAAUGUAAUGGAGCAUAAUAUAAUACAUAUAUAUUCAAAUUAUGUAAUAUAAAAUAUUAUAAUACAGUAUGCCAAACGCACCUUUUGAAUACUAACAAUGUAUUAACGCCCUUUAUCCCAAUUGUGUAAUUGUAGCAUCACUUUUACAGAGAAUUGUUUAUUUACUAAAUUUAAGCCACGUCAUGGCAAUGAAUACCUCGCACCAGAGUACUGAAAGAAAAACAACACAAUAUUUCUCUUUGUUUCUUUUUUAAAUAGAAUUAUUACAAGUGAAUUAAAAAAGAAUAUCCCAACUUGUGUUGUGACGUUGAUGUGUUCCAUGGAGCAAACAUUUUCAUCCACUUUUCCUGAGAGGAUAAGGUCUUGGUCACAACUCACGCGUUAUGAUAUCUUGCAGGUAGUGACAAUCAAUCGCGAUGACUUCAUUAGACUUCCAAAAAAAAAUAAAAUUGAAAGUACUUUUCUUUAAUUUAAAAAAAGGUUUUAUACAAAUGAAUUUUUUUUCUUAUAAGCUUUCAUUUUAUUAUUUAUUGACAAAACAAGUAGAUCGCUAACAGAUAUUUUUAAAAGAAAAAGAAAAAAGAUUGGGGAAGUUGACAAAGUCUAUAGAUUCGUGACUUUUUAGGCUUUUAUCCCCCUCAAAACAUAGGUUUAAUCAAAGAAAAAUUACUUGAAAAUCAUUUUAAGAAUCCUCUUAUCUUACGAUUGUAUUUUGUAUUUAUAGAAAAAAAUAUUAAAAAAAUAACACAAUUUUUUAUAAAUUACGGUAUAUAUAUAUUUUUUAUCUUUUAAAAAGUAGAGAAUGAGACAGUUUAAAUCAAUUUUCAAUUCUCUACUUUCCUCUCUAUUUAAACUCAAGUGAUUAAUUAAAUUAAAUUACUUAAAAAACACUCCACCACACGCCUUAGGGCCCAUAAUUUUUUUUUUUAAAUCUAAAAGAUUGAGAGGGAAAAGAAAAAAAAAACGUCGACUGUUAUUCCUUUCUUAAUGAAAUGUUUGUGAAUGUAGGUCCUUGGUUCUUUGUCAUCCACUGCCUGGAAAUUCCCUUUUUCUAUCUUUUAUGCAUUUGUCUAUGGCCUACCAACCUUGACUUUUAGAAUUUAAUUCAUAAAUCUUGCUCAUUACAUUAAAGCAAAUCAACUUAUCCUAUGAUUGGAUUAACCAAAGAAUAACAUAUUCAAAAACUGAUCCACCUUUUAUCAUAUUUGUUUCAACAUUUUUAUUAGACCAAUUAGGCCUAACUCUUUUGCUUAUAAAUGAACCCAACAUUCAAACUCCAUUUUUAGGUAAAAAAUUAAGAAGCAAUGGCUUCUUCUCCUUGUCCCACAAAAUUUACAAGCCAUCAAGGCAUCACAACGUUGCUUCCCGACAUCAUUGAGACUCAUAUCUUAACCCGACUCGACGGCCAAACUCUUGCCGCCGCAGCUUGCACUUCAUCUCGUCUACACUCUCUAUGUGCACAAGAAAAACUCUGGCAACAUAUCUGCUCCUCCACGUGGCCUUCCUCUAACGACCCACGUGUACGAAACCUCGUCUCCUCUUACCCCGGAGGUGGUCACCGGUCUUUUUUCUCUCACUCAUUCCCGGUUCUUGAUUGCCAAAAACAACCCUCAAAACGCAUUCAUGAUGAUGAUUCUUUACUUGUCACCGAACAGAUAAUCUCGGCCGUUGAUCUUUACUACAGAAACGAUCCCGUCUUCUCUAGGGUUGCAGAAAAUGAGACAGUAACCGGCUGGUUUCAGUUCCCACCGUUCAGGAUUGACCUGGUCGACGCGAAAGAUUCCGUUCCGACAAAAAUACCCUUUGUGAGUGAAGCAAAUAUUCUGUUUGAAGAGCUUGAAAAGAACUUGACAUUGAGUUGGAUAAUAAUCGAUUCUAGCAGAAACCGGGCGGUGAACUUAUCCAGCCGGUGGCCGGUUUCCGUGCGACAAGACUGGUUGACACGUGAAUUGCACGUGAAGUAUGCGGUGAUGAUCCCCGCAGGUGGUAAUCAACGGUGGGGAUUGUUUCCGGCGAGGGAGUGCGUGGAGUGUGAGGUGAUGGUGACACUUGGGGGAAGGAGAAAGAAAGGAGAGGAAAUGUUAUACGUGAAAGAAGUGAACAUGCAAAUGAAGGAUAUGGAGGGGAGGAAUUUGAGUGGGAAGGAUGGUUUGGUAAUUUUGCAAGGGGUUAUGGAGAGUGGGAAGAGAACGAAUGGGAGGAGAGAGGUAGUGAAAGUGAGGUAUGAGGAAUUUUUGACGAGGAAAAUUGAUAGAAAAGAGAAAAAGGAAAGGGCAGAAAGGGUAUUGAAUAAUGUUUGUCUUGCCGGUGGGCUUGUAGUGCUCGCAGCUUUUUGGGCAUUCAAAGUGUUUUAGAUAAGAGAACAAGAAUUGUUAAUGACAUAUAUAAAGUCAUAGUACUGUGUAGAAGAAGAUGUGUAUAUAUAUACGUAGUUGUUUAUUGUUAAUUAAUUACUUUGUUUCACGCAAGUGAUUAGAACUUAUAAGAAUAAAAAUUAAUUUGAAUGUGUUUGAAUAGAAAAUAUAAAGUUGCCAUAGGCAGUGUUUACUUUCUGAAGUGAGAGUGAGGAGUGAGGAGUGUGGAUUCCUCUCACUCCAGUGUAUACUUCAACAAAAUAGAGAUGGAUUGGAAAUCUCACUCCAUGUGCCCCAUCCAUUUUUGGAGUGGGAAGUGAGAUUCCCACUCCCACCUCUUCCUUUUCUACCAUUUGUUUUUAAUUUAAUUUAAUAAAAUAAAAUAAUUUAUAAUUAUAUUUAUUUAAAUAAUAUUAUUAUAUUUAACUAAAUAAUAAUUUACAUUGAUUAUAAGUUAAAAUUACUUAAAAAUAAUAUUAUUAUAUUAAUAGAGAAUUAAUAAAUAUAUGCUAUCUUUAUUUAAUAAUAUAAUAUUAUUAUAUUUAUUUUAAAAAUAAUAGUACUAUAUUUAUUUAAUAUUAAUAAUUAAUAAUAAUAAACAGUUUAUUCUAAGAAAAUAUUAAUUUUGUACUAAAUAAUAUUAUAUUAAUAAAUUUAAUAUAAUUAUAUAAAAUAAAAUAAUGUUUCAUUUUAUAUUUACCCUUCUUUUUAUUAAAUUUACUAUAACUAUAUUUAAUAAAUAUUUAAAUAAUAUUAUUAUAUUUAACUAAAUAAUAAUUUACAUUGAUUAUAAGUUAAAAUUACUUAAAAAUAAUAUUAUUAUAUUAAUAGAGAAUUAAUAAAUAUAUGCUAUCUUUAUUUAAUAAUAUAAUAUUAUUAUAUUUAUUUUAAAAAUAAUAGUACUAUAUUUAUUUAAUAUUAAUAAUUAAUAAUAAUAAAAAACUAUAAUUCUUUACAUAAGGAUAUAUAAAAUUGUAAUUUGAAACUAUUUACUCCCAAUCCAAGACAAAGUAAACACAUAAAUUGGAUUAUGAUCUCCAUUCCAUACUUCUAUUCCAGUGCAAGUAAACAACUUACUCUCACUCCCACUCCACACUCCUAAUCCUAGGAUUCCCACUCCAAUCCAAAAAGUAAACGCUGCCUAUAUGUCCUACGACUACGAGCAACCUCACAUAUGCUAGCUAGCGUGAAACAAUUGACGUAUAUUUCACAAGCAUGCAUGUAGUAAAUAUUUUGGAUAAAUAAAUGAUAAUGAAAUAAUUUUGUUUAAUUUUCAAAAUAAAUUAAAAAAAAUGUUUUAUUAUUUAUCACAUGCAUAGUACUAUUGGAAUUAUGUUUAUUAGGAAAGUUUUGACUAUAGUAGUAGAAAAAGAAGUAAUUUGUGUGACUAUUUUAAAACUAAUGCAGCCUAUAUAACUAUUUGAGCAAACCUUAGAAACUUGCCUCAUCUUUUUCUGUCAACAAUGAUACUUUGCUUGGAAAAUAUUACCGGAAAUUUUUUCUUGCAAGCAAGGUACGAAAACAGGUCAUUUUGGUUUUGCCCAUAUUUGGCUUUGCCAAAAGAAUUUCAAGCAGUAUUUUUUCUGAACAAAGUAGCAUUUUUGUUAUUAUAUACACUUUUGUUUUUAAUUAUAGUCUAUAAACAAUUCAAUUUUCUGCUCACUUAUGUCGUUAGAGUUCAAAUCUCAAACCUAUUUUUUUUUACAAAAAAAAAAAGAAAGACUUUACCAACGAAACUAGCUUGCACCCAUCUUAUAUAUAUACCUGUUGAUGCGAGAUUCUGGUUCUCCUCGUUCUACGACCAGGGUCUCUGCUCUAUCAACUUCACCACGACCAGGAUCUCUCCUCGUAAAGCUUCUUCUCCAGAGGUUCCUGCGGCAAAAAAUCUAACCAAAUCUUAUGGCUGUUAGGUUGUUUUCUCUCUUUUCUUAGUUCAAAUAGCAAAAAAUCUAACCCUUUUACCUUCGUUGGCUACCUUUUUAUAGGCUUCCUCUGAGUCCCGGUCUUCCGCAGUUUACGCCCAUUGUUCUCCCCACGCUCGGAUGUGGAUGUCCUAUUAUCUUCAUGAUGGGUGAAUGGAGAUGGACCUCGUGCCUUGAUUCUCGGAUAGGAAGGCACGUCUCGCCAACUGCCGUUGACCGGGUCUCCUCGAAUCAACCCUUAGCAGGAAUACAGCAGGAAUGGCUUUAUGCUUCUUACAGGAGAUUGGACUCGUGGCUAACGUGCUCGUGGAUGAGCAGGGUAUUUCUGCUCAUGCUCCCCAGGAUACCAGGCUCUUACGGGACACACCGGUUCGCAGAACUCUGCCAUCAGAUAUCUGCUCAUCAUGCCUGGUCUCGUCGACGUAUUUCUCCCAAACACCGGUCCCCCAGUUUCUCAAACACCGGUCCCCCAGUUUCUGGUGUUGGGUAAUGUAAUGGACCAACAGUAGAAACUUAGCGGUUCUUGGUCACGUAGGACUGGAAAAGGCCUCGAGGAGGAGCUGACCAAGGUCAAGGAGGAUCUUCAAAGGCAGAAGGCUAUGUACGAGGCUCAGCUCGAAUCCCUCCGCGAUUCCCAUCGGGUUCAGGUCGAGAACUUGGAGAAGGAGGCUGACAACCAGUACGACCAGGGAUUUCGGCAUUCCUAUCGUUGCAUCAUGGCCGUCCUCGGGAAGCAGCAUCCUGAUCUAAAGAUGGACGACCUUGCAGCCGGUGUCACCGAACAUAUGGACGAGGAGGCUGCAAAGGAGGAUGCCGAAGAGGUGGCGCCAAUGGUGAUAGAGGAGGAAAACUCUCCUCCCCGUGUAAUCCCUGCUGAUGCUGGUGAGGCGAGUACCCCCCCAGACCCAACUGAAGAUACUCCCCCAGCACCUAAGGUGGACCAGCUGACUGAGGCUGCUCGGCUUGCGGACCCAUCGUCUUCUUAAACAUGUUUCUUGUAUUGUAACGAACAAUGUUUGUGAAGAUUAUCUGCUUUGUUAAUUAUUAACAAAUUAAUAGAAAUGUUUUUGAUUACUCUCUUGUGUUGUAAUUACGAGAGUCUGCUCGUCUUCGUCUGGUCGAGCUGGCUCUGGCUUGGUAUAUGGUUUUGCCACAUGCCUUAGAAGAUUCUUCAAUGUUUGGGAUUCUGCUCGCCUUUGCGCGGUCGAGCAGAUCUUGGCACGCGUGGCUUCUGUCUUGCCAUAAAAUAGGCUUUGAGACUUGAUGAGCCUUUGUAUACCUUAGAAGAUAUUUCGAUGAUUGGGGAUUCUGCUCGCCUUCGCGCGGUCGAGCAGAUCCUGGCAUGCUUGGCUUCUGUCUCGCCAUAAACAGGCUUUGAGACUUGGUGAGCCUUUGCAUGCCUUUGAUUCUUUAAGGAUUGGGAUUCUGCUCGCCUUCUCGUGGUCGAGCAGAUCCUGGCACGCUUGGCUUCUGUCUCGCCAUAAAACAGGCUUUGAGACUUUGUCGAGCCUUUGCGCCUUAGGUAAUUUCUUCAAAGCUUGGGAUUCUACUAGCCUUCUCGCGGCCGAGCAGAUCCUGGCACGCUUGGCUUCUGNNNNNNNNNNNNNNNNNNNNNNNNNNNNNNNNNNNNNNNNNNNNNNNNNNNNNNNNNNNNNNNNNNNNNNNNNNNNNNNNNNNNNNNNNNNNNNNNNNNNNNNNNNNNNNNNNNNNNNNNNNNNNNNNNNNNNNNNNNNNNNNNNNNNNNNNNNNNNNNNNNNNNNNNNNNNNNNNNNNNNNNNNNNNNNNNNNNNNNNNNNNNNNNNNNNNNNNNNNNNNNNNNNNNNNNNNNNNNNNNNNNNNNNNNNNNNNNNNNNNNNNNNNNNNNNNNNNNNNNNNNNNNNNNNNNNNNNNNNNNNNNNNNNNNNNNNNNNNNNNNNNNNNNNNNNNNNNNNNNNNNNNNNNNNNNNNNNNNNNNNNNNNNNNNNNNNNNNNNNNNNNNNNNNNNNNNNNNNNNNNNNNNNNNNNNNNNNNNNNNNNNNNNNNNNNNNNNNNNNNNNNNNNNNNNNNNNNNNNNNNNNNNNNNNNNNNNNNNNNNNNNNNNNNNNNNNNNNNNNNNNNNNNNNNNNNNNNNNNNNNNNNNNNNNNNNNNNNNNNNNNNNNNNNNNNNNNNNNNNNNNNNNNNNNNNNNNNNNNNNNNNNNNNNNNNNNNNNNNNNNNNNNNNNNNNNNNNNNNNNNNNNNNNNNNNNNNNNNNNNNNNNNNNNNNNNNNNNNNNNNNNNNNNNNNNNNNNNNNNNNNNNNNNNNNNNNNNNNNNNNNNNNNNNNNNNNNNNNNNNNNNNNNNNNNNNNNNNNNNNNNNNNNNNNNNNNNNNNNNNNNNNNNNNNNNNNNNNNNNNNNNNNNNNNNNNNNNNNNNNNNNNNNNNNNNNNNNNNNNNNNNNNNNNNNNNNNNNNNNNNNNNNNNNNNNNNNNNNNNNNNNNNNNNNNNNNNNNNNNNNNNNNNNNNNNNNNNNNNNNNNNNNNNNNNNNNNNNNNNNNNNNNNNNNNNNNNNNNNNNNNNNNNNNNNNNNNNNNNNNNNNNNNNNNNNNNNNNNNNNNNNNNNNNNNNNNNNNNNNNNNNNNNNNNNNNNNNNNNNNNNNNNNNNNNNNNNNNNNNNNNNNNNNNNNNNNNNNNNNNNNNNNNNNNNNNNNNNNNNNNNNNNNNNNNNNNNNNNNNNNNNNNNNNNNNNNNNNNNNNNNNNNNNNNNNNNNNNNNNNNNNNNNNNNNNNNNNNNNNNNNNNNNNNNNNNNNNNNNNNNNNNNNNNNNNNNNNNNNNNNNNNNNNNNNNNNNNNNNNNNNNNNNNNNNNNNNNCGAGCCUUUGCAUGCCUUAGAUGAUUUCUUCAAAGCUUGGGAUUCUGCUAGCCUUCUCGUGGCCGAGCAGAUCCUGGCAUGCUUGGCUUCUGUCUCGCCAUAAAACAGGCUUUGAGACUUGGUGAGCCUUUGCAUGCCUUAGAUGAUCUAUCACAGUUUCAAGUGAAUGACAUUCCUCGACGUUCCAUUAAUUGCAGGUUUUGAUUUUACAUGAACUUGCUUUGGACAUAAAAUAAAUAAUCGCAAAUACGAACAGAAAGAACUUGAAAAUAUUAACAACUCUUACUGGAAAUAUUUCCUGAGAUGUGCUGCCUUCCAUGGGCGCUUCACCUCGUGGCCAUCCAUGCGGACCAGCUUGUAGGCUCCUGGUCCAACUAGCUGCCUGACUCUAUAUGGCCCCCCCCAAUUUGGACCGAACAUUCCUUGAGUCGAGUCUUUCGUGUUCUGAUUUACUCUCCUUAACACCCAAUCUCCAACCUUGAACUGCUAUACAUUCACGUCCUGGUUAUAAUACCGAGCAACCCUUUGCUGGUAAAUGGCUGAUCGCUUGGCUGCUUGAUCCCUCUUUUCCGUUAGUAGAUCAAGAUUCAAUACCGAGCACAUCUGCAUGAGCCUGUAAGCAUUUCACUAACUCCUGCUUCUGCUCUUCCUUAUGUUUCGACCCGAUUCUGAUCGUCGUUCCCGGAUUCUCUGGUCCCACGCUUACUGUCUCCAGCUCCUCUACAGGUUCUUGUCUGCCCUUCUUGCUUUCCACUCGGGUGUUAAGGGAUGUUAUCUGCAUUGCCUCCUUUGCUGCCAAGGAGUAGCAGCUUCUAGCGAUUCUCUGGUCCCCUCGUACCACACCAACUACCCUGUUCACCCAGUACUUGAGAGCCAGAUAAUGGAUGGACAAUACCGCUUUGCUCAUCCUUAGAAACGGUCGACCUAGGAUCAUCUGGUAAGGACCUUCUUCAUCCACCACCACAAAGUCCAGUAUCAUUGUCCUUUCCGUCGGGGAGCUCCCAAUCGUGAUAGGCAGCUCGACCACACCCAGAGGGACCAGCUUUUCCCCUCCGAACCCCUUUAAGGAGGUAUUGGUGUAUUCCAACUUCCGGUCUGCUAUUCCCAUCUCCUCCAAAGUUGACUUAAAUAGCACAUCAACUGAGCUCCCUGUAUCAAUCAAUAUCCGGUCAAACUUCUUGCUAAGGACCGUAACCUUGAUGACCAAAGCAUCCUCGUGGGGGUAUAGAAUCUCUUCCUCAUCUUCAUCCGUCCACAUGAUUGGCACUUGCCUGACCCUUGCUCGUUUGGCUGCUGGGGUGUUGAAGAAUACCUCUUUGCUGGUCAUGGCGUAUCUAGCAUAAUUCUUCCUCGACCUGUUGGAAUCUCUGGCCAAUGUCGAGCCCCCAGCUAUCACCCUUACUCAUACUCUGCUAAUAGUUUACCCAUGCUAAUAGUUUACCCAUACUCUCGCAAACAAUUUUGAGGAUUGACAUCCCAUUACAAAUGAUUACUGAUAACUCAAAUUUAUCAACCUUAUCUUGCUAAAACGCCCUAAACUGUGCAAGUAUUACAAACUCGGAUGGUUCCAUAUCAUCUAUCAUAACAACAAUUUUUUUUUUUUUUUCAAGCAGUCAUCAUCUCAUGGCAAUUAAAAGAUUGGCAUAAAAGUUGUAGGAGUUUGGAAGACGUGCCUGAUAGUAGCCUACAAGUCUCUGAAGUUCAAAUUUAACCAGUCAAAUUGGCCCAUAGAGCUAUUCGAGAAACUGAAUCAUUCCACUUAGAUUUUUUGGGCGCUUUUUCCACUAGAAGCUUGAUGGUAGCCCAUACAAAUUAGUCUUUGGGAAGUACUUUCUGCUUGAAAAUAUUUCAGAAUCAAGAUGAAAUACUCCAAGAGAAUACUAAUAUGGAUAAUUUCAGUCACUUGAAGUUUCCUCAUUUUCUGGAAAUACCAAUUGCAAGUCUUCACUGUCUCUGUAAACUUGAACAAGGACGGCAGCCUUAUAUACAAGCAUGCCAAACAUGGCUGGAACAAUCUGCAAUAAUGGGAAAAUUAAUAAACACAAUUUAUGUUAGCAAUUUGAGGGCUUCAUGAUCGAUUUAAAAACUUAUACAAACAGCUGCAGACAACACUAAAAAUUAUUUUAAUUGCUACCUGGAAAUCAAAGAAGGCAUUGGCAAAAUACCGAUGAGACAGAACCCACAAACCAUAUAUUGUAGCCGGGAUUACAAGCCUUGGAGAUAAAAGAGCAAGGCUACUUCCCUUGAAUGAUCUCUCUAAGAAGUACUUAAGGUCCUCUCUCUUAUUCCAAUUCUACCAAAGAAAAAGAAAUGUUUGCUUAUGCAAGGAGGAGACAGAAAACAACUUAGCUACAAAGAUGCCAUUAAAUUUCAAAAAAAAGGGGGCGGAAGAUUUAAUCUGUACUUCUUGGACUUCUUUUGCAUGAAAAUCUGAGGAACCAUUUCCUUGGACAGACGGUCUGCAUGUUGGAAUAAGAGCUGAAGGUACAAGCAACUGCACUGGAAAUGAGGUUUGUUAAACUACCAGAAUUAGGAUCAGUAAUAAGAACAGAUGGUCUCCUGCUGUUAAUAAACCUUCUUUUUCAGUUUUCUGCUGUGCCGUACAUCCGCCUUGGCCGUACAGCAGUGAAUGGUUCUAUUCCAUUGUCUUUGGGAAAAUUUUCACAUUUAGAAUAUCUAGAUUUGUCCAACAAUAGGAUGAGUGGAACACUUUCUGAAAAUCAUUUUGUCAAUCUAACAAAACUGACUUCAUUUUCUACAUCUGGUAACCCGCUAAUCUUGCAAGUCAAUCCGAACUGGGUUCCUCCUUUUCAACUCGAUACAUUGCAAUUGAGGUCAUGUCAUUUAGGGCCUCAUUUUCCAUCGUGGAUAUACAAGCAUGCCAAACAUGGCUGCAACAAUCUGCGAUAAUGGGAAAAUUAAUAAACACAAUUUAUGUUAGCAAUUUUAGGGCUUCAUGAUCAAUUUGAAAACUUAUACAAACAGCCGCAGACAACACUAAAAAUUAUUUUAAUUGCUACCUGGAAAUCAAAGAAGGCAUUGGCAAAAUACCGAUGAGACAGAACCCACAAACCAUAUAUUGUAGCCGGGAUUACAAGCCUUGGAGAUGAAAGAGCAAGGCUACUUCCCUUGAAUGAUCUCUCUAAGAAGUACUUAAGGUCCUCGCUUCUUAUUCCAAUUCUACCAAAGAAAAAGAAAUGUUUGCUUAUGCAAGGAGGAGACAGAAAACAACUUAGCUACAAAGAUGCCAUUAAAUUUCAAAAAAAAGGGGGCGGAAGAUUUAAUCUGUACUUCUUGGACUUCUUUUGCAUGAAAAUCUGAGGAACCAUUUCCUUGGACAGACGGUCUGCAUGUUGGAAUAAGAGCUGAAGGUACAAGCAACUGCACUGGAAAUGAGGUUUGUUAAACUACCAGAAUUAGGAUCAGUAAUAAGAACAGAUGGUCUCCUGCUGUUAAUAAACCUUCUUUUUCAGUUUUCUGUCAAAAAAGUUGCUAAAAGCACUGCUCGAGUUCUCGGAGUUUUUCACUUCCCUAAACUAGAAAAUGAGGGAUAUCUUUAAAUUCUUUGAGCUCUUUGGAGUCCCAAUUAGACCAAAUAAAGAUAACUCCUCCACAGAGAAAACACUCAAGGGAGUCUACUAAGUUGAGAAUACUUGAUAGAAGAUAUCUAUCCCCAUGGACCAUUUCUCCAGCUAUUGAUUUUUUAGGCCAAAAAAUCCUGUGGACGACUAACAGUAAUUUUUGGUGGAAACUUUACAUCUUACAUUAUCAUGGCUUCCUUGCUUUAUAAUAUCUCUAUACACUUAUUUUUACAUUAUUGGCAGGUAAAAGGUUGGAUCAAAAAGUUCCGUCCAAAUCACCAGGUAUAUUGGUAUUAUUGGCAGCAGAAUCUACCAUUCUUUUAGAUAACUGAUCGCACUAUUUAGUAUUGUUAUUAUUCAUAAACCUUUUAUUUGAAUCAUAGCUCAAAAACUAGGACUCAGCACCGAGCUUAGAAUUUGACAACCGACUCACCAACAUAUUAAUUUAACAGAUAUUAACCUUCUUCUCCAAAAAAAAAAAACAGAUAUUAACCUUAGUGAAAAUAGAUCAACUUACCCAGUGAUUCGGAAUGCUAAAGACCCUAAUAAAGUUCCACUUUCUGUCUGGUCCUUGGCUCCAGGUAAACUAUAUUAUUCAAAGACGAAACCUAAUGUGUGCUUAUCUGGGGCAAAGAAAUGGCAAAAGUACAAAUCAUUUGUUUUUGCAUUGUCACAAUGGUGGUCAUUGUUUCAGGCAGCUAGAAUUUCUUGAGUUAUUCCAGCUUCUAGCAUUUCUCAGCUUUCAGAGAUUAUUUAUGCUUUUGGGAGGAGGGGUGGUGGGGGGUGGGAGAAGCUAGAGUGUUACAGAAAUGUUCAGUUAUGUCCACUUAUUUGGUGAAUUGGCUUGAAAGAAAUUGAAGGAUGUUUUGAAGAUUCUGAGGAAGACAUCAUCUUUUUGUGGGAAAGAGUAGGAUUACUAGCUUUUCUUUGGGCGUCAUUAGAAAGGAAUUUCGAGAUUCUUCUUUCUUCUUCAUUCGUCUAAACUGGAAGCGGUGUUCGCUUAGCUCAGUGCUUUGGAUUUGUUUUUGUUAUGAGAUCAUUUAGUCAUAUAGAUCCUAUAAUUAUUUGGUCAUAUUAUCAGCAUUGAACUAUAUAGACUUUUUGUGAUCUUUAGGGGUUCUCUCUUUGUGGACUCCGUGUUCACUUUCUGUAAUGUUUUUCUUUUUAAUAAAAAGUUUUAUGUUUCCCAUCAAAAAACACCAUAAAUAAAUAUAUGAAAAAUAAAAACAUCAGCUUACCUGAAAAGAACUCCAACCACAUAGCUAAAAGCCGCCUGUAAAAUUAACAAAGUCAUUUCUAUGUAAGCCCAAAAUUUACAAUAUUUCAUGAAUAUCUUACUUUACAUUUUUUUUUAAAAAAAAAAGUGAAUCCUUCCAAUAGAGUAGGGAAGAAAAAAAAAAUUUGCCUACUCUGUUGCAAUUUGUACAGUCAAACACUGAAAAUAUAUAAAAAUAUAAUAAAAAGUAGGUUUGAGAGCUUUUUAUGGUAAAGAGAGCUUGCCAACCCUCUGUAAAUUAAGGUUUAAGGUUGAAGAAAACCUAUUUUGUGGAGUGUGAAUGUUUAUGGGGAGUGAGAGCAUAAUAGAGAAUGAAACCUAAGCACCUUUAUAUAUGGAGUACCUCAGCUGCCACGUGGCGUACCCUUUUUGGCUAACGUCUUUUUACCUUUUUAUGAUUUUUGGGUCGUUAUCUGCUGUACCGUACAUCCGCCUUGGCCGUACAGCAGGGUACUAUGUUGCAGAAGCAAGCUUUUAGGUAAUAACACAACCUAAAAGUUCAAGCUGAGAGAUAAGAGCCUAAGACUACAGAAUCUAACACAUACCUCGCAUGCAAGGCAUGUAAAUCAAACAUAACAGGAACAUUGCUAUAACAAGAAGCAAACUCAAUGUUCUAAUAAUGAAAGUAACACAUCAGAAAAUCCAAAUACAGGACAGCUUGAUCAAACUAGCUCCACUAACAGUUAAGCAGAUAGGUAGGACUCCAACAGUAGUUUUCAAAACCAACAAAUAUAAAUAUAAAAAUAAAAGCAUCCUGGAACAUACCCAGUCUGCGAACCCUUAGUUCUAUUACUGACUUUAACAUAAAACUGAAUCCCUUAGGUCCUAUCCUGGUUACUUGGAGAUCCAAUUGGAGAAAUAUUGGUUUCAAAACAGAAGCUUAGGUAACCAAAUUUGCAGCUUCAUUUGAAAACAGACAUCUCUUGAAAUGCCAUUUGCCAACAGAAAAAUAUGAACAACCUUUAACCAAAAUACAGUCACAUGGUGAGCAUCAGCUCAUUCAGCUCACAAGAUUAAAGUUACACAUUUAAAUAUAAUGAAAUCAUAGGCCUAGAACCAAAAGGAGAGAAACCAGUCCGCCCUUGCAUUUAUACAAUAUGUUCAUUUAUUAAUCAGUUUUUUCAAAGUUAGUUAGAUAACUACAAACAAUUUAUAUUUCAAAUGUAAAGAGAAUCUAACUUCGAAAGAAAUAAUGGAGCUAGAACUGAACAGAAAGAUCCCAAUUUCAGGCAUUGACAUCACAUCAACAACCAAUUAACCAUGAGAAAUACUAAUUUGAAGAAAGGUAUCAUACAGCUUCAUAUUUAAGCAGGUUCAGUCUCUUCCUUCUUUCACUGUCAUCCUGCAAAGCCUGUAUUUACAUGCAUUGGUUAGCAGUAUGAAAUUGCAGAUAUAAAACUUAAAACAAAUUCCCAUGCUUUGCUGAAAUUGGGAGAAAGGGAGGGAAGAGGGAUGAAGAGAUGGGAAAGAGUGUUUACAAGCAAGCCCAUUAUAAUAUAAUGAUAGCCAAGAAAAAGCAUACCUUAGCAGAAGGUUUCUUAUUUAUUGGUGCGGAGUUGUCACCUAAUAGCCACUAAUGGGUUUUCAAUAGUUUUAAAAAUCCAUCAUCAUUGUCACUUCCUAUGACCUACAAAUAUUCGUACCAUCAAUAAAAGCACAAGCAAACUAAAUCACCUAAGACACCAGAAUAAAACAAACAGAAUGUCAUACACUUAGCAAUUAAAUUGAGGAACUUUAAAGCAGAGAGUAGCUAAAACCAGUAUGGAAAUAUGUACGCACUUUAAUUCAUAAAUGCGUCAAGAAUGGAGUGACAUAUGAGAGAUCAGAAUAAAGCAUCUGCAUUGUCAACUGCUUCAAAUUUCAAUGGAGCUUUUUCACAACACUGGGACCAAGUGAGUCCUCCUUCUAUAAACACCAGUGCUACCCCAGUCUAAGCCUCAAUUGUAAUAAGGAGCUGCACCUUUGGCGGUAAUUUAUUUCUCAUAAAAGCCUAGAAAUGAGAGUAUACAAGCUACUGCUAAUUCUAACAGAACACAGGCUUGGCUAAGUUUGAAAAUCCUUCAAGAUAUUGAAUGAAUCAAUUUGUUUUUUCCCCCCCAACUUGGCAUAACUACAUUAUUCAGUAACUUCUUAUUUGACACUCAUGAAACUAAAUAAAUAAAUAAUUUCGGAAGAUUUCUCAUUGAAACAGAUAAAUUGCUGCAUUAUUAGUGACAGAACCAAUUCCAGAGUCCAUACUCCAAAGUCAGAACUUAAGAGACGAAGAACCACAAAAACUACUGAGAAAGAUGCUCUAUAAACCAGAAUUGUUCCAAAUUAUCAUACUUCUAUACCACUACAGAGAACACGAAGCGAAAUUCUAAUUGGCAAUUGCAUAUCCCAAAAAAAAAAAAAAAGAAGAAGAAGAAGAAGAAGAAGAAUACGAUACAUUCUUAUGAAUCAGAAUCAAGCAAGCCACCUGGUGAGCUUGUUCAGAAUUGUCAGCAAAUUUGCCAGCAUCAGCAUCAAAGUCAACAAAUUUCAGGGCCCCCAUCAGCCAAAACAUAUCAGAAGUUUUGGAAAUAAAAUCACCAUUCAAUUCUCUAUCUUUAAAGAACAUUUGCAGAACAUCCUCUUCAGCAACUUCACUAACUGAGAAGUAAUAAAAACAUAAAAACUGGAAUGGGAAUUGACUGGGUAGCAUUAGAAGCGUCACAAAAAAGGGGUGGUGACUGACCUGGACUACUGCUUGUUCUUAAGAGAGAAGAAGAGAAUGUUGGUGAUGUUUUCUUGGAAAGCGGCUUCUGGGUAUGAGGAAGUGGAGAGAAUAUUGGGAAAUGAGAGUGAGUGUAGUUUGUUAAGAAGCUUAUUCUUGAGAGAGCCUCUAUUUUUUGUUGGGCCUUCCUGGCUUGUUGCUUGGCUAAAUUGUUUGUUUGAAGAUUAAGGAUAUUUAUGCUCUGUGAGAAGCCGCGCUCUUGUUUGAUGGAGAAUGGUUUGGAACAAAAGAGGCGUUAUCGCAUUCUCCUGUCGAGCACCAGCACCGCCGGCCGCUCGCUAUUUUUCUAUUCAUAAUAAUUAAUUGUGAGGGAUAAUUUCAUGGGAAUCCGUGAGGUUCACUUAAUAUCAAUAAUACCAUAUAAGUUCUUGUUGAAGUGUGAGCUCUGAAACUGAUUUCCAGAAAUCCAUACGACAUGUCAGUUCGUGAUUGGAACAGAAUACGACUCGUCGGUUAAGAUCAUUCAAAGCUGUAUGACAAGAUGUUCAUUCAUCUAUCUGUGAGUAAGUGAAGCACGUGGCCAUCACAUGCUUCCACUUAUCCAUACGACUUUGCUGAGUGCCGUUUUAGAGCCUGCAUUUAACGUGAAGCAAACACGUGGCUCAGAGGUCGUUAUGUUCUGUUACAAGAGCGGGAAAAUCUGGGUCUUAUUGACAGAGGAGAGCUGACUGGUGGGGGGAUUUUCUGGGCUCUCUUAAGCGUGUAUAUAUAGACUUAAGGGAUACGGAAUCAGGAAGUGUGAUGCUUGUAAUUUCAUCUUAAAACUUGUAUCUUGUUCCUGGUGAUUGAAUAAAGAUUGUUGCUCUGUUCUUCAGUGGAUGUAAGCCAUCUCCAGGCUGAACCACUUAAACUGUUUUCUCGUUUUUUGCUGUUCUUUAGCUUCUUCUGUGUAUCUUUUAUUUGUUUCUUAGUCAAGCAUCAGAGUGUUUAGAGCAGUCUUGGGGAAUCUUGGUUGAUUAAAUUCGAUCAAGGCUCAACAAAUUGGUAUCAGAGCCCAACAACUCUGAUUCUUGUUCCAAGAAAUGGCAACCUCUAAGUUUCAAGUAGAAAAAUUUACUGGAGAGAAUGACUUCCAUCUAUGGAGACUCAAGAUGAGAGCUUUGUUGGUUCACCAAGGGCUUGAAGAAACAUUGGGUGAUCCAAGAUCUGAAAAGAAGCCUAGCAAGCUCAGUGAAGAAGAAAUGCAAGAGGCAUUAGACAAGGCUCAUAGCACCUUAAUCUUGAGUCUGGGAGAUGGAGUUCUGAGGGAAGUGGGGGAUCAAACAACUGCUGCAGGCCUCUGGAAGAAAUUAGAAGACCUAUAUACGAAGAAGUCCCUAACCAAGAGACUUUGCACCAAGAAGAGGCUGUAUACAUUGCAGAUGGAGGAAGGUAGCUCUCUGGCAAAUCAUAUUGAUCACUUCAACAGGAUCAUUCUUGAUCUUGAAGAUAUCAAUGUGAAACUGGAAGAUGAAGACAAGGCAAUAAUCUUGUUAUCAUCUCUCCCACCCUCCUAUGAACAUUUCGUGGACACACUGCUAUAUGGAAGGCAGUCAAUAACCAUGGCUGAUGUGAAAGACUCUCUCAGCUCAAAAGAGGUUACAAGGAAGUCAGAAGUAAAAGAUGGAGAAGGCUUAACAGCAAGGGGUAGACCAGAGAAGAAGGAUUACAGUAACAAGAAUAGAAAACGCAGCAAAUCUAAGUCAAAGAAUAAAAAUCUGAAAUGUUUCCAGUGCCACAAGGAGGGACAUUUCAAGAAGGACUGUCCAGAGAGAAAGAACAAGGAUAGAGAUGGACCCAAGAAGAAUGGAGAUGCUGCUGUUGCAUCAGAUGAAAAGGAUGAUGAAGGCUAUGACUCAGCUGGUGUUCUUCUAGUCACUGGAACUCAAACCAAUGGUAAGUGGGUGUUGGAUUCUGGAUGCACUUAUCACAUGUGCCCUGAUAAAAAUCUUUUUUCCAGUUAUAGAGUUUUUAAUGGUGGGGAAGUCAUGAUGGGAAACAACUCACUUUGUAAAGUAGUUGGACUUGGAACCAUUAGGCUUAAGAUGUUUGAUGGGGUGAUUAGGGAAUUAAGUGAAGUAAGACAUGUUCCUGAGCUAAAAAGGAACUUAAUAUCCCUAGGGAUCCUUGAUCAAAUAGGCUGUAUCAUUAAAAUGGAAUCUGGGGUUAUGAAGAUAAUCAAAGGGUCCAUGGUGAUAAUGAAAGGGGCUAAGAAUAAUGGCUUGUAUGUGCUGCAAGGGACAGCCAUUACAGGGGAUGUUAGUGUCUCAACUAGCAUGAAUCCAAACAAAACACUAAUGUGGCACAUGAGAUUAGGGCAUAUGAGUGAAAGAGGGAUGAAGAUAUUAGAAAGACAGGGAGUCUUGGGGGAUGAUAAGAUAGGUCCUGUUGAGUUCUGUGAGGUAUGUGUCCUAGGAAAAUCCUCUAGAACUAGCUUCAAAACUGCAGUGCAUAAGACCAAAGGAACCUUAGAUUACAUCCACUCUGAUCUGUGGGGACCAGCACAGACAACUUCUUUAGGUGGAGCUAAAUACUUCAUAUCCUUAAUUGAUGACUAUUCUAGAAUGGUUUGGGUGUAUAUCUUAAAGAGUAAGACUGAAGUCUUUGAGAAGUUUAAGCAGUGGAAAGCACUGGUAGAAACACAAACAUGUAGAAAAGUCAAGAGGCUAAGGACUGAUAAUGGUUUAGAAUUUUGCAAUCAAUUGUUUAAUGAUUUCUGUGCUCAGAAUGGAGUUGUAAGACACAAGACAGUAAGGCACACUCCACAGCAAAAUGGACUUGCUGAGAGGAUGAAUAGAACUCUCAUGGACAAAGUAAGAUGUCUGCUAAUUCACUCUAAACUUCCUCAGUCCCUAUGGGCUGAAACACUGAUGACAGCUUGCUAUUUAGUCAAUAGAAGUCCAUCCAGUGGCAUAGACUUUAAAACACCUGUAGAAAUGUGGUCAGGCAGAGCUGCUAACUAUUCUGAUUUGAAGAUAUUUGGCUGCCUUGCAUUUGCACAUAUAAAGCAAGGAAAGCUUGAGCCAAUAAUGGCUUGUAUGUGCUGCAAGGGACAGCCAUUACAGGGGAUGUUAGUGUCUCAACUAGCAUGAAUCCAAACAAAACACUAAUGUGGCACAUGAGAUUAGGGCAUAUGAGUGAAAGAGGGAUGAAGAUAUUAGAAAGACAGGGAGUCUUGGGGGAUGAUAAGAUAGGUCCUGUUGAGUUCUGUGAGGUAUGUGUCCUAGGAAAAUCCUCUAGAACUAGCUUCAAAACUGCAGUGCAUAAGACCAAAGGAACCUUAGAUUACAUCCACUCUGAUCUGUGGGGACCAGCACAGACAACUUCUUUAGGUGGAGCUAAAUACUUCCUAUCCUUGAUUGAUGACUAUUCUAGAAUGGUUUGGGUGUAUAUCUUAAAGAGUAAGACUGAAGUCUUUGAGAAGUUUAAGCAGUGGAAAGCACUGGUAGAAACACAAACAUGUAGAAAAGUCAAGAGGCUAAGGACUGAUAAUGGUUUAGAAUUUUGCAAUCAAUUGUUUAAUGAUUUCUGUGCUCAGAAUGGAGUUGUAAGACACAAGACAGUAAGGCACACUCCACAGCAAAAUGGACUUGCUGAGAGGAUGAAUAGAACUCUCAUGGACAAAGUAAGAUGUCUGCUAAUUCACUCUAAACUUCCUCAGUCCCUAUGGGCUGAAACACUGAUGACAGCUUGCUAUUUAGUCAAUAGAAGUCCAUCCAGUGGCAUAGACUUUAAAACACCUGUAGAAAUGUGGUCAGGCAGAGCUGCUAACUAUUCUGAUUUAAAGAUAUUUGGCUGCCCUGCAUUUGCACAUAUAAAGCAAGGAAAGCUUGCUGCUGUACCGUACAUCCGCGUCUUUCUUGGAUAUCCAGAGGGUGUGAAGGGCUAUAGGCUCUGGUGUACUGAUCUAAAACCACCUAGGUGCAUAGUCAGUAGAGAUGUGGUUUUCAAUGAGCAAGAAAUGCUUAAGAGCUAUGUGCAGAAGCUUGAAAACUCAGACAAAGACACUGGUGUACUGAGAGAUCAGAUUAAGGUGGAGCUUACUGGAAAAUCUGGAGAUACAACUUCAUAUGAGGCAUCAGAGGAUGAAGAAAGAGAUGCAGAAGAUUCUGAUGGAAUUUCAGAAAAACAAACAACAUUGCAUGAUUAUUGUUAGAAAAUGUAUAUUUAUAAAGGAGAAAAUCAUCAUUUUACAUUUCAAGUUUUACUAACAACCCUUACUUUUAUGUAUUUAAGCUUCUUGCAAUUUAAUUAUGUGUGUUUGAUUUUAAUUAAGUAUUUUAUGUAUUUUAGGGGCAUCAUGGUCAUUUUACAAUAAACGAGAGAUCAGACGGUAAAACAGACAUCACUUUUGAACUCAGGACGGUCGAAAACCUUAGGAGGAGCAUAAAAGGAAAAAUGGCACUAUUCACAUGUACGGUACUGUCUACGUUACUGUUCAUGACACUGUUCACAUAGACGGAUCGAUGACGUGGCAUUGACCGAUGAUGUGGCAUUGACNNNNNNNNNNNNNNNNNNNNNNNNNNNNNNNNNNNNNNNNNNNNNNNNNNNNNNNNNNNNNNNNNNNNNNNNNNNNNNNNNNNNNNNNNNNNNNNNNNNNNNNNNNNNNNNNNNNNNNNNNNNNNNNNNNNNNNNNNNNNUACAUGGGGAAUUACAAGAGUACAUAGUAAUGGCUCAGCCUGAAGGAUUCACAGACAAAUCAAAGGCUGACUGGGUUUGUCAUCUGAAGAAGUCUCUGUAUGGACUCAAACAGUCCCCAAGGCAGUGGUACCUCAGGUUUGACAGCUUUAUGUUAGAGCAGAAAUUUCAGAAGUGUAACUUGGACUGUUGUGUUUACUUCAGAGAAGAUUCAGGCAUGAUGGUUUAUCUGGUAUUGUAUGUAGAUGACAUGCUUAUUGCCAGUGUGAGCAUGAGCUUAAUUGAAGACCUGAAACAGAAGCUUAAAGGAGAGUUUGACAUGAAGGAUCUUGGUCCAGCAAAGAAAAUUCUGGGAAUGCAGCUACACAGGGAUAGAAAAGUUGGUACUUUGUUUCUCAGUCAGGAAGAAUACAUCAGAAGGGUAAUUGACAAGUUUGGAAUGGCAAACUCAAAGCCAGUUCAAACACCCUUAGCACCUCACUUCAGAUUAUCAGAUCAGUUGUGUCCAAAAACAGAAGCUGAAAUAUCUGACACGAUAAAUAUACCUUAUGCAAGUGCUGUAGGUUGCUUGAUGUAUGCUAUGGUCUUAACUAGGCCUGAUUUAUCCUAUGCUGUGAGUGUUGUAAGCAGGUAUAUGGCAAACCCUGGGAAGGAACACUGGAGGGCUGUAAAAUGGAUUCUCAGAUACCUAAAUGGGACAGCAACAUAUGGGUUAAUGUAUGGAGGACCAAGACAAGAUGACAGUCAGAUUGUUGGUUAUGUGGACUCAGAUUAUGCUGGGGAUCUGGAUAGAAGAAGAUCACUUACAGGAUACCUCUUCACACUCAACAACUGCACUAUCAAUUGGAAAGCUCAACUACAGAGUGUUGUGGCACUUUCAACCACAGAAGCUGAAUACACAGCUGCUGCAGAAGCAGUUAAAGAAGCCAUCUGGCUUAAAGGAAUGCUUAAAGAACUUGGUAUUGAUCAAAGGUCAAUAGUGAUAAACUGUGAUAGCCAAAGUGCAAUAUGUCUGAGCAAAAAUCAGACACACCAUGAGAGGACCAAACACAUCGAUAUCAAGUUGCAUUUCAUAAGGCUGGAAGUGAUAAGAGCAACUGUGAAGCUGCAGAAGAUCCAUACAGAUAAGAAUGUUGCAGAUAUACUGACUAAACCAGUGACAACUGCUAAGUUCAAGCUUUGCUUAGAAUUAGCAGGAAUCUGUCAAAAAUAAGUGACAGACAGUUAAAGAGAAGAGUAACAGGUUCAUGAGGGUUUCAAGCUCAAGGUGGAGAUUGUUGAAGUGUGAGCUCUGAAACUGAUUUCCAGAAAUCCAUACGACAUGUCAGUUCGUGAUUGGAACGGAAUACGACUGGUCGGUUAAGAUCAUUCAAAGCUGUAUGACAAGAUGUUCAUUCAUCUAUCUGUGAGUAAGUGAAGCACGUGGCCAUCACAUGCUUCCACUUAUCCAUACGACUUUGCUGAGUGCCGUUUUAGAGCCUGCAUUUAACGUGAAGCAAACACGUGGCUCAGAGGUCGUUAUGUUCUGUUACAAGAGCGGGAAAAUCUGGGUCUUAUUGACAGAGGAGAGCUGACUGGUGGGGGGAUUUUCUGGGCUCUCUUAAGCGUGUAUAUAUAGACUUAAGGGAUACGGAAUCAGGAAGUGUGAUGCUUGUAAUUUCAUCUUAAAACUUGUAUCUUGUUCCUGGUGAUUGAAUAAAGAUUGUUGCUCUGUUCUUCAGUGGAUGUAAGCCAUCUCCAGGCUGAACCACUUAAACUGUUUUCUCGUUUGUUGCUGUUCUUUAGCUUCUUCUGUGUAUCUUUUAUUUUGUUUCUUAGUCAAGCAUCAGAGUGUUUAGAGCAGUCUUGGGGAAUCUUGGUUGAUUAAAUUCGAUCAAGGCUCAACAGUUCUCAAUCAACAUUUGAACUUGUACAGUCAUAAACUCUCCAAAUUAAUAAAGUCCCACAUGUUGGUUUGUAAUUUUAUGAUUCUUAUAACUUUGUGACAAUUUAUGUCAGUUUGCACCAUGGUGUAGUAUUUCAACAAAAGUGAGAAAAAUGUGAAUAACCUUUUAUAAUUUCUUUUAUUUUAUUCAUAUUUAUAAUUAACCUAUUUAUUAAGUCAUAUGUCAUUUAUCUAUUAGAAUGAGAAAUUUUAUUUCACUUUUACUUAGAAUGCCACCAUAUUACUUAGAAUGAAAUCUUUAGAGAUAUUACAAAGUCGAAAGUAUUGUAUUAAUAAUUUUAAUAUGGUUAAGUUUUCAAAUAUUCCCUUAUGAAAUAACAAUCUUUAAAAACACUCCCAAACUUAUAAGUGAAAAAUGAGGGUGGGUUCAUGAAAUUUUUUUUGCUUUCUUUAGAAAAAUAGGAGGAAAGUUGAGAUUUACAAUAAAUUUGAGAAUAUUUCGAAGAUUAUUAUUUCAUAAAAGAGUAAUCCAAAAUUAACCACCUCUUUCAAUAUAAAUAAAAGAAAAUCCAUCAAGAUGGUAAAUACAAGCCAUGUGGACUUUCUUGUCACUUUCCAAAGAAAAGAAAAAAAAAACAAACUACUUGAUUGAGUUAAUUAAAGAACAAGUUGGAUAGAGACCGUUCUUUCCCUUAUGAAAUGUAUGUACAAUAGAUAUUUCUCAAAUAUAAUGAGGGUAGAAAAUCUAAGCUGUGCUUCAUAGAUUUUAUGUAGAAUAAUUUCAAGAAUUAUCUGAUAUUAAUAUUAGUAACCAAAAAAAAAUUAAGUAUGUAUUAAUAUUUUUGUUGUGAAAAUAACCCUAAUAUCACUGGAUUAAUCACACCCCAAGACCUAUUUCAGACUCCAAGAUUUAAGAACAAAAACUAAGCUAAUAAAAAACAAUCACCAGAUCAAAGAAACACAGCUCAAAGAAUCAAGAAUGCACAAAAACUUAAGUGGUUCAGCACCUUUGAGGGUGUCUACAUCCACUGGAGAAAACAACUCAGGGAGCAACUUUAUUAAGCUUCAAGGUUACAGAAAUGAUAACUCGCAAUACAGGGAACACUCAGCAGAGCUUUACUCUCACUAUGGCUUCCUUAUCACUCUCUCCUCGAUGAUACAAGAUUACACCAGAACCAGCAUAUAUAUAUCAGUUGUUGCUGGCGUUACAGAUCCAGAAGUUUCCCUCCAAAAUCAACAGCCUUAACUAACUAAUCACAAGCUUCUCACGUGCAAAUUAAAGCCUCCCUUAAACGACAUCAAGCCACACCGUUUAAGCUUUAACAGGCAUGUGUUCACCACGUGAGUGCUUAAGGUUUUGAACGACAUCAUUAAUUCGUCGGUGUUGGAUCUUUGAUUAGCUGAAACGACAUGUCACUCAUCUCUACAACUUUAAGACGACAAGUUGUUCUGACGAGUUUGAGUUCAUUUCAACAAUUUCUAAUUGAUUACGGGAAGAAGAACGAAAGGCAAAGUUUUCCAGAAAUAUUAGCAACAAUAUAAACAAAUAUUAUACUAAUCAAUGAUUAUCUUCGCUACCAGAACCGUAUGAAACCAGACUUAUUAUUACAGGGCAUUUAUUAUGAUCAGCAUCACCCCUAUUUCUUUUCAGCUAGCACUGCGGGUUCCGGAGAUUUUUCUGCUACAUCAAUCUUUUUCAUCGUAUCUGAAGACGAUUCUGCUUCACACACUGAACAUCUUUCUUAGGCUUCUUUGCCAGCGGCAUCACUUUCAUAAUCGAGCUCAAGGGACGAGACGCUGGAUUCUUCUUCCCAAUAAUUACUCUUUGUUGAUGAUCAUCAUCAUCAUGGCUUAUUAAUGUUUCCUUGGAAGCAACACAUUGUGAUGCCACGGCUGCCCUGAAACGCCGAAGCUCCAGGGCCUCUUCGUCAGCAAGCCGCCGCUCUUUUUCCUUCUUAUACGACUCCCAUCCGUCAAGAAACUGGGCCUCGUCUUCGUCCAAGGAUUUCGGAGGCUUGUGCUUCCGGUUGUCCUCGAGUUCCUUUUUCUGUUUGGCUUUGUUCUCGUUCAGUGUCUCGUGAAGAGGCCUGUCUUUUGUGCGAUCAAGUUUGAUUGGUGUGGUAAAGGUAAAGGAAGUUCCAGAAAGGAUAUGAGCUGAAGGAUUCGAGCUUGAAGAAGCCAUCACUUUGUAAACAGAGUGGCUCUGAUACCAAGUUAAAGAAGAGAAAGUGUUUGGUUGAAAGGAAAAUUCUAAAGCUCGAGAGAGAAAAUAUUAUCAGACUGAAUUCUUUUUUAUUAUUAUUUAACUGGAAUGAGGAAUUACAGGCUUUAUAUAAUCGAGCCUAGAAGGUUCUACAGCAACAAACGUAUGGAAAUUAUCUUAACAAAUUAUAACAAACUAUUGGCGGGAAUCAUUAACAACUUCUAAGAGUUGUACUGCACAUGUAACUAAUUGCUGAUAUGGUGAAUGACUCAGCAAUCUUUGCUGACUCAGCUGCUGACAUGGAUUCAUUCUUAACAUGCCCCCUUAAGCUCAAGGUCUUGGACAGACAUUGAGCUUAGCUCUCAUAUAAGCAAAAUGAUCAAAGCCAAGUGGCUUAGUAACCACAUCUGCCAAUUGAUUUGAGCUUGACACAUGUUCAACAGCAAAUUCCUUCUUGGCAAUGUGUUCUCUCACGAAAUGAAUGCCCAAUUCAAUGUGCUUGGUUCGUGAAUGAUACUUUGGGUUACUUGCCAGAGCCUCUGCAUUUUAAUUAUCACAAUACAGAACAGGUGUGUUGGUUAGCUGUAUUCUGAGCUCCUGUAACAAGUAUGAAAUCCAUAACACUUCUGAAGUUGUCAAGGUUAAGGCUCUAUAUUCUGACUCAGCUGAUGACCGAGAAACAACAUUUUGUUUCUUUGAUGACCAGGAAACAAGAUUGGAUCCGAGAAAGAUGCAGUAGCGUCCAACAAAUCUUCUGUCAUCAGGAUCUGAACCCCAAUCUGCAUCUGAGAAGGCUGUGAGGGAAAAAGACUUUGAAUUGUAGAACUGAAUCCCAUAGGUAGCUUUACACUGAAGAUACCUAAGUACCCUUUUGCAAGCCUGCCAAUGAAGCACAGUGGGAGCAGCUAAAAACUGACUUAACUUGUUGACAGUAAAGGCUAUAUCAGGCCUUGUCAGAGUUACAUACUGAAGAGAUCCAAUAAUACUUCUGUAAAGUGAAGGAUUUUCAAACAACUUCCCUUUAUCUUUGUACAACUUAUCAGCUACACUCAUUGGAGUAUUACAGCCUUUGCUGUCAAGCAUGUGAGCCUUCUUUAAGAUAUCUCCAACAUAUUUUGUUUGAGAAAGAUGUAACCCAGCACUUGAUGGAGUAACUUCUAAACCAAGGAAAUAGUUGAAGUCACCCAAAUCUUUAAGAGCAAACUCAGAGCCAAGAAGUGCAAUAAUCUUUUCUAUUUGUGCAUAGCUAGAACCAGUAACUAAGAUGUCAUCUACAUAGAUGAGAAUGACUAAAAUAUCUGAACCAGUGUGCUUAAGAAACAGAGAGGUAUCUGACCGAGAGGUUUGAAAGCCCCACUGCAGCAGAGAGCCUCUUAAUCUGUCAUACCAUGCACGAGGUGCCUGCUUAAGACCACACAAAGCUUUGUUUAACUUGCAAACAUAAGUUGGAUGUUGAGAAUCAAUAAAUCCUUCAGGUUGAUGCAUGAAAACCUCUUCAGUUAGUACACCAUUCAGGAAUGCAUUAUUGACAUCCAACUGCCUUAUGGUCCAAUGGUUUAUCACUGCAAGGCUCAAAAUUAUUCUGAUGGUACAAGGCUUUACAAUAGGGCUGAAAGUCUCAAAGAAGUCUACACCAUAGGUUUGAUGAAAACCUUUUGCAACUAAUCUUGCCUUAUACUUUGAAACACUUCCAUCUGGAUUAUACUUAACUCUAAACACCCAUUUGUUUCCAACAAUUUUGGUUGCUAACUCAGCUGGCACAAGAGUCCAGGUUUCAUUGUUCCUCAAGGCAUGUAACUCAUCUGUCAUUGCCAUAUACCAUUUCUGAUCUGCUAAGGCUACUUUGACACUAGCUGGUUUAACAUCUUGUGUGGCUGUAAGAUAUGUUUUAGGCUUGAAAAUUCAUGCUUUGGCUUUUGUAACCAUUGGAUGAGCAGAAACUAUUGGCAAGGAUGGUUGAGGAAGAGCUACUGGUGAGUUUUGGUUAGAUAUAUGAGAAUGAGCAUUUGAAGAGAGUGGUGAAGGAGGAGUGUUUAUAUGUGGUAAGGAAAGGGAGUUUAGUGUUGGUGAUACUGCUGGAACUGAUGAUGAUGUUGAAGGCUGUUGUGAUGAGCUACUGUCAUGAAGAAUGCAGAAUGAAGGAGAAGAAAUUUGAACUGACUUUGAUAAAGAAUCAGAAGAGAGAAACAAUUCAGAAUAAGGAAAUUCAUGCUCAUUAAAUGUAACAUGAAUGGCAAUGAACACUCUCCCUGUUUUAUCUAGACAUUUGUAACCCUUAUGAAGAGGGCUAUAACCUAUAAACAAACACUUUUGAGAGUAGAAGUCAAGUUUGUGUUGAUUAUAUGGUCUGAGUAAGGGAUAACAAGCACUGCCAAACACUCUAAGGAAGUCAUAAUUUGGUAAUUGCUGAAACAACUUUUGAUAAGGUGACUGAUUGUUUAGAACUGUGGUUGGCAUUCGAUUAAUAAGAUAAGAAGCUGUGUGAAAAGCUUCCCACCAGUAAGAAACAGGCAUUUGGGCUUGAGCAAGAAGAGUUAACCCUGUUUCUACUAUAUGCCUAUGCUUCCUUUCCACCACACCAUUUUGAUGAUGUGUGUGAGGACAGCUGUGCCUAAAUUGGAUACCCUCUCGGUGAAGAAAAGAAAUAAAGGCCUUGAACUCUCCCCCCAUGUCAGAUUGUAAAGCUUUGAUAGGGAAACUGAACUGUUUUUCUACCAGGGUUUUGAAGUUUUUAAAGGUACCUAAAGCAUUUGAUUUUAGCACAAGAGGAAAGAUCCAGCAGUACCUAGUGUAAUCAUCAACAAAAGAAAUGUAAUAUCUAUAGCCUUCCAUAGAAAGUACAGAGGCUGGUCCCCAAAGAUCAGUGUGGAUUAAUUCAAGAGGAUAUUUUGAUUUGAUGUCAGUUGCUGAAAAAUGAAACUGGUGUAAUUUGCCAAGUUGACAUGCAUUACAGAAUUCAAGUUUUUGCUUAUUAUCACCAAUAAAUGUUAUACAAUUAUUUCUCAAGAGAGUUUGAACAACAUGCUUGCUUGGAUGACCAAGUCUAUUAUGUAAAAGACUGACUGAAACAUUGCUUGAAGCAUGAAAGCUUACUGGAGAACUAGACUUUAUUUUCUCAAACAAAGGAUCAACACAAGUUUGCUGAGAAGAAAAAACUGACACCAUUGAACUUGGUUGGAAUACUGAUGUAUCAGAAGAAAAUGACUCUCCAUAUGACAGUAGCUUAUACAGCCCACCUUCAACAAUCCCCUGAGCCAGUAGUGUUCCCUUCACUUUGUCCUUUAGAAAACAGGCAUCAAAUGAGAAUUCAAUUGUUAUAUCACUGUCAGAAAGAAGCUUAGAGAUACUUAUAAGAUUUUUGGUAAUUUUAGGAACACAUAGAAUAUCACGAAGAUGAAUGCAUGCACCAAAAGAGGUAUACAAACAUGCAUUACCAAUAUGUGUGAUUUGAAGACCUUGGCCAUUUCCUACAAGUAGAGAAUUGGUACCAAAAUAAGUCUUACCAUCAGUUAAGUUCUGAACUGAGUUGGUAAGGUGAUGGGUAGCUCCACUGUCAAGGUACCAGCCUUGAUCAGCAACUCCCUCAGAUGUAGCCAUAUAAGCUGACUUUGGUCCCUGAUUUCGAUGAUAGCCUUGAACUGGAAAGCUUGGAGCAAAAUUUUUGUUAAACCUGUCUCUACACUCAGCAACAGUGUGGUUAAACCUAAAACAAAUCUGACACAUAACACCUCCCUGGGCAAAGUUCUUUCUAUUACCCCCAAAACCACCUCUGCCAAAACCACCAGCAUUAGCAUUUCCAUUGUUAAAGUUACCAGCAAAACCUCCAUUAUUAAAAUUUCCACCAGUGUUAAAACCACCAGCAAAGCCUCUGCCAGCAUUAAAAUUCUGAUUCCAGUUACCAUUCCAAUUACCUCUUCCUUGACCUUGAUAUCCGCCUUGAUAUCCACCUCUACCACCAGAAUUCUGAUUCCAGUUACCUCCACCAUUUUUGUUCCAGUUAUUUUGAUUAUUACCAUUCCCUUUCUUUUGAAAAUUCUCAGUUUGAGCUACAUUAGCCAUAAAGUUGUUUUUAACUUCUUUACUGUCAACAUUCUUACUAUUAUCAAGCCUAGCCUCAUGUGUCAACAACGUAGCAUAGGCUUCACUCAGAUCCAUGGUCAACAUAUUUGCUUCAAUGUAAACAACUACAAGAUAAUAUGAAUGAUCUAAUCCAGUGAUAAGAUGAGUAAUUAGACCAGUGUUGCUGAGAGGACUUCCAGCUAAAGCAAGACCAUCAGAGAUAGUUUUAAGUUUUGUGAAAUAUUCAGUCAUAGACACAGAUCCUUUUCUUAGGUUACUAAGAAGCAUUUUAAGAUGAACUUUCUUAGCCAUUGAUUCUGAUCCGAACUGUUUUUCAAGUUUCUUCCAUAGCUCAAGAGAAGUUUGAGAGCUUACCACGAGACUAAGAAUCUCAAGACUCAUUGAGGACAUGAUCCAGCUGAGUAGAAGCUGAUCCUGACGUUUCCAUGCAACAUAAUCUGGAUUUUCACAACCUUCUCCACUUGCUUCACCAGAUCUAGAUCUAUUAGGAAGAAAUUGAUCUGGACAGAGCUUAGAUUCAUCAAUGUAAUUCUCAAGACCAUUUCCACGAAUUGAAGAGAGAACUUGUUGUUUCCAGAUUGUAUAAUUUGUGCGAUCAAGUUUGAUUGGUGUGGUAAAGGUAAAGGAAGUUCCAGAAAGGAUAUGAGCUGAAGGAUUCGAGCUCGAAAAAGCCAUCACUUUGUAAACAGAAUGGCUCUGAUACCAAGUUAAAGAAAAGAAAGUGUUUGGUUGAAAGGAAAAUUCUAAAGCUCGAGAGAGAAAAUAUUAUCAGACUGAAUUCAUUUAUUAUUAUUAAACUGAAAUGAGGAAUUACGUGCUUUAUAUAAUCGAGCCUAGAAGAUUCUACAGCAACAAACGUAUGGAAAUUAUCUUAACAGCUUGUAACAAACUAUUGGCGGGAAUCAUUAACAACUUCUAAGAGUUGUGCUGCACAUGUAACUAAUUGCUGAUAUGGUGAAUGACUCAGCAAUCUUUGCUGACUCAGCUGCUGACAUGGAUUCAUUCUUAACAGGAAAAGCUAAACCUAUCUAUAACAAUGAAUUUGUAUUUUUAGGGUUGACGGGGUACCUCACUGGUUUGUUGUGUGCGGUGUAUCUGGAAUUUGGGGGAGGUGAGAAGGGAAGAGGGAGUGGUAACAAUGGAGAAAUGUCAGAACUAAGAAAAAAUUCCUUCCAAAUGAGCUCCACGCCUGCAAAACAGUGAAAUAAAGGUUAGAGGUGAAGCCGGGGUACCCUGGCGUUCACACUCCGAUGCUCAAGUUAGCAAACUCAAGCUUUUUUAAUGGCAAAGAAAGCUUGCCAGCCCUCUGUAAAUCAAAGUUUAAGGUUGAAGAAAGCUUAUUUUGUGGAGUGUAAGUGAAUGAUAAAAACAUCAGGGAGAAUAAAACCUAGAUAUCUUUAUAUAUGGAGUACCUCAGUUGCCACGUGGCGUAUCCUUUUUGGCUAAUGUCUUUUUACCUUUUUAUGAUUUUUGGGUCGUUAUGUGCAUGUUCGCGGUGUCACUCAUCCUUUGAAAACGUGGCGCGCUCUGGAAAGUGGUCCAGGGUACGUCUGCAGGGGCUGUCGGGUAGGCAGCUGAGGACCAUUGUCCUUCACUUUUGGCAGAGGUGACAGGCGACUGUCCCCCCCUCUUAGUACGACGUUUUUGAUUCCUAAUUCUGACAAAAUCGAAUAUUAUCUUUUAAGAGGUGGAGACGUUUCUCAUGACAGACUUUUUCGAAGGGUUCUCUUGCAUCCAAUCUAUCGAGUACCUCGAAUUAUAUGGGGUAUCCUGAUCCAUGUAGGGUACCUCGAGUUACUCUAGAGUUAAAUGAGGUACCUUUAAUUAUAUGGGGUACCCUAAUCUAUGCAGGGUACCUCUGAUCGUGCUGGGUAACUCUAAUUAUCUUGGGUACCUCUAAUUACGUCGGGUACCUUUAAUCAUGCGGGGUAUCUCGGAUUACACUAAAAUUAUUCCAUUCGUCGACAUGUGGCAUUUUCCUAUCUUUCCUGUUUUUCCCUCCAACAAUAUAAUUUAGCUAGAACUUUAGACGAUCACCAGUAUAACGAUAUGUGUGGACUUACUUAUGUUAAUGAUUAUGAAUGAAUACUUUGUGCUACUGGGACUCCGAAAAUUAAGUUCCCCGAGCCCAAGUUUGAACAAUACAAAAUACAAAAUCCUAAUUAAGUUGAAUGACAAGGUUUCAAAAAUAAAAAUUAUAAGUAAUUAAAUUCUUCUUAUCUAUAAACACAGGUGUGAUAAAAGAUUGUAAAAGUCUCGUCACAGCUAAUUGAUGAAUACUACAAAUCCGUUUCAAUUCUAUAAUUUUUUUUAUAUUUUUAGUUGUAAUUUUAGUACAUGAAAGAUUAUUUUCGAAUAGAUAAAUUGUUACUAGAUUGAACAAAAUCCUUAUAGAAAUUGGAGUAGCUAGCGGCUCUCGGUUCACUUAUUUCAUAAAGAAAAAUUCGGAGACCCGACUAGAGAUAUAUGAUCAAAGAUAUUAUUGUCCCUGAGAUGGUAACCGUAUAAAGCGAGAAUUGGAUUGUGAUAUAUGUAAGUUGUAGAAUUUGCUAAAAACAGGAUAGUGAAAGUUACUAUAACGAAGAAAUCAAUGGACCAAAGAAAUAAUUUACAGCCACCAUUAUAUUAUAAGGAAGUUACUCCCAAAAUAAUGCUAAAACAGAGUUUUCAACGUCAAGGACUUUGGUGCCGUGGCCGAUGGCAUUAAGGAUGACAGUAAGGUAAGAAAAAUAAGAUCCGCAGCUUAGUAGUUAGUAGCCACAGCUGCUAAACAACAGCAUGAAAUGAAAGCCUUAUUUGAGAACGUCGUCGCUUUACUAAUUAAAUAGUAAGUAUUUGGUUCUUGUUUGUUUAAUAUAGGCUUUUGAAACUGCUUGGAGAGAAGCCUGCAACUGGGAUGGAAUAAAAAGCGCAGUAUUGGUUCCACCGGGAAAGUACUUAGUGAGUUUUGCCGAAUUUGAAGGCCCCUGCAAAGCUCCAAUUUCCUUUCUACUUCAAGGGUUUGCCCAGGCACCCGCUGGCCUAGCAAAACUACCAGAUAAACAAAGCUGGAUUUCUUUUCAAUAUCUCAGACACUUCACUCUCUCUGGCGAAGGAACAUUCCACGGCCAAGGCGAAACUGCAUGUCCACUAAAUCAAUGCCACAAAAACUCCGAUUGCCAGCUUCCCACAGUAAGUCUCGUUAACAAUGCUCUGUUCCUUCCUUCUUCUUUUUUUAACCCUGCUAAUGAAAACAAGAUGAAAUAAUUAGUUAAUAUUACUUUGGUGUCUAAUUGACAGUCUAUACGAUUCAAUUUCUUGAACGACUCAACAAUUACUGGAAUAAAAUCUGUUGAUAGCAGAUACUUCCACAUUAACAUUUUGGGUUGCUACAAUCUGAAGCUAAAUGACCUUAAAAUCACAGCACACGCGGAUAGUCCUAAUACUGAAGGAAUUCAUAUUGGAAGUUCAAAUGGGAGUGAGAUAUCACAUUCAGUUAUAGCCACCGGUGAUGACUGUGUCUCUCUUGGUCAAGCAGUAAAAAUAUUUUGGUGUCUGACGUCUUUUGCGGACCAGGACAUGGUAUCAGUGUUGGUAGCCUGGGAAAGGGUAUAAACGAUGAAGAAGUUGUUGGAUUGACUGUGAGGAACUGUACCUUCACAGGCACAAGUAACGGGGUUAGAGUUAAAACAUGACCUGAUUCUCACGUUGGAAUCGCUUCCAACUUCGCUUUUGAAGACAUUGUCACGCUGCUGUACGGCCAAGGCGGAUGUACGGUACAGCAGAUGAAUAUCUUACUUUACAUUUUUUUUUAAAAAAAAAAGUGAAUCCUUCCAAUAGAGUAGGGAAGAAAAAAAAAAUUUGCCUACUCUGUUGCAAUUUGUACAGUCAAACACUGAAAAUAUAUAAAAAUAUAAUAAAAAGUAGGUUUGAACCAUUGUCACCAAAUCCUCAUAUUCAUUUCUAAUCCAUACUUCCGUUAAAGAGGCUAGAGAAAGGUCUGAUAUAAAACAUUUUUUAAACUUGAAAUACUGGUGCUUUACUUUUCUGUGAGAUAUUACAAACUAUUAUGCUUCAGCUUAAUUUUUAAAGCAGACCGCUCAGUUAUAACUUGACAGCUAAUGAUUACAUGCCCUGCCGUUGAUAUUUUACAGGUUCCUUCGCAAGUGAAGACCAGCAAUGUGAGAUUCAAUAACAUCCGUGGCACUUCAGCUAACAAGGUUGUCGUUUAGUCUUGUGUGUAGCCAAUAGAUUCCAUGCCAAAAUAUUGGGAUUGGGAAUAUAAACUGGGUGUAUAAUGGCGUUAAUGUUAAGGUUGAGGGUCCUGAAACGACAUCUUUGUGUUCCAAUGUUAAACCAACUCUCUUCGGAAAGCAAAUCCCAGCUACUUGCGUCUAGAUCUCCAGACUCUUCAUCUUUUAUAUAUACACAUUUUGUUAUUUUUCAUUACUGUAUACUAAAUUUAGGAGUGAGUACAUAUUAAAUAUCAUAUCCCGCAUAUACCAAACGAGGGUCUCCAUUGAGAUUAAUGACUUCACUUGUACUUGCUUUACUUGAAAAUAGAUGAAUUGUUGUUCUUUUCCACUUUGCCAUCAACGUACGGCUCGUCUUCCUUCUAUUUUUUAAUGUACGACAUGCUUUUUUCAAACUUUAUUAUAUGGCUCUUUGGAAGCAUGUAGAGUAAAGCAUGUACAUAUGCAAUAAGAAGAAUGAAAUAUGAUUAGAAAAUUACUCUUAAUAUACGAAAAAAUCUCAUAACAUUCCAAAUAUACCUAAAAAGUUUGCUGUUUGAUAACGAUUUAGACUUGAAUGAGUGAUAAAAUUGGUGUUUGAUGAGUGCGUGUGAUAAAUUGUUUGAACUGUACAGAAGUAUAACACACAUGCCCCUUUGAUGCUGCUUACUUAGUGGUGUAUGCACUUACGGUGUGUUUACUAAUCAAUAAUCGAAAUGGGUUGGAAUAAGAAUGAGUUAGAAUCGGAAUGGGAAAUGAUAAUUCGAAUAAAUUGUUUACAUUAACUGUAGGAAUCAGAAUCGAAAUGAGUUGCAUUAUUAUUAAUGUGCUUACUUAAUUUGGAAUCGAAACGAAUUAUUUAAUAAAAUAUUAAAAUACCCUUAGUUUAUUAUUGUAAAUAUUAUUAUUUAUUACAAUAUUGGUUAUAUUAUCAAAAAAAAGAAUAAUAACAAAAAUAAUAUUAUCAUCAUUGUUUGUUCUGUUAUUAUUAUUCAAAAACUUAUUGCUAAUAACAAUAAGAAAUAAUAAAAAUGUUAUUUCAAUAAUGAUAGUGAUAAAAUUAAUAACAAUUGACAUGUCAAUUGUUGAAAUUGUUAUUAAUUUUAUCAUUAUCAUUAUUGAAAUAACAUUUUUAUUAUUUCUUAUUGUUAUUAACAAUAAGUUUUUGAAUAAUAAUAACAGAACAAACAAUGAUGAUAAUAUUAUUUUUGUUAUUAUUCUUUUUUUUUAAUAAUAUAACCAAUAUUGUAAUAAAUAAUAAUAUUUACAAUAAUAAACUAAGGGUAUUUUAAUAAUUUAUUAAAUAAUUUGUUUCGAUUCCAAAUUAAGUAAUCACAUCAAUAAUAAUACAACUCAUUUCGAUUCCGAUUCCUACAGUUAAUGUAAACAAUUUAUUCGAAUUACCAUUUCCCAUUCCGAUUCUAACUCAUUCUUAUUCCAACCCAUUUCGAUUCUGCACACAUACAUAUUAUAUUCCUUUUCUAGUGUGGGCAUCCUCAUUUUUUUCAUGCUGGUAUGCUGUUAAAUCGUACAGUUGAAUAAAAUCGGUGCAAACAUAGUAUUAACCGCAUGAUUUAACAACAUGUCCAUACUAAAAAAAAAAUGAGGGAGCUUGCACUUGAAAAUGAUAUAUAUAUAUAUAGUCUGACAAUGACAUUGACUUUACUGCUCUACUAGUGCUAUACGUUUGAUUGAGGAUAUUGUAAGCUUGUGUGCGAUUCCUUUUGAUUUUACAUUUUCUCAUUGAUGAUACUUUGCUCUCAGACCAGUAAAAGAAGUCAUUAGUGGAAUCUAAGUCAGUUCUUGGGAUAAAUGUUUGUUUUACCAUUUAGACCAUGGUGUACUUGAAUCAUGCUCUUCGGCAUUUUGAAUUCUUCUGCAGUUCUUUCUCGAAAUCCAAUUCGCGAAAUCGGCGAUUCUCUGCUCAAUAUGAAAUCUAUUAUAAAGGUAAGCAAUGCUUUGAUCAUCAAUUGUCUUUACCUAAUAUUUUGAAAGACUGUUGCUAAGGCUGUUAAUCUAAAUUGGACCCAACUCUCUCUCUUAAGUUGCCAAGUUCAGAUUAUUGGUUCCUCACUGAAGUAGUGCACUGAAUUAAAAGAACCCCGACUUGCUUAUAGUGACAAAAAGGUAAAUGAUGUUCCCAGGGGUCAUUUUAUUGAUAGCCAGCUGUCCUCAAAUUCAUUAUAUAUAUUCUUUUUAUUUGUUAAUAUUGUCAUUGAUAUCUUGUUCAUUUCUUAUGUUGUCUUUCUCCAUCUCACUCUCUGGCUUGCCUAGACUCUCCUAGCCGAGUUUCCUUAUUAUUAGAAGCUUCAAAUUUGGACUUGGGAAAUAAUUUGAUCACAAGAUCUCAGAAAUGAAAGUGAAGCAUGAAAAUUUUUUCUUUUAUAUUUCUUCAUUAAGUUUUUAUUUUAUUAUAUAUAUACAUACUUUCUUGCCAUGUAUAACGGCAACAUGCUUGAAUGGCAGGUGCUAAAUUCAUUAGUUAAUCCUCAAUCUACAAGGAACACUGUAGCUAAAUAUCAAAAAUUGGCAGAGAAGGUAAUGAUGGUUCUUCAAUUGUAGAUUUUUGCUCCUAACAGGACUAAUCUGGAAUCAAUCAAUAUUAUAGCAGGUAAAGAAAGCCACUCUUGCAUAUAUUCAAUGUUAGACCAAUAGAUAAAAUGAUGUGGUCCCAGUCAAAGCUAAUUAAGAUAGAUUUCUCUUAGGGUGAGAAUAACCACAAGUAAUUGAAUUUAAUUGAUACUGAACAAUUUUAUUCUUGCUGUUCGAGCUUAUUUAUACUCAGAACAAUAUUAAGCCAGAACAAUCUCAACUGAUCGUGAUUGUUGGCUGAUUCUAGGCUGACUUAUUCUCUUGAACUAACAGCUAAAUCAAAUAACAAUAAUUCAAAUAAUAAGAAAUCAAAUAACAUAAAAUCAGCAAGUGAAGAUUCUUUGGAGACCAAGUCCAUCCGCAAAACUAGUGGAGUGCACAUGUGUCCCUUCAGCUACCAAGAUCUCAUGCAGCAGCUCAUGUGUAUCCUUGAUACAGGGUAUUAGGCUUAGGUACCCUUGAUGAGCGUCGAGGCCUAUCAUAAAACACCAAAAAUGAGAAGGACGAUGUUGUUGAUAAGGUUAGUGAUUCCUCAAAUAGUAAGUGAAAAUCAAAUGACAAACUCUCAAUGAAAGAAAUUCUGCAGAGCGGAAUUGAUUUGCAGCUGGAAGAAAUUGGUGAGUGAAAAUCAAAAGAGAAGGAAGGGGAGCUUGAUGCUAUUGGUGAUGCAAAGAACUCUGGAGGCCCGUGCCUCGUCAAAACAAAGAUGGUCAUCCAAAAUCCAAAUGAUUCUAGAGAUGUUGAUCAUGGAGUUUUCUUUUUUAAGAAUCAUGAUUCUUAAUAAAAUUAGACAGCUACUUUUAGAAUGCAAAAUCGUAUGCUACAGUGGGUAAAGUUUUAUAGCUUGUGAAUAAUGCAUAUCUAUCGAGGUUUUGUUUGGUAUUACGACGGUGUAAAAAAAAUUAUAAUUAUAAAAUAAAAGUGAAUAGUAUAUGGUUAAAAUAAAUAAUUUUAAUAAAAAUAGUGAAGAUAACUAAAUUUUUCAUCAUAUAAAUGUGAAAUAAAAUUAACUAAACUUUUAUCCAACACUUUAAUAAUGUAGCCUUAUAAACUUAAAAUGAUGGUAGGUUUGUUCAUUAUCGAUUCCCCAAAUUCGACACCAACUUGCAUUCAACACUUCAAAAAGAUAGAAAAUAGAAGAAAAAAUAGUGAGGGAGAAAAAUGCAUUGUUAACCCGUUCGAAGGAUCUAUUAAAGGAGAGUGAACAUUAUUAUUAAUGAAACUAGUUGAAUUGCAAUCCUCACCAUUUGAAUUGUAAUCCUCACCAUUCAUUCUUUCUUAAUCGAAAGGUUCAAAAUUAGUGUUAAAAUUGUCUAUAAAAUUGAGGCUGCUUAACUUGUCCCAUUGAUUAAUAUAAAUAUAUUCAAUUCAAUAUUCAUUGGGAUAAAAUUAGUCACUUGAAAUGAACAAUGAAAAAAUUGUGGGUGCCUGCGCUUGACUUCGACGUGUAAAUUACUUUUUUUUCCCCCUCAAUACCAUUACUUCUAAAUAUUAGCAAGUCCUGAGGACGUCCAAUCUGUUUUACGCAUAGAUUACUUUAAAAUACCCCAGUUAAAAGAAAACUGUGAGAUCGAUUAUAUUCAUUCAAUGAUACAAACCAGAGUUAGCAUGUAAAAAAGAAAAAAAAAAGAAGUGGGACAAAUUAGUUCAUUAUCAUUCACAUUACAUGGCUGCAAAUUAAUUGAGUUAGUAAAUCUUAAUUAACGACCUUAAAAACUCCAGUUUUUCUCAAAGACUUAAUGAUCCUAGUAAUGAGCAUGUAAAUUGUUUGCAGAAAAUCGAAGUCAUGGAUACUUUUCAAACAUAAUAUUCCAAAUUAGAUUGAACCGAACGUAUCAAAUGGGCAAACAAAGGACGUCACGAACGUAUCAGAUGGGCAAACGCUAGUAAGGGAACUAAAACUGAAUUUUAUUGGCCUGCUGUACCGUACAUCCGCCGGCAAACAGAGGACAAUCAUGAACGUAUCAUAUGGGCAAAUGGAGGACAUUAUAAAUAUCAAGCAUAUAUUAACAUUCUCAGGAGCACACUUCCUUUCCCCAUAAUUAAUUCAUCACUAUCCACUGUAAUGAAAUCAACCAUCAUGAGUGUUUCUUUUGCCCUUGUUUUCCUUGAGUUGUUUGUUAUGGCUACCAUGAUCAACAUCAGCUUCUGCAAUGGCAACUCUUACGUGGGUUGCUUAGACGGUGAAAGAGAAGCACUUUUAAAGUUGAAACAAGAUCUCGAAGAUCCUUCCAGCCGUCUUGCCUCUUGGAAUAUUAGGGAUGAAGAUUGUUGUGCUUGGGAUGGUGUUGUUUGUAACAACUUCACCGGCCAUGUCCUUCAGCUCAACCUCAGAAACCCUAAUCCUGAUCCUAAUUUUGGCACGGGGUCAACGCUGGUUGGUAAGAUAAACCCCUCUUUGGUUGACUUAAAGCAUUUGAUUCACUUGGACUUAAGCGAUAAUGAUUUCCUGGGAAUUCAGAUUCCCAAAUAUCUUGGUUCUCUUAAGAACCUUAGAUAUCUAAAUCUAUCUGGAGCCGAAUUUGCAGGAGUGAUUCCUUACCAACUUGGAAAUCUCUCCAAUCUUCAAUAUCUUGAUCUCAGUAAGAAUUAUAAUGAGUUACAAGUUGAAAGUCUUUCAUGGCUAUCUGGUCUUUUCUUGUUAGAGCACCUCGAUCUGAGUCAGGUUGACCUUAGUAAAUCCUCUGACGGUUUACUGAAGGUAAACUCACUCCCUUCUUUAAAAGUAUUAAAGUUGUCCUCCUGUGAACUCCAUCACUUUCCUUUGUCAUCCUCUGCUAAUUUUUCCUCCCUUAAGGCCCUCGAUCUUUCUGGAAACCAUUUUAAUAACUCUCUGUUUCAAUAUAGUAGUUGGGUUUUUGGUCUUCGUAAUUUAGACUUUUUCGAUCUUAGCGAUAAUGAAUUUCAAGGUAGAAUCCCCAUUGGACUGGGAAACUUGACGUUUCUUAGGCAUCUUGAUUUAUCUUCUAAUGAAUUCAAUUCUGCAAUACCUGGCUGGUUGUCUAAGCUUAAUGAUCUUGAGUUCCUUUCUCUUAGAGGUAAUAGCUUGCGAGGUGCGAUUUCAUCGAUGGGUCUUGAACACUUGACUUCUAUCAAAACACUCGACCUUUCUUCCAAUACAGAACUUGGAGGGCAGAUUCCAACAUCAUUUGUAAGACUUUGUAAGUUAACAUCAAUAGACGUCUCAUAUGUCAAAUUGGGUCAAGAUUUAUCACAAAUCUUAGAUAUCUUCUCUUCAUGUGGUGCAUAUGCACUAGAGUCACUGGUUUUGAGCAGUUGUCACAUUUCUGGUCAGAUGACAAAUCAACUCGGGCAAUUCAAAAGUCUGCAUACUCUUGAAUUGAAAGAUAACUCUCUUUCAGGUCCACUUCCAUCUGCUUUAGGAGAACUUACAUUUUUGACAGAUCUAGAUCUUUCCGAAAACAGGCUGAAUGGCUCUAUUCCAUUGUCUCUAGGACAAAUUUUGAACUUAGAACAUCUAGAUUUGUCCAGCAACUUGUUGAAUGGUGCUAUUCCAAUGUCUUUGGGACAAUUAUCACACUUAAAACUUCUGGAUUUGUCGAACAACACGUUGAAUGGAACUCUUUCUGAAAUUCACUUCGUCAAUCUAACAAAAUUGACCUCAUUUUAUAUAUCUAAAAACUCUCUAAUCUUGCAAGUAAAUCCGAACUGGGUUCCUCCUUUUCAACUCGAUGCAUUGCUAUUGAGCUCAUGUCAUUUAGGGCCUCAUUUUCCAUCGUGGCUUCAUUCGCAAAAGCAUUUGUCUGUUUUGGACAUAUCCUACACAAGAAUUUCUGAUACUAUUCCUCGUUGGUUUUGGAAUUCCAUCUCCCAGUAUACGUACUUGAAUCUCUCUCACAACCAAAUUUACGGUGAGAUUCCAAAUCUUUCUUACCGUCAAUCGCCUCUUCUACCUAACUCACCUGACUUACUUGAUUUUUCUAAUAAUAGUUUUUCGGGGUCCAUUUUUCCUUUAAUAUGUAAUGGGUUAAAGAGCAUUUCUCAUCUGCAACUCUCGAAAAAUUACUUUUCUGGGGAUAUACCUGAUUGUUGGAUGAAUUGGCCUGAAUUGGAGAUGCUGAAUUUAGGUAAUAAUAACCUUACCGGUAGUAUUCCGACCUCAAUUGGAACUUCACGUUCUCUUCGGUCAUUGAACCUGCGCAAUAAUAGAUUGUCUGGAUUCAUUCCCGAGUCAUUUCAAAAUUUUUCAAGUUUGGUAACUCUUGACAUGGGUGAAAAUGAGUUUGUCGGGAACAUCCCAACAUGGAUGGGAGAAAGAUUUUCUGGAUUGUCAAUUCUCAUUCUUCGGUCAAACAAGUUUCACGGCUAUUUGCCAAUUCAACUUUGUGGUCUAACUUCUUUACAAAUUUUAGAUGUUGCACAUAACAAUCUCUCAGGGGCCAUACCCAGAUGCAUCAGUAACUUCACUGUUAUGGCGACGACGGACCCAUCUUCAAUACUGAUUGAGAUGGAUGCAUCCGUUGUGACGAAGGGGGUUUUGGUUGAAUAUAGCUCCAUUCUGAAUUUGGUAAAAAGCAUAGACAUUUCGAAAAAUAAUUUCUCAGGGGAAAUACCUAUGGAACUGACAAAUCUUAAAGGAUUACAAUCACUGAAUUUGUCCUACAAUUUUUUCACCAGAAAAAUCCCUGAGAAAAUUGGUGAUAUGAAAUCAAUUGAGUCCCUCGAUUUCUCAGCGAACCAACUUUCUGGUGAAAUUCCCCGAAGUAUGUCAAGUUUGUCAUUUUUAAGUCACCUGAACUUGUCCAACAAUCACUUGACAGGGAAAAUUCCUUCAAGUACUCAAUUGCAAAGCUUCGAUGCAUACUCUUUUGCCGGCAACAAUCUAUGCGGAGCGCCACUUCCUAAUUGUACUGAGAAGAAUCCUCUUGUACCUGAAGAUCCAAAUGGAAAUGGAAACGAAGAUGAAGAUGAAGAUGAAGUGGACUGGUUGUUGUAUGUAAGCUUGGCACUUGGAUUUGUAGUGGGUUUCUGGUGUUUCAUAGGUCCUCUACUUGUCAGCAGAAAAUGGAGGUUCAAGUACUGUCAUUUUUUGGAAGGCUUUAUGGAUGAAUUUUGCUGCUUUGUAAGAAGAUGUUACUAGACUUUUCCGUGUCUGAAUGUUUGUUAUAUUAUGUACUUUAGGACCGAAGAUGUAAUGUCACUCGAUCAUUACAAUAAAAGGGGGGAGUGGACAUUUGAGCCCUCUAAAAUUACGCAAUUUUAGAACAGUUUUAGAAUGACAUAUUGUUGUCCCUUCAUUAGUUCGAUUGCCCAUGAAUGUCCCUUCAUUAGUUCAUCCUACAUUGCUAAUAAAGAACAGUUUUAGAUAGUUUUAGACAUGUAGGAUGUCUAGAGUUAAUAUAACAUACAUACCUUUGGGCGAAGUUCGAUUGCCCAUGAAUGUCUUUUGUGCUCACAAUGACUCAAGUUCAAUUAAUAAUAGCAGGGUUAAGAGUAUGAUAUUUAAUGGGGAGACUUCUUGUUUCCAUUCAAACUUAAUAAAAAAAAAAUGUCUAACAAAAUAUAUUUUUGGGCAUUGUGAUCCGGACCAAAAAAAAAGAGAGAAAAAUGUUGAGCUAUUUUUUGUGAAUUGGCCUAAGAAUUGGAUCAUAUUUGUAAAUUUUACUAAAAUGAACUCCAUUUGGUUUCGACAAAAGAAUUACAUAGAAACGACGUGUCGGUUGACGUCAAACGAGAACGGUACAUACACUGAUUGAGAGUUUAGGGAUAAACCUUGCACUGCAGCAAGAGGUUUUGAAAGCAAGGGUUUAGCGAAUUCUCAAAGACUAAACAGAAGAAGCCAAAUCAUGACACGAUUGAGCACCCAGCAAAUUUUGAAGGACAACAAGACUUGCGAUCCCAAUUCCAUAAAAUCUCUGAGUCUCACUCACAAAGCUCUCUCCGACGUCUCUUGCUUGACCGAUUUCAACAACUUGGAGAGACUCGACCUUAGCUCCAACAACCUCACUUCUCUUGAGGUACCUACCAUUCAUUCAUUUCUCCGACACCCCAGUAACAAAUUUACGCCUUUAUCAUUUUUGGCUUGAAAUUUCUUUUUUUUUUUAAUUUUAUUUGUAGGGGUUGAAGCAUUGCGUGAAUUUGAAGUGGCUAUCACUUGUGCAAAACAAAUUGCAAAGCUUAAAAGGAAUCGAAGGACUCUCUAAGCCCACUGUAAGUGUCAUUCCCUUGCUUUGUUCAUGAUAUUUUACAUUUUUUACACUUUUAAAUGUUUGCUUAUGAGAGAUUCUUGUUUUCCCAUGAGAAGGUUUCAAUGCUUAUUGUUACUGGCGAUUUGGUCGAAAUCUUUUAUCCGUUUGUUAUGAUUGUCCAUUGGGACACUUGCUGGAACUAAACUAGUUGUUUGAAGUCGUUUAGGUUUGGAAAUGAUGAGCUAAUUGGAUUAUUUAAAUUCACCUUGUUCUGUCUUUGAAGUUCAGGUGUUGAAUGUGGGCAAAAAUAAGCUUAGAUCGAUGGAUGACGUGACGUCUGUUGUGAGCUUACGUGCUUUAAUUCUGAAUGGUGAGAUUUAGACCCUAAGUGCAGCACCCUCUUUGUAAGUUGAUGAUAUGAAUAUAUGGAAAUCAUUUAUUUUUUUAACCUUUUUUUUUUCUCUUUUUUGGAGUUGUGCAGACAAUGAGAUUGUUUCAAUAUGCAAGCUUGAUCAGAUGAAGGAAUUGAACACUCUUGGUAUGGAUUCUUAUUUCUUCAAGUUCACACUUCGUUGUAUUUGAUAAAAUUUAUUCAUUUGGCUGGUCGUUGUUGGUAGAUUGACAUUACAUGCUCUAGCCUAUGUUUAUUCAAGUGUUGUUGUCUAUAUAGAACUUUGGUGAAAAUGGGAGAGGAAUAAGAGCUGUAAUUCUUUGAGAAGUAACAAAUUACAUUUUUCUUAGAGCCAAUAUUCUUUAAUUCUAUUAAUUUUACCUGUUCUAGGAUUUGGUUUAAAGGAGUGGUGAAGGCAUGGUUGAACAUCUAUUCUAGGACUUUUCAGUAGAGAGAAAGCCUGUGUGAUUUUGAGGGGAUAGCAAACUCGUGUGCAAUUCCUUUUGAUUUUACAUGUUCAUGAUUGAUGAUACUUUGUUCAGAUCAAGUCAAUAUUGGAAUUUAAGUUGAUUCUUGGAUAAAAGUUUGUUUUACCAUUAAGACCGUAGAACCUGAAUCAUGCUCUUUGGCGUUGGGGAUUGUCCUGCAGUUCUUUCUCGAAAUCCAAUUCGCAAAAUUGGUGAUUCUCUGCUCAAUAUGAAAGCUAUUACAAAGGCAAGCAAUGCUUUGGUCAUUAAUUGCCUUUAGCUAAUAUAGACUGCUGCUAAGGCUGUUAAUCAAAACUGGCUCCAGCUCUCUCUGUGUCAAACUGCCAAGUUCAGAUUAUUGGUUCUUCGCUCAAGUCUUGCACAGAAUUGAAAGAACUCCGACUUGCUCACAAUGACAUUAAGGUAAAUCAUGUACCCACUGGUCGUAUUAUGAUAGCACGCUGUCCUCAAAUUCAUUAUUAUUAUUAUUAUUAUUUUUGGUUUGUUAGUAUUGUGAUUGAUAUCUUGUUCAUUUCUUAUGUUGUCUUUCUCUGUCUCGCUCUCUUAAUUGCCUAGACACUUCCAGCCGAGUUGGCUUUUAAUAAGAAGCUUCAAAAUUUAGACUUAGGAAAGAACUUGAUCACGAGAUGGUCAGAAUUGAAGGUGAGGCAUUGAAAUAUUUGCUUCUUUUAUAUUUGUUUUCAUCAAGUUUUUUCUAUAUACUUUCUCACCAUGCUUAAUGGCAACAUGCUUGAAUAGCAGGUGCUAAAGUCAUUGGUUAGCCUGAAUAACCUCAAUCUACAAGGAAACCCUGUAGCUGAAUAUGAUAAAUUGGCAAAGAAGGUAAUAUUGCAAUCAUUUUAUCAUGUUAAUACUCUUUCAGAAUUCUGCUUCUAGCUGGAUUAAUCUAUGUCCAAUAUUGUUGCAGGUCAAAACUCUAUUGCCAAACUUGUGUAUUUUCAAUGCUAGACCAAUAGAUAGAAUCACCAAAAAUGAAAAGGACAAUAUAGUUGAUAAAGUUAAUGAUUCCUCAAAUAAUUCUGAUGACACGAUAAAAGUUCGUAUGGGAAAGAAAAGAGGUGGCACAAGAGAAACAAAUGACAAACUCUCAAAUGAAGAAAUUCAGUGGAGCAAAAGUGAUUCAGCAGCAGGGAAGAAAUUGAAAAAGAAGUCCAAAGAGAAAGAAGGGGAGCUUGAUGCUAUUGACGAUGCAAAGAACUCUGGAGGCGUUGUGCCUGGUCAAAACAAAGAUGCCAAUCUAAAUGGUUCUGGAGAUGUUGAAAUGGAGAAAGAUCUGAAGCGGAAGGGAAGAAAAACUAGUGAAAAUCUCUCAAACAAAGGCAUUCAAGUUCACGAUGAUGAUAAGAGAUUUAGGAAGAAACAGAAGAAACGGUCAAAGGAGAAACAAGGAGAACUUGACAUUAUUGACAAUGGAGAAACCGCUUUCUCGGAGCUCUUCUCUGCCAAUAUUGCAGGAAAUCCCGGAUUUGAUGGUGACAACAAUAUGGUUAAUGAAGCUUCUAAAUUCAACUCAGUUGAUGGCUUAGUUACCUCUUCUGGUAAGAAGAAGAAAUCUAAAAACAGGGGUAUGGGUCUGACAGUUCAAUUGUCUCAGGAACCUGAAGUUGGAUUGGGUGGACCAUCAACUUGGGGUGAUGAGUGAUUGAUUAUACUGUGAUGGAGCUGCGUGAAUUAUUUGAAACUCUUUCAGUUGAGCUACUCUUCAUCUCUUAUUGAGUCUGAUAACUAUUCUUUGAGAAGCUUAACUCUCAGGUGUACUCCAUAAGUUUUGACGGUGAAACUUGCUUUUCUUUUAAGAAGGUUUCUGAUGCUUAACAUUCCAUUUUGCUUCUCGAGUCCAGCCAUCUCUAGUCUUUAAUGGAAUGCUAGCCUGGGUUGCAAUUUAAUGCUUGCCAUUGUUGCUAUGUGCUGCAAUUUCACAGUGGCCAAGACCUCAAUUGUANNNNNNNNNNNNNNNNNNNNNNNNNNNNNNNNNNNNNNNNNNNNNNNNNNNNNNNNNNNNNNNNNNNNNNNNNNNNNNNNNNNNNNNNNNNNNNNNNNNNNNNNNNNNNNNNNNNNNNNNNNNNNNNNNNNNNNNNNNNNNNNNNNNNNNNNNNNNNNNNNNNNNNNNNNNNNNNNNNNNNNNNNNNNNNNNNNNNNNNNNNNNNNNNNNNNNNNNNNNNNNNNNNNNNNNNNNNNNNNNNNNNNNNNNNNNNNNNNNNNNNNNNNNNNNNNNNNNNNNNNNNNNNNNNNNNNNNNNNNNNNNNNNNNNNNNNNNNNNNNNNNNNNNNNNNNNNNNNNNNNNNNNNNNNNNNNNNNNNNNNNNNNNNNNNNNNNNNNNNNNNNNNNNNNNNNNNNNNNNNNNNNNNNNNNNNNNNNNNNNNNNNNNNNNNNNNNNNNNNNNNNNNNNNNNNNNNNNNNNNNNNNNNNNNNNNNNNNNNNNNNNNNNNNNNNNNNNNNNNNNNNNNNNNNNNNNNNNNNNNNNNNNNNNNNNNNNNNNNNNNNNNNNNNNNNNNNNNNNNNNNNNNNNNNNNNNNNNNNNNNNNNNNNNNNNNNNNNNNNNNNNNNNNNNNNNNNNNNNNNNNNNNNNNNNNNNNNNNNNNNNNNNNNNNNNNNNNNNNNNNNNNNNNNNNNNNNNNNNNNNNNNNNNNNNNNNNNNNNNNNNNNNNNNNNNNNNNNNNNNNNNNNNNNNNNNNNNNNNNNNNNNNNNNNNNNNNNNNNNNNNNNNNNNNNNNNNNNNNNNNNNNNNNNNNNNNNNNNNNNNNNNNNNNNNNNNNNNNNNNNNNNNNNNNNNNNNNNNNNNNNNNNNNNNNNNNNNNNNNNNNNNNNNNNNNNNNNNNNNNNNNNNNNNNNNNNNNNNNNNNNNNNNNNNNNNNNNNNNNNNNNNNNNNNNNNNNNNNNNNNNNNNNNNNNNNNNNNNNNNNNNNNNNNNNNNNNNNNNNNNNNNNNNNNNNNNNNNNNNNNNNNNNNNNNNNNNNNNNNNNNNNNNNNNNNNNNNNNNNNNNNNNNNNNNNNNNNNNNNNNNNNNNNNNNNNNNNNNNNNNNNNNNNNNNNNNNNNNNNNNNNNNNNNNNNNNNNNNNNNNNNNNNNNNNNNNNNNNNNNNNNNNNNNNNNNNNNNNNNNNNNNNNNNNNNNNNNNNNNNNNNNNNNNNNNNNNNNNNNNNNNNNNNNNNNNNNNNNNNNNNNNNNNNNNNNNNNNNNNNNNNNNNNNNNNNNNNNNNNNNNNNNNNNNNNNNNNNNNNNNNNNNNNNNNNNNNNNNNNNNNNNNNNNNNNNNNNNNNNNNNNNNNNNNNNNNNNNNNNNNNNNNNNNNNNNNNNNNNNNNNNNNNNNNNNNNNNNNNNNNNNNNNNNNNNNNNNNNNNNNNNNNNNNNNNNNNNNNNNNNNNNNNNNNNNNNNNNNNNNNNNNNNNNNNNNNNNNNNNNNNNNNNNNNNNNNNNNNNNNNNNNNNNNNNNNNNNNNNNNNNNNNNNNNNNNNNNNNNNNNNNNNNNNNNNNNNNNNNNNNNNNNNNNNNNNNNNNNNNNNNNNNNNNNNNNNNNNNNNNNNNNNNNNNNNNNNNNNNNNNNNNNNNNNNNNNNNNNNNNNNNNNNNNNNNNNNNNNNNNNNNNNNNNNNNNNNNNNNNNNNNNNNNNNNNNNNNNNNNNNNNNNNNNNNNNNNNNNNNNNNNNNNNNNNNNNNNNNNNNNNNNNNNNNNNNNNNNNNNNNNNNNNNNNNNNNNNNNNNNNNNNNNNNNNNNNNNNNNNNNNNNNNNNNNNNNNNNNNNNNNNNNNNNNNNNNNNNNNNNNNNNNNNNNNNNNNNNNNNNNNNNNNNNNNNNNNNNNNNNNNNNNNNNNNNNNNNNNNNNNNNNNNNNNNNNNNNNNNNNNNNNNNNNNNNNNNNNNNNNNNNNNNNNNNNNNNNNNNNNNNNNNNNNNNNNNNNNNNNNNNNNNNNNNNNNNNNNNNNNNNNNNNNNNNNNNNNNNNNNNNNNNNNNNNNNNNNNNNNNNNNNNNNNNNNNNNNNNNNNNNNNNNNNNNNNNNNNNNNNNNNNNNNNNNNNNNNNNNNNNNNNNNNNNNNNNNNNNNNNNNNNNNNNNNNNNNNNNNNNNNNNNNNNNNNNNNNNNNNNNNNNNNNNNNNNNNNNNNNNNNNNNNNNNNNNNNNNNNNNNNNNNNNNNNNNNNNNNNNNNNNNNNNNNNNNNNNNNNNNNNNNNNNNNNNNNNNNNNNNNNNNNNNNNNNNNNNNNNNNNNNNNNNNNNNNNNNNNNNNNNNNNNNNNNNNNNNNNNNNNNNNNNNNNNNNNNNNNNNNNNNNNNNNNNNNNNNNNNNNNNNNNNNNNNNNNNNNNNNNNNNNNNNNNNNNNNNNNNNNNNNNNNNNNNNNNNNNNNNNNNNNNNNNNNNNNNNNNNNNNNNNNNNNNNNNNNNNNNNNNNNNNNNNNNNNNNNNNNNNNNNNNNNNNNNNNNNNNNNNNNNNNNNNNNNNNNNNNNNNNNNNNNNNNNNNNNNNNNNNNNNNNNNNNNNNNNNNNNNNNNNNNNNNNNNNNNNNNNNNNNNNNNNNNNNNNNNNNNNNNNNNNUACAUGCUCUAGCCUAUGUUUAUUCAAGUGUUGUUGUCUAUAUAGAACUUUGGUGAAAAUGGGAGAGGAAUAAGAGCUGUAAUUCUUUGAGAAGUAACAAAUUACAUUUUUCUUAGAGCCAAUAUUCUUUAAUUCUAUUAAUUUUACCUGUUCUAGGAUUUGGUUUAAAGGAGUGGUGAAGGCAUGGUUGAACAUCUAUUCUAGGACUUUUCAGUAGAGAGAAAGCCUGUGUGAUUUUGAGGGGAUAGCAAACUCGUGUGCAAUUCCUUUUGAUUUUACAUGUUCAUGAUUGAUGAUACUUUGUUCAGAUCAAGUCAAUAUUGGAAUUUAAGUUGAUUCUUGGAUAAAAGUUUGUUUUACCAUUAAGACCGUAGAACCUGAAUCAUGCUCUUUGGCGUUGGGGAUUGUCCUGCAGUUCUUUCUCGAAAUCCAAUUCGCAAAAUUGGUGAUUCUCUGCUCAAUAUGAAAGCUAUUACAAAGGCAAGCAAUGCUUUGGUCAUUAAUUGCCUUUAGCUAAUAUAGACUGCUGCUAAGGCUGUUAAUCAAAACUGGCUCCAGCUCUCUCUGUGUCAAACUGCCAAGUUCAGAUUAUUGGUUCUUCGCUCAAGUCUUGCACAGAAUUGAAAGAACUCCGACUUGCUCACAAUGACAUUAAGGUAAAUCAUGUACCCACUGGUCGUAUUAUGAUAGCACGCUGUCCUCAAAUUCAUUAUUAUUAUUAUUAUUAUUUUUGGUUUGUUAGUAUUGUGAUUGAUAUCUUGUUCAUUUCUUAUGUUGUCUUUCUCUGUCUCGCUCUCUUAAUUGCCUAGACACUUCCAGCCGAGUUGGCUUUUAAUAAGAAGCUUCAAAAUUUAGACUUAGGAAAGAACUUGAUCACGAGAUGGUCAGAAUUGAAGGUGAGGCAUUGAAAUAUUUGCUUCUUUUAUAUUUGUUUUCAUCAAGUUUUUUCUAUAUACUUUCUCACCAUGCUUAAUGGCAACAUGCUUGAAUAGCAGGUGCUAAAGUCAUUGGUUAGCCUGAAUAACCUCAAUCUACAAGGAAACCCUGUAGCUGAAUAUGAUAAAUUGGCAAAGAAGGUAAUAUUGCAAUCAUUUUAUCAUGUUAAUACUCUUUCAGAAUUCUGCUUCUAGCUGGAUUAAUCUAUGUCCAAUAUUGUUGCAGGUCAAAACUCUAUUGCCAAACUUGUGUAUUUUCAAUGCUAGACCAAUAGAUAGAAUCACCAAAAAUGAAAAGGACAAUAUAGUUGAUAAAGUUAAUGAUUCCUCAAAUAAUUCUGAUGACACGAUAAAAGUUCGUAUGGGAAAGAAAAGAGGUGGCACAAGAGAAACAAAUGACAAACUCUCAAAUGAAGAAAUUCAGUGGAGCAAAAGUGAUUCAGCAGCAGGGAAGAAAUUGAAAAAGAAGUCCAAAGAGAAAGAAGGGGAGCUUGAUGCUAUUGACGAUGCAAAGAACUCUGGAGGCGUUGUGCCUGGUCAAAACAAAGAUGCCAAUCUAAAUGGUUCUGGAGAUGUUGAAAUGGAGAAAGAUCUGAAGCGGAAGGGAAGAAAAACUAGUGAAAAUCUCUCAAACAAAGGCAUUCAAGUUCACGAUGAUGAUAAGAGAUUUAGGAAGAAACAGAAGAAACGGUCAAAGGAGAAACAAGGAGAACUUGACAUUAUUGACAAUGGAGAAACCGCUUUCUCGGAGCUCUUCUCUGCCAAUAUUGCAGGAAAUCCCGGAUUUGAUGGUGACAACAAUAUGGUUAAUGAAGCUUCUAAAUUCAACUCAGUUGAUGGCUUAGUUACCUCUUCUGCUAAGAAGAAGAAAUCUAAAAACAGGGGUAUGGGUCUGACAGUUCAAUUGUCUCAGGAACCUGAAGUUGGAUUGGGUGGACCAUCAACUUGGGGUGAUGAGUGAUUGAUUAUACUGUGAUGGAGCUGCGUGAAUUAUUUGAAACUCUUUCAGUUGAGCUACUCUUCAUCUCUUAUUGAGUUUGAUUAUUAUUCUUUGAGAAGCUUAACUCUCAGGUGUACUCCAUAAGUUUUGACGGUGAAACUUGCUUUUCUUUUCAAAGGGUUUCUGAUGCUUAGCAUCCCAUUUUGCUUCUCGAGUCCAGCCAUCUCUGGACUUUAAUGGAAUGCUAGCCUGGGUUGCAAUUUAUUGCUUGCCAUUGUUGCUAUGUGCUGCAAUUUCACAGUGGCCAAGACCUCAAUUGUACCUGUAUCAUCAAUGUGGGAAUCACCCUCGUGUUACACGUUUCUCGGAAGUAAAUUUGCUCGAAUGAUUGUCAAUAAGCCAGAACCACAACUUUAUGUAGAACAUAAUUGUUUUAUCAUACCAAUUAUGUUGAAAUCAUUUGGUUUUGCUUUGCUUGUCUCAGUUCAUCACUUUGGAUGUGUUUGAAUUAUAGGAUUAUGGGGUAAUUAAAAGACUGUACAUAUUAACUUAAUAGCAAGACUAUAUUUGAAAAGAAAUUGUAAUGGGUUAAAGGGGGUGUGCUAAUGCAAAGUCGAGGUUUAGUGAAUGCAGCAGUUGUUGCAUUACUGUUUUGCUUUUACUUUUUUUAAUAAAUAAAUAUAAUUUUUUUCAUUUAAUAUAAUAUUAUAUAAUAUUAACUGCUNNNNNNNNNNNNNNNNNNNNNNNNNNNNNNNNNNNNNNNNNNNNNNNNNNNNNNNNNNNNNNNNNNNNNNNNNNNNNNNNNNNNNNNNNNNNNNNNNNNNNNNNNNNNNNNNNNNNNNNNNNNNNNNNNNNNNNNNNNNNNNNNNNNNNNNNNNNNNNNNNNNNNNNNNNNNNNNNNNNNNNNNNNNNNNNNNNNNNNNNNNNNNNNNNNNNNNNNNNNNNNNNNNNNNNNNNNNNNNNNNNNNNNNNNNNNNNNNNNNNNNNNNNNNNNNNNNNNNNNNNNUGAUAUUAUUUAGAUAUUAUUUGAUUAAAUUAUUUACUUCAAUCUUUGUUUCACAUGUUAUAUAUUUAGAAAAUACUAAAAAAUAAAUGUUAUGUUGCGGAAAAUGUAAGGCUAUAAGUUUUAAUCUUUAUGAAAAUUAUGAUAUUUUUUAACAUUAUACUAAAAAAUAAUGUUAAAUUUUUAAAAUUUGAGACUUCUAUAAUUUAAAUUAAUUACAAAAAAAAUUAAUAUAAUACAGUAUAGCACAAAACGUUGUACAAUAUUAUUAUAAUACAGUGCUAAUGUAAUGUAGAAUAAUACAAUAUACUUACAUUAAAAAUAAUAUAAUACAAAAUAUUAUAAUACAGUAUGUUAAUCGCGCCAUUUGAAUACGAACAAUGUAUUAACGGCUUUUAUCCCAAUUAUGUAACUGUGGCAUCACUCUUGCAUAGAAUUGUUUAUUCACUAAAUUUAAGCCACGUCAUGGCAAUGAAUACCUUGCACCAGAGUACUGAAAGAAAAACAACACUAUAUUUCUCAUUGUUUCUUUUUUAAUGGAAUUAUUACAACUCACACGUUAUGAUGUCUUACAGGUAGUGACAAUCAAUCACGAUGACUUCAUUAGACUUCCAAUUUCCAAACCAGAAAAAAAAAAAUGAAAGUAGUUUUUUUUUUUCAAACCAGAAAAAAAAAAAUGAAAGUAGCCAAUUUCCAAACCAGAAAAAAAAAAAUGAAAGUAGUUUUUUUUUUUUUAUAAUUUUGAAAAAAGGUUUUAUUCUAAGUUUUCAUUUUAUUAUUUAUUGACAAGAAAAGUAGAUCCCUGACAGAUAUUUUUAAAAGAAAAAUAAAAAAGUCUAUAGAUUCAUGACUUUUUUAGGCUUUUAUCUCCCCAUCACAGAAAAACUACUUGAAAAUUAUUCAAAGAGUGCUCUAAUCUUAUGAUUGUACUUUGUAUUUAUGGAAAAAAAUUUAAAACAACACGAAAUUUUUGAUAAACUGCAAUAUCUCUUUUUUGCAUCUUUUAAGAGGUAGACAGUAUGAAAAAUCUCAUAUCGUUUUUUGAUUCUCUACUUUUUUUAGGGGGUGGAACAAAACCUAAGUCAAUGUUUAGCCCUCUACUUUCUCAUUACUUGAAUUCAAGUGAUUAGGUAAAUAAAUCUACUUAAAAAACACUCAGACCACACGCCUCAAGGCUCAUAAAUCUUUUCUUUUUUAAAUCUAAAAGAUUGAGAGAGAAAAAAAGAAGAAGAAAAACGUCGACUGUUUUCAUCCACCGCCUGGAAAUUCCCCUUUUCUAUCUUUUAUGCAUUUGUCUAUAGCCUACCAACCUUGACUUUUAGAAUUUAAUUCAUAAAUCUUGCUCAUUACAUUAAAGCGAAUCAACAACUUAUCCUAUGAUUGGAUUAACCAAAGAAUAACAUUUUCUAAAACUGAUCCAUCUUUUGUCAUAUACACAUAUUUGUUUCAACAUUUUUAUUAGACCAAUUAGGCCUAACGCUUUUGCUUAUAAAUGAACCCAACAUUCAAACUCCAUUUUGAGGUAACAAAUUAAGAAGCAAUGGCUUCUUCUCCUUGUCCCACAAAAUUUACAAGCCAUCAAGGCAUCACAACGUUGCUUCCCGACAUCAUCGAGACUCAUAUCUUAACCCGACUCGACGGCCAAACUCUUGCUGCCGCAGCUUGCACUUCAUCUCAUCUACACUCUCUAUGUGCACAAGAAAAACUCUGGCAACAUAUCUGCUCCUCCACGUGGCCUUCCUCUAACGACCCACGUGUACGAAACCUCGUCUCCUCUUACCCCGGAGGUGGUCACCGGUCUUUUUUCUCUCACUCAUUCCCGCUUCUUGAUUGCCAAAAACAACCCGCAAAACGCAUUCAUGAUGAUGAUUCCUUACUUGUCACCGAAGAGAUAAUCUCGGCCGUGGAUCUUUACUACAGAAACGAUCCCGUCUUCUCCAGGGUUGCAGAAAAUGAGCCGGCGUGGUGAUUGAGGCUCGCCAGCCGAGAUCCAAACGGGACGCCGGAGAUGUCGUAUUGAAUGAGACGAUAGACGUCGACAACGGUGGCGGCGUCACAGAGCUCGACGCAAGCGACAAGUAUGAAGACGAGGGCUAGCAUCGAGUAGACGGAGUCCAGCAUGUCGCGCUCUCGAGCUUUUCGAUGAGCCAUUUGUGAAUUUUGAUCUAGGGUUAAUAAAAGGUAACGAGAUUGUUUCUUAAAUCGGUGAAUAAAUAUUAUGGCUCCUUUCGAUUUGAUCUGGUGAUUAUAAUAAUUAAAAUAGAAAAUUAAUUGCGAUCAGAGAGACACUUGACAGAGAGUGUUUUGUUUCCUUUUUGUUUUGUUUGGUUAAUAACAGUGCGACUCACUCUUACUGAGAUUCCGAUGCUUGUUGCUCUAUAAUUUUCUCACGUUAAUUUGGAGACGUCACUUGUUCGUUGGAUUCACACUUCAUUUUAUUUAUUUAAAUUUUACAGUAUACGGGUGAUCUAGUGGGCGUUACGUUGUGGACUUGUUGCGAAAAACGCCUCAAAGUGAAGAAGGUCCAAUGUCCAAACAAGGGGAACUGAAGAUUUUGGCUCUAAAGGGCUUUCGUAUUGCUCGAUUUUACAAGUUAUCUGUUAUUGUAUUUGUUGGAAGUACCAAAUAUAAUUGAGGGAGAUAAUUCAAAAGAGUUAAUUUAUUAUAUAGCUCGCACGGGUUAAUUGCACAUCAGCAUUUGAUGAAGUUAAGCCCAGGCAUCUCUACUGCACUUUCUUCUCUUUAAGAGUUCAGUAGGAUCACAGUAGAUCAAUGAAGUGUCUUUUUUCUUUUUUUUAGAAAUUAUCAUUCAUAUGUCUUAAAUUUAUUAUAUUAUUAAAAAUAUUAUAACACUUUAAGGGUGUAUCAAUCGUCCACUUUAAGUUGACAAAAAUUAUCUGUCAACCAUUAAUCCGUUAGUUGCCGUUUGUAAGUGCUGACAUCAUAAGGGUAAUCUAAUCUUUUAAGAUAAAAGAAACUCCUAUAAAGAAUGACAUGUUGUUCUAUAUAAAACUACAUGUCAUCCCAUAUAAAACAAUAUGUCAUCCUAUGUAGAACGAUAAAAAGGACAUGUCGUUUCUAGAUCAGUGAAACGACAUCGUUUCACAAUAUGAAAUGGCAUCAUUUCACUAGAACUUUAAAAAAAAAAAGGUGUGGACAGAGGGGAUGCAGUGUAGGACCAACGAGGGCUCAAGCCCCCACUGAAAAAAAAAGAAAAAAGAAUUACCCCUUUUUGUUUAAAAGAAAAAUUAAUAAUUUUUUAAAUAAUCCAUGUCAAAUUAUCAAAUAGCCUCAUUCUUCCAGUUUCUACAGCCACAGUAGAGAGAACAUUUUCAGCAAUGAAAUUUGUGAAGAAUGAACUUCGGAAUCGGAUGGGAGAUGGAGCCGGCGUGGUGAUUGAGGCUCGCCAGCCGAGAUCCAAACGGGACGCCGGAGAUGUCGUAUUGAAUGAGACGAUAGACGUCGACAACGGUGGCGGCGUCACAGAGCUCGACGCAAGCGACAAGUAUGAAGACGAGGGCUAGCAUCGAGUAGACGGAGUCCAGCAUGUCGCGCUCUCGAGCUUUUCGAUGAGCCAUUUGUGAAUUUUGAUCUAGGGUUAAUAAAAGGUAACGAGAUUGUUUCUUAAAUCGGUGAAUAAAUAUUAUGGCUCCUUUCGAUUUGAUCUGGUGAUUAUAAUAAUUAAAAUAGAAAAUUAAUUGCGAUCAGAGAGACACUUGACAGAGAGUGUUUUGUUUCCUUUUUGUUUUGUUUGGUUAAUAACAGUGCGACUCACUCUUACUGAGAUUCCGAUGCUUGUUGCUCUAUAAUUUUCUCACGUUAAUUUGGAGACGUCACUUGUUCGUUGGAUUCACACUUCAUUUUAUUUAUUUAAAUUUUACAGUAUACGGGUGAUCUAGUGGGCGUUACGUUGUGGACUUGUUGCGAAAAACGCCUCAAAGUGAAGAAGGUCCAAUGUCCAAACAAGGGGAACUGAAGAUUUUGGCUCUAAAGGGCUUUCGUAUUGCUCGAUUUUACAAGUUAUCUGUUAUUGUAUUUGUUGGAAGUACCAAAUAUAAUUGAGGGAGAUAAUUCAAAAGAGUUAAUUUAUUAUAUAGCUCGCACGGGUUAAUUGCACAUCAGCAUUUGAUGAAGUUAAGCCCAGGCAUCUCUACUGCACUUUCUUCUCUUUAAGAGUUCAGUAGGAUCACAGUAGAUCAAUGAAGUGUCUUUUUUCUUUUUUUUAGAAAUUAUCAUUCAUAUGUCUUAAAUUUAUUAUAUUAUUAAAAAUAUUAUAACACUUUAAGGGUGUAUCAAUCGUCCACUUUAAGUUGACAAAAAUUAUCUGUCAACCAUUAAUCCGUUAGUUGCCGUUUGUAAGUGCUGACAUCAUAAGGGUAAUCUAAUCUUUUAAGAUAAAAGAAACUCCUAUAAAGAAUGACAUGUUGUUCUAUAUAAAACUACAUGUCAUCCCAUAUAAAACAAUAUGUCAUCCUAUGUAGAACGAUAAAAAGGACAUGUCGUUUCUAGAUCAGUGAAACGACAUCGUUUCACAAUAUGAAAUGGCAUCAUUUCACUAGAACUUUAAAAAAAAAAAGGUGUGGACAGAGGGGAUGCAGUGUAGGACCAACGAGGGCUCAAGCCCCCACUGAAAAAAAAAGAAAAAAGAAUUACCCCUUUUUGUUUAAAAGAAAAAUUAAUAAUUUUUUAAAUAAUCCAUGUCAAAUUAUCAAAUAGCCUCAUUCUUCCAGUUUCUACAGCCACAGUAGAGAGAACAUUUUCAGCAAUGAAAUUUGUGAAGAAUGAACUUCGGAAUCGGAUGGGAGAUGAAUGGAUAAAUGAUAAUUCGAUUGUUUAUGUAGAAAAAUAUGUAUUUAAUAGUGUUGAUAAUGAGUCUAUUGCACAACGUUUUCAGAAUAUGAAAUCGCGUAGAGAACAAUUGUAAAUGUGUUAUCAAAAAUUUUAUAUAUUCAAGUUUCAGUUUUUAUAUUUUGCUGUUAUUUAAUUUAGCCAUUGGUGAAUUAUUUUUCUAAAUCCGCCACUGGGUGUGGAGAUGUGAUUAACUGAUUUUGGGGACUAAAGUGAAAUCAAGUGAGAGUUGUGUGGUUCAUUGUGCAGAUUGCAUUCAGUUGAAGGAUGUGUUUGUAAAUAUCUGCUGACGUGGCCUGAUUGUUAAAGUUCGUUAUAUGGUUUCUGGAAAUUUUCCAGGUGAAGCUGGCUUGUAGCAUCUUAUAUAUAAGCUCUUUCUCACUCAUUUCUUCUCCAAUUAGAAUAAUUAUUCUACACACAUAAUUCUUGUAAUCUUCUCUUCAUUUAUGAUUGACUUUGUACUCAGUUUUAAUGAAUGAAAGAGUGUGAAUUUUUCCUUCAAAUCUGUUAUCUAGUUCUCUGAAAUCUUGUUCUGUUUUUCUGCUCUUUACUCCGAUCUUUAUCAAUCUUGUUUCAAUUCCAUCUUGAUUAAUUAAAUGUUGAAGUGUUGAGUUAGUUCUUGUAAUUAGCCAUUCCAAAAUAUAACAAAAAACAAUCAAAUUGAAACACGCACAGCACACACGACUACGAACAAAUCUCUUCUUCUUUCACACACACAAUGCAAAAGAAAAGUGGUAGCUGACAGCACUAAUGAUCGAAGACGGCACGGUAGACAUAGAGGCAGCCCAUAGUCACCAAUGCAGCCACAACCAUUGUCAUCGACGCAGCUCGCAGCUCACCCAUCGGAUCUGCUGUUUUGCGACUGGUUUAAGCUUUAACCUCAAUUUGACUGAAUUUGAGUUAAGUAUAAGACGCACAUGAACUUCUUGCAUGAGAUGGUGACAGUAUUUACAAAGUGUCCGCAUUAAUUUGGUUUUUAAGAAUUCUUUCCUUUAUUGUUUCUUACAGUAUUUGGAGUUAUACUUGGUUGCACUUGAAAAUCUUGUUAAGUUAGUGUAGUAUGUGAUCCUACCCAUUUUACCCUUCAAUAUAUUCUCAGGAUGCUGUAGUUCGCAUAUGCACAUAGUGAGGGAUUCCUCUAUUUAUAAUUAAAAAAUUCCUAAUUUUUUCUUUCAAGCAAGUUCAAUAACGUUUUCGUUUCGUGACUGAACUUUUGAACAAGAGCAGCAGCCUUAUGCACAAACCUGGCGGGAACAAGCUGGGAAUAAGAGGAACCAAUAUGCAUACAAAUGAAUAAACACUAGUACUGUUAGUAGUUUGAGGGCUUCAUGUCUUGACAAUUUCUAUUCAUUGUCUACUUAGCCUACCAAUUAGACCAAAGUUAAUCGCAUGGGCCAAUGAAAUCUCUUGACCAACAAAAUAAGAAAGUCUCUGCUGGAUCAGAAAGUCUCUGCUGGACCAGCAGCACAAUUUUUUUGUACAAUAUCUUUGAUUCGCAAAACGAAUAACUCAAUUUCAAAUUAAAUAAAUGGAAAGUGAAGAAACGUAAUUUGUUGUCCUUGCACAAAGUAUUUUAGGCGUCGUGAAAACUAUAAAGAAAUUUUUUUAUAGAGAAAAAUUUUCAGACAGGCAUUAAAAAAAUUAAAUCUAGAAUGAAGAUACUUUGGCCUGUGGAUUUUAACAUAUUUUUUAAAAUGUAAAAAAAAGAGAAGUGGAAAGUGUAAUUUAGCUAAUUAAGAUACUUACAACUUGCUAUUGGAUCUCUGACAUUUAAUAUAUAGUUGUAUGAAGUUUCUUUUUAUUAGAACUGUUACGUUUUAUUUAUCAGAAAAUUUUGUUACCCCCUAAUUUACAGUAUUUCAUUUUAACCAUCUAACAAUUUUUUUUUUUUUUAACCACUGCUCUCGUCCUUUCUUUCUUCCACUUUUUUUUUUUUCUAUUUCUUUUUCUAUUCUUCUUUAUCUAUUUUGCCUCUCUAUAAUUUCUCUCGACCUCAAUUUCUAUUUAUUUCCCUCUUCUAUCAUUUCUAGUUUGCUCUCAGGCUCUCCAUUUUCCUCCCGAGGUUAGUUUCUUGCCGAAAGGGAUAGGUGUUGUCUUAUAUACUUUUUUAGUUCUACAAUUAUGAAUUAAUUACGUUGAAUCUAAUUUCUCAUAAUUAUCCUGGCAUAUUUCUGUUAUCAGAAAAAAAAAAUUGACAGCUAAAAUUAAAGACUAAAAAUAUAAAUAAAAAAUCAUUUCAGUAUUACCUAUUUAUUAAUAAUUUUGUUAACCGAUAAUUUAAUAUAAAAUUUUCUACAAAAAUAUGGGUGUUUAAAGAAAUUUUGUGGGCUUAAAUAACCCCACUUUAAUGAAAAUAAUUUCGUGGACCAUUUUAUGUUUUACAUAAACAAAUCUUUGUUACUUAAUUUUUUUUCUCUCUUUCAUUUUGAAUAUUUUUCCCCGUUAUUUUAAAUGGGCUCAUAGAAGAGAAUUGUGCAGUCUACAUGAUUUUCAUUAGAAUUUUAUUUGUCUUUUAAAGUAAUUUCAUAUGUGGUUUAAGUUGUAAGAACCAAAAAAAACAGGGGUCUUAAUAAGGAUUAUUGAAGGCCCAAUAGUGCUACUCAAAAUGAAAAAAUAAAAAAUAAAAAGUGUAUCGCUCUUGCAACCGAAUCUUGAAUAAUCACGGAUUGAUUGUUUUAAAACUUCUCCAUAGAGUUCAAAAUUUAACAGUGAGAACUAUAACAACUAAAUUUUCAAAAUUUAUAAAUCUAUUACCCUCUAAUUUACGAUGUUAUUAUAACCAUCCAAUACAUAUUUUGAUAACUUCUUUUUUUCCUCUUUGUCUCUCGGUCUUUAUUUCUUUCAUUUUAAUUUUUUCCUUUCCUUCUCUAUCUAUUUUACUCUUUAUAAUUUCUGUCGACCUCAAUUUCUACUUUCUUCCUCUUUUAUCUUUUCUAAGUUGCUCUCAGUCUCUCGAUUCUUUUGAAUGCUUGAAAAUGAAAUAAAUUUCCAUUUUUUUGAUACGCAAUCAAACAGGAAAACAGGUCGUCAAUUCGCAUGAAGUAGGUAGCUAAAUUUAUUUUCCUCCAAAAUUAUCCACGAGUUCGACUUAUAUUAAUGUGUCACAAUCUUCCAAUCUAAUAAUGCAAAUUGAAAGUUCCGAUGAUAUUUUUAUGAUUAACUUGGGGAAAAAAAAAUCUUGAGAGUCUCCACUCGUUUGAUUCUGACUCUUCCAUGGAUUCUUUGCUUUGCAAACUUUUCUUAAUUGUAUGGUUAAAAGAUUAACAGUUAGGAGUGAUAAAAGAACUUAUGUCUGUACUAAAAGCUAAAGAUGAGAUUAUUUGAAACCACUAAAUUGUUUUUUACACCCAUCAUAAAAAUAUAAUAAUUAUUAAAAUUUUAAAAUCUUAAAAUUGCCCAUUAAUUUUCUUCUCUUUCUUACAGUGCUUGUUCUCCCUCAACAUCACUUUUUGCAAAUUAAAAACUUAUGGUUUCACUCUCUUUGGCCAUGGAUUUUUUUUUUUCAUAAAUUCCACUACAUUUUAUUUGUGGCAUUUGAAUUGCGAUUUUUUAAUUUUAUUUUCAAUUUGAAGCAAAGAUUUGUAACUUUACACAGAUUUAUAGGAAAACAAAAAAUUUGUUGCUUUCGUGGUUACUUAAAAUUCUUGAUACUCAUUUUUGGAUGGUGGAUUUGUUCCUAUAAAUUGAAGAAAGAGUAGUUAUUAACUUAUUAUUAUUAAGCUGUUGGUCAAAGAGCUUUUGAAUAAGAUCAGUGAGCCAAAUGGUUUGCUGAGUUUAGUAAUUCAGCCUCUAAAAUUUCUAAGCGAAGCAUGCAAACCCCUUUGGCCCUGAGAACCCUAGUCUUGAAGCGGUUCGAGCCACUAAGCCUUGAUUUGACAUUGGUUAUAGCCUAUAGGAAAAUUAAUUUCAAUUAUUUAUGAGAUUUCACAUUCAUUUGUAGACGAGAAAAUCGAAAGAAUUGAUUAGAGCUGAGAGAGAGAGAGAGAGAAUAGAGGUUAAUUAGGUAAUUUUAUCAAAAUUAAUUUGAUAAUUAAUAUUUUAAUUAAACAAGAAGGCAAAGAGAAGAAAUUGGUGAGUUUAAAUAACUCCACUCAAGGCUAAAACAUAAAUUCUCGAACGUCAAAAAAUAUUUUUACCCUCUAAUUUACAUUAUUUCAUUUUAAUCCUCUAAUGCAUUUUUGUUCUCUAGUCUUUUUAUUUAUUUUUAUCUCUUUUCUCGGCCUUUUUUUCUUCCAUUUUAAUUUUUCUAGCUUGUUCUUUUCCGAUUCUUCUUUAUCUAUUUUACUCUCUAUUUCUCGGGACCUCAAUUUCUAUAUUCUUCGUUUUCUACAGUUCCGAGUUUGCUCUCAGUCCCUGGAUUCUUGAAUGAUUGAUAAAAUGAAACAAAUUUUUGUUUUUUUUUCCCACUCAAUCAAACAAGCAAACAGGUCACCAACUCUUCCCAUGAAGCAGGCAACUAAGUCACGUUAUGUGAUUUAGUGAUAAAUGCCUAGUACUUCAGGCUAAUUGCAAGUCCACUUACGGAACCAUAGCAGUCAAUGACACGGAAAUUUCAAAUGAUGGUCCAGAAUUCGAAAUGAUCGGGCACGGAAAAAUUGCCAAAAGGCAAAAGGUGUGGUCAUAAAUACAUUUCAAUUUUAAAUUAAUUAGAUUGGAAAUAUCGUAUGAAUAAACAGCGGACCUUAUAGCAACCAAUAUGAUAUCAUUCUCUUAUGCACAUUUCGUUUUCUUAUGCAUGUUUGCUGCUUUGCCAUAUCAUGCCAAAAUCAAGAAAUUACCCAUUUGUAAAUCUUUGACAUAAGAAUUAGUUAAAUAAAAAUAUAAAAUAAUAAAAAUAUAAAAUAAUAAAAAUAAGUUUGGUGAUGUAUUCAUUUAACCACUCAUAUAAUGUCACAUCAAUUGGUAGUUUGGUACAAAAAAAUUAAUAGUUAUAACAUUGCCCGUUUGCUUUAUUCAAUCACAAUUUUCAUACCACAUCACUUUAUAGUUUGUGCGUAUUUAUGCAAAGUUUCUUUUUUUCAACCAAGUUUCUUUUUUCAACCCCCUGAUUACUUUAAUUCAAAAAAAAGAAGCUUGGAUUAGUUUAAUUUUCUGUGUUGGGCGCUAUUUGAACUUAUUUAUACGACUUUUAUGUGUUAACUCUCUUUAUAUGGACAUGUGUAUUAUGGGUGAUGAUGUCCACCCCACUUUUAGAAAAUAAUUACAAAAAGUUUUCAUUAUUUUUAAAAAUUUCAAAUAAAGAAGAAUUCAAAAGAAUUAAUCAAUUAAAUCUAUCUUAAUUUAUUUUGUUGUAACUUAGUUUUUUUUAUAUGGGACUAAUAAGAUUACUUAAACCUAAAUUUAAAUUGACUAUUUUUAAUUAAACUGGCAUAAUGUCUUUAUGAGAAAAUACUCAUUAAAUUAUUAGGCUGUCAAAUUUAUGUCAUUUACAUGUAAAAUGUUGAAAAUUAUUAGGCUUCAUUUAAGAAGCUAGAUUAUAAGUCACAAAAUUAAGUAUCUAAAGUAUUAGAUACAAGAACAAAUUUUUUUUUGGCCCAAUGGGUCAUUUUAUGUCAUAAAGCAAAAUAAUUAAAUAGAACUUAUAUUAAAGCUCCUUUAAUGGUAAAAAACAACUAAGAAAAAAAAUAUAAGAACGAUUUAAUUGAUUAAUUACAUUAUUUUUUUUGUUGAUUUUUAUUUAUUAGAAAAAUGUGUAUUUAUUAUAAAUAUUUUUUAGAAGUGGGAUGGGUUUAUACAAAUAAUUGGGUGGAAAUAUCCCACCCUUGUACUAUGUUGUAUAUAAUAUAUGGCCCCUCCAAAAUCAUCUUAAAAUUUUUUUCCAAUUAUAUUGCCUUUAAUGCCAAAAAUACAUUUUUUUUUAAAUAAUCUCCUUUUUCAAAUAUGCUCUCUCAACAAAAAUAAAAAACACUAGCUUCCAAAAUUAAAAAUAAUCAAAUUUAAAAAAGAAAACAAGUUUGAGCAAAUUAACUGUAUAGAUGAGACUACAAGAGAGAGAGAGAGAGAAACAAAUUUGAUUCAAUUGGUUUUGUGCUAGUAAGGGAACUAAAACUGAAUUUUAUUGGCUUUUCUUGAGUUGCAGCAAAUGAUUCAACCUUGGCAAAUCUUUCUUUUGACUAUAAUACCAUUAGUAAAUAGUAAUUAAAAAAAUUAGCUUUAAUUUUUUUAAUAAAUAUAAAUAUAAUUUAAAUAGUUUAACUUGUCUAUUAGUCAAAUAAUAUUAAAAUUUUUUAAUAUACAAAAUAAUUUUCAACAUAUAAAUUAUGAUAUAUUUGAAUCAUAAUUUGUAUUUAUUAUAGAAGUUCUAAAUAUAUCUUUGGUUAAAUAAAUUUUACAAUUAAUAAAAUGUAUCUAAUUUAUUAACAAUAUUAAAAUUAUUUUAUAAAAUAUUGAAAAUAACUUAAAUUUUGAUUUAUUUAUUUUAAUAUUAUGCUUCUAUUUAUUUGGCUUAAUAUAUUAUAAGAUUGUAAAGUAUUCAAAUAUUUUUUAAAUAUUGAAAUUAUUUUAAAUGUAUAUAUUAUACAUUUACUUUAAUAUUAUUCUUCAAUUUAUAAUGAAACAUUGGAGUUAAUUUUUUUGAGUUAAUAGAGCACCUUAGUCAAAAUGAAGUCUUGGUAUCCUUAUUGAAAAUAUGAAGGUUAGUAUGACCAUUUCUUAAAAUCUUAAACGAGUAGGUGCCUUUUUCCUAAAUGUAAUUAUAAUAAAAUAAGAGUUUUAGAAUAAUUUUAGAGGGUCUUAAUAAUUCCACUCGUUUGCCAUUAUAAAAGAGUAGAAUGUUUAAAAAAAAAAAUGGUGAAUCAUUCUCAAACUUUAUAAAUCUAUUAUCCUCUAAUUUAUUUACCGGAUAUGAUUAUCAGUCAAACAAGCAAACAGUUUAUCAAUCUGCACGACGUAGACAGCUAAAUUGAUUUUCCUCGAAAAUUUUCCAGGAGUCCGCGGAGCUUAUGUUAAAUGUGACACAAUCUUUCAAUCUAAUAAUGCAAUUUGAAAGUCCACCUGCCUGGGGGACCAACCCCAAGCAGUUAAUUAAUGACUUUGAAGAUUUGAUGUUUGAAAGUGAUGAGCACGGAGAUUUCUUGCAGAGAAAGUGAGGUCAUUAAUAAUUUUCAAAUAUACUAUUCCAAGUUGAUUAUAUAUGGGCAAACAGAGGAUGACAAUAUAAAUAUCAAGCAAUAUUAUAACAUAUUCUUGCAAAGCAAACUUCCUUUUCUUAUAAUUAAUUAAUAUAACUUCUAUCGACAGAAAUGAAAUCAACUAUCAUGAGUGUUUCGGUUGCCAUUCUUUUCCUUGAGUUAUUUGUUGUAGCUGCCAUGAUCAACAUCAGCUUCUGCAACGGCAACUCUUACGUGGGUUGCAUAGACAGUGAGAGAGAAGCGCUUCUAAAGUUGAAACAAGAUCUCAUAGAUCCUUCCAACCGUCUUGCCUCUUGGAAUACUGGUGAUGGAGAUUGCUGUAAAUGGGCUGGUGUUUUUUGUAGCAACAUCACCGGUCAUGUCCUUCAGCUCAGCCUCCAAAAUCCUUUUAGUUAUCUUGGAGGUGACUUACGAGAGGUCAAAGCUGGAUCUAAUUACGAGAGGUCAAAGCUGGGUGGUAAGGUAAAUCCAUCUCUGGUUGAUUUAAAGCAUUUGAUUCACUUGGACUUGAGCGGUAAUGAUUUUGAAGGGAUCCAAAUUCCCAAAUAUCUUGGUUCUCUUGAGAACCUAAGAUACCUCAAUCUCUCUGGAGCCAAAUUUGCCGGAAUGAUUCCUCUCCAACUUGGAAAUCUCUCUAAUCUGCAAUAUCUUGAUCUCAGUGGGACAUUUUUGAGUAAUUAUGAUUUACACGUUGACAGUCUUUCAUGGCUAUCUGGUCUUUAUAUGCUAGAGCAUCUCGAUCUGAGUCAAAUGAACCUUAGUAAAGCCUCUGAUUGGUUACUUGUCACAAAUUCACUCCCUUCUUUAAAAGUAUUAAAGCUGACCAAAUGCCAACUCUGUCACUUUCCUCCGCUGUUAUCCGCAAAUUUUUCCUCCCUUAAAGCCCUUCAUCUUGCAAUCAACAAUUUUGAUAAUUCUUUGUUUCAAUAUGGCAGCUGGGUUUUCGGUCUCCGUAAUUUAGUCUUUAUUGAUCUGAGCUCUAAUCAGUUUCAAGGUCAAAUCCCCAUCGGACUAAGAAACUUGACAUCUCUUCGACAUCUUGAUUUACGUUUCAACUAUUUCAAUUCUACAACACCAGGCUGGUUGUCUAAGUUCAAUGAUCUCGAGUUCCUCUCUGUUGCAUGGAAUUCCUUGCAAGGUACGAUUUCAUCAGUUGGUCUAGAAAACUUGACUUCUAUCGAAACACUCGACCUUUCUGGAAACUCUAAACUUGGAGGGAAGAUUCCAACCUCAUUUGCAAGACUUUGUAAGUUGACAUCAGUCGACCUCUCGUUAAUCGAUUUGAGUCAAGACUUCUCACAAGUCUUAGAUACUUUCUCUUCCUGCGGUGCAUAUGCACUAGAGUCACUGGAUUUGAGCAUUUGUCAAAUUUCUGGUCACUUGACAAAUCAACUCCUGCAAUUUAAAAGUCUGCACACUCUUGAAUUGGGACACAACUCUCUUUUCGGUCCACUUCCACCUGCUCUAGGAGAGCUUUCCUCUUUGAAAAAACUAGAUCUUUCUAAUAACAUGUUGAACGGUUUUAUUCCAUUGUCUUUGGGAAAACUUUCACACUUAGAAUAUCUAGACUUGUCUAACAACAAGUUGAAUGCGAGUCUUUCUGAAAUUCACUUUGUCAAUCUAACAAAAUUGACUUGGUUUUCUGCAUCUGGAAACUCUCUAAUUUUGAAAUUCAAUCCAAAUUGGGUUCCUCCUUUUCAACUCGAAACAUUGCAAUUGAGGUCAUGUCAUUUAGGGCCUCAUUUUCCAUCGUGGCUUCAUUCACAAAAGUAUUUGUCUUUCUUAGACAUAUCCAACACAAGAAUUACAGAUACUAUUCCUCGUUGGUUUUGGAAUUCUUCCCAUUAUCAGGAGCUGAAUCUCUCAAACAAUCAAAUCUACGGUGUUAUUCCAUAUUUUGAUCACCGUCCAUUGCCUUAUCAACCUUUCGAGUUUGGUUUACUUGAUCUUUCUAAUAAUGCUUUAUCGGGGUCUAUUAUUCAUUUAAUAUGUAAUGGGGAUAAUAAGUCGGUGAUCAUUUCUCUCAAACUCUCAAAAAAUUACUUUUCUGGAGACAUACCAGAUUGUUGGAUGAAUUGGCCUCAUUUGCAGGUGCUGAAUUUAGAUGACAAUUACUUUACUGGUAACCUUCCAAUCUCAAUUGGAACUUUAAGUUCUCUUAGGUCACUGCACCUUCGCAAUAAUCGAUUGGCUGGAAUAUUUCCCGUGUCACUUAAGAAUUGUUCGAGUUUGAUAUCUCUUGACAUUGGAGAAAAUGACUUUUUCGGCAGCAUUCCGACAUGGGUGGGAGAAAGAUUUCCAAGAUUGUUGACUCUCAAUCUUCGAUCAAACAACUUUCAUGGAUCUUUGCCAGUUCAACUUUGUCAUCUAACUUUUCUACAGAUUUUAGAUGUUGCACAUAACAAUCUCUCAGGGACCAUACCGAGAUGUAUCAACAACUUCACCGCUAUGGCGACAAUAAACUCAUCUAAUCAGAAAAACGCUAUAUAUUACUUUGUUACGAGAGGCAAUAUUGUCUUUGAGGACGCAUCCGUUGUGACAAAAGGGCUUUUGGUUGAAUACAACUCCAUUCUUAAUUUGGUAAGAAGCAUUGAUAUUUCCAAGAAUAAUUUCUCAGGAGAAAUACCUAUGCAAUUGACAAAUCUUGAAGGAUUGCAAACCUUGAAUUUAUCACACAACUUUUUCGUAGGAAAAAUUCCAGAGAAUAUUGGAAAUAUGAGAUCAAUUGAAUCCCUUGAUUUCUCAACAAAUCGACUUUUUGGUAGGAUUCCUCAAAGUAUGUCAAGUUUAUCAUUUCUUAAUCACUUGAACCUGUCAGAAAAUGACUUGUCUGGGCAAAUUCCUUCAAGCACUCAGUUGCAAAGCUUUGGUGCAUCUUGUUUUUCCGGUAAUGAUCUCUGUGGAGCGCCACUUCCUGAUUGUACAGAGAAGAAUACUUUUGCACCUGAAGUUCCGAAUGGAAAUGGAAACGAAGAUGAAGAUGCAGAUGAAGUGGAUUGGUUGUUGUACGCAAGCAUGGCACUUGGAUUUGUGGUGGGUUUUUGGUGUUUCAUUGGCCCUCUACUUGUCAACAGGAGAUGGAGAUACAAGUACGGUCAUUUCUUGGAUGGCUUUGUGGAUAGAUUUUGCUACUUUGUAAGAAAAUGUUACUAGAUUUUUUCAUGUUUUCCCUUGUGUUAUUUUAUGUAAUUUUUUAAAAUUAUUGUUCUAUAUACUGCAGAUAAGAAAUGAAGUGUUAUACAAUAGAGGGGAAGGAUUUUACAUUGGCGGCCUCUAAAAUUUUACAAAUUUUCAAACCAAGUUUCACAAAUUAGCUCAACUUAGCAAGGGUCCAGAUUUUUGAAUUAAAUGCAAAAGUAAUAGAACUAAAUGGGAGAGCUGUUGAUUUGAUAGUUCAGUCUUUUAUAUAAAAUUUAUGUUUCUUCCUCUUAAAGAAAAUUGUUCUUUCAUCAGAUAAACUUCAUCCUGCAUUGCUAAUUUGUUCGUGCAAUCAGAGAAACAUAGAGCUGAAUCUAAUGAAGACUAGAUCAAGGUGAAGGAUGCUUUCAAGAGGAAUCACAGUUGAGUCACUAAAAUCACAGUUGAGCCACAAAAUUUGUAAUUCAAAUUAUUGCCGCAUACAUGCUAAUAGUUUACCCAUACUCUCGCAAACAAUUUUGAGGACUGACAUCCCAUUACAAAUGAUUACUGAUAACUCAAAUUUAUCAACCUUAUCUUGCUAAAAGGCCCUAAACUGUGCAAGUAUUACAAACUCGGAUGGUUCCAUAUCAUCUAUCAUAACAACAAUUUUUUUUUUUUUUUCAAGCAGUCAUCAUCUCAUGGCAAUUAAAAGAUUGGCAUAAAAGUUGUAGGAGUUUGGAAGACGUGCCUGAUAGUAGCCUACAAGUCUCUGAAGUUCAAAUUUAACCAGUCAAAUUGGCCCAUAGAGCUAUUCGAGAAACUGAAUCAUUCCACUUAGAUUUUUUGGGCGCUUUUUCCACUAGAAGCUUGAUGGUAGCCCAUACAAAUUAGUCUUUGGGAAGUACUUUCUGCUUGAAAAUAUUUCAGAAUCAAGAUGAAAUACUCCAAGAGAAUACUAAUAUGGAUAAUUUCAGUCACUUGAAGUUUCCUCAUUUUCUGGAAAUACCAAUUGCAAGUCUUCAUUGUCUCUGUAAACUUGAACAAGUGCGGCAGCCUUAUAUACAAGCAUGCCAAACAUGGCUGCAACAAUCUGCGAUAAUGGGAAAAUUAAUAAACACAAUUUAUGUUAGCAAUUUUAGGGCUUCAUGAUCAAUUUGAAAACUUAUACAAACAGCCGCAGACAACACUAAAAAUUAUUUUAAUUGCUACCUGGAAAUCAAAGAAGGCAUUGGCAAAAUACCGAUGAGACAGAACCCACAAACCAUAUAUUGUAGCCGGGAUUACAAGCCUUGGAGAUGAAAGAGCAAGGCUACUUCCCUUGAAUGAUCUCUCUAAGAAGUACUUAAGGUCCUCGCUUCUUAUUCCAAUUCUACCAAAGAAAAAGAAAUGUUUGCUUAUGCAAGGAGGAGACAGAAAACAACUUAGCUACAAAGAUGCCAUUAAAUUUAAAAAAAAAGGGGGGCAGAAGAUUUAAUCUGUACUCCUUGGACUUCUUUUGCAUGAAAAUCUGAGGAACCAUUUCCUUGGACAGACGGUCUGCAUGUUGGAAUAAGAGCUGAAGGUACAAGCAACUGCACUGGAAAUGAGGUUUGUUAAACUACCAGAAUUAGGAUCAGUAAUAAGAACAGAUGGUCUCCUGCUGUUAAUAAACCUUUUUUUCAGUUUUCUGUCAAAAAAGUUGCUAAAAGCACUGCUCGAGUUCUCGGAGUUUUUCGCUUCCCUAAACUAGAAAAUGAGUUAUAUCUUUAAAUUCUUUGAGCGCUUUGGAGUCCCAAUUAGACCAAAUAAAGAUAACUCCUCCACAAAGAAAACACUCAAGGGAGUCUACUAAGUUGAGAAUACUUUAUAGAAGAUAUCUAUCCCCAUGGACCAUUUCUCCAGCUAUUGAUUUUUUAGGCCAAAAAAUCCUGUGGACGACUAACAGUAAUUUUUGGUGGAAACUUUACAUCUUACAUUAUCAUGGCUUCCUUGCAUUAUAAUAUCUCUAUACACUUAUUUUUACAUUAUUGGCAGGUAAAAGGUUGGAUCAAAAAGUUCCGUCCAAAUCACCAGGUAUAUUGGUAUUAUUGGCAGCAGAAUCUACCAUUCUUUUAGAUAACUGAUUGCACUAUUUACUAUUGCUAUUAUUCAUAGACCUUUCAUUUGAAUCAUAGCUCAAAAACUAGGACUCAGCACCGAGCUUACAAUUUGACAACCGACUCACCAACAUAUUAAUUUAACAGAUAUUAACCUUCUUCUAAAAAAAUAAAAAACAGAUAUUAACCUUAGUGAAAAUAGAUCAACUUACCCAGUGAUUCGGAAUGCUAAAGACCCUAAUAAAAGUUCCACUUUCUGUCUGGUCCUUGGCUUCAGGUAAACUAUAUUAUUCAAAGACGAAUCCUAAUGUGUGCUUAUCUGGGGCAAAGAAAUGGCAAAAGUACAAAUCAUCUGUUUUUGCAUUGUCACAAUGGUGGUCAUUUUUUCAGGCAGCUAGAAUUUCUUAAGUUAUUCCAGCUUCUAGCAUUUUUCAGCUUUCAGAGAUUAUUUAUGCUUUUGGGAGGAGGGGUGGUGGGGGGUGGGAGAAGCUAGAGUGUUACAGAAAUGUUCAGUUAUGUCCACUUAUUUGGUGAAUUGGCUUGAAAGAAAUUGAAGGAUGUUUUGAAGAUUCUGAGGAAGACAUCAUCUUUUUGUGGGAAAGAGUAGGAUUACUAGCUUUUCUUUGGGCGUCAUUAGAAAGGAAUUUCGAGAUUCUUCUUUCUUCUUCAUUUGUCUAAACUGGAAGCGGUGUUCACUUAGCUCAGUGCUUUGGAUUUGUUUUUGUUAUGAGAUCAUUUAGUCAUAUAGAUCCUAUAAUUAUUUGGUCAUAUUAUCAGCAUUGAACUGUAUAGACUUUUUGUGAUCUUUAGGGGUUCUUUCUUUGUGGACUCCUUGUUCACUUUCUGUAAUGUUUUUCUUUUUAAUAAAAAGUUUUAUGUUUCCCAUCAAAAAACACCAUAAAUAAAUAUAUGAAAAAUAAAAACAUCAGCUUACCUGAAAAGAACUCCAACCACAUAGCUAAAAGCCGCCUGUAAAAUUAACAAAGUCAUUUCUAUGUAAGCCCAAAAUUUACAAUAUUUCAUGAAUAUCUUACUUUACAUUUUUUUUUAAAAAAAAAAGUGAAUCCUUCCAAUAGAGUAGGGAAGAAAAAAAAAAUUUGCCUACUCUGUUGCAAUUUGUACAGUCAAACACUGAAAAUAUAUAAAAAUAUAAUAAAAAGUAGGUUUGAACCAUUGUCACCAAAUCCUCAUAUUCAUUUCUAAUCCAUACUUCCGUUAAAGAGGCUAGAGAAAGGUCUGAUAUAAAACAUUUUUUAAACUUGAAAUACUGGUGCUUUACUUUUCUGUGAGAUAUUACCUGGACUGAGAGCGUUAUCAAACAAUACCCACUCCAGGCAGUUCCAAUGCCAACUGACAAGAGCAUCAGUUCCCUCUUCAGCUGCAAGAUCAAAGUACGAAAAUCAGCAUCGUAAACAGCUUUUGUGGUACUAUGUUGCAGAAGCUAGCUUUUAGGUAAUAACACAACCUAAAAGUUCAAGCUGAGAGAUAAGAGCCUAAGACUACAGAAUCUAACACGUACCUCGCAUGCAAGGCAUGUAAAUCAAACAUAACAGGAACAUUGCUAUAACAAGAAGCAAACUCAAUGUUCUAAUAAUGAAAGUAACACAUCAGAAAAUCCAAAUACAAGACAGCUUGAUCAAACUAGCUCCACUAAAAGUUAAGCAGAUAGGUAGGACUCCAACAGUAGUUUUCAAAACCAACAAAUAUAAAUAUAAAAAUAAAAGCAUCCUGGAACAUACCCAGUCUGCGAACCCUUAGUUCUAUUACUGACUUUAACAUAAAACUGAAUCCCUUAGGUCCUAUCCUGGUUACUUGGAGAUCCAAUUGGAGAAAUAUUGGUUUCAAAACAGAAGCUUAGGUAACCAAAUUUGCAGCUUCAUUUGAAAACAGACAUCUCUUGAAAUGCCAUUUGCCAACAGAAAAAUAUGAACAACCUUUAACCAAAAUACAUUCACAUGGUGAGCAUCAGCUCAUUCAGCUCACAAGAUUAAAGUUACAGAUUUAAAUAUAAUGAAAUCAUAGGCCUAGAACCAAAAGGAGAGAAACCAGUCCGCCCUUGCACAUAUUUAUACAAUAUGUUCAUUUAUUAAUCAGUUUUUUCAAAGUUAGUUAGAUAACUACAAACAAUUUAUAUUUCAAAUGUAAAGAGAAUCUAACUUUAAAAGAAAUAAUGGAGCUAGAACUGAACAGAAAGAUCCCAAUUUCAGGCAUUGACAUCACAUCAACAACCAAUUAACCAUGAGAAAUACCGAUUUGAAGAAAGGUAUCAUACAGCUUCAUAUUUAAGAAGGUUCAGUCUCUUCCUUCUUUCACUGUCAUCCUGCAAAGCCUGUAUUUACAUGCAUUGGUUAGCAGUAUGAAAUUGCAGAUAUAAAACUUAAAACAAAUUCCCAUACUUUGCUGAAAUUGGGAGAAAGGGAGGGAAGAAGGAUGAAGAGAUGGGAAAGAGUGUUUACAAGCAAGCCCAUUAUAAUAAAAUGAUAGCCAAGAAAAAGCAUACCUUAGCAGAAGGUUUCUUAUUUAUUGGUGCGGAGUUGUCACCUAAUAGCCACUCAUGGGUUUUCAGUAAUUUCAAAAAUCCAUCAUCAUUGUCACUUUCUAUGACCUACAAAUAUUAGUACCAUCAAUAAAAGCACAAGCAAACUAAAUCACCUAAGACACCAGAAUAAAACAAACAGAAUGUCAUACACUUAGCAAUUAAAUUGAGGAGCCUUAAAGCAGAGAGUAGCUAAAACCAGUAUGGAAAUAUGUACACACUUUAAUUCAUAAAUGCGUCAAGAGUGGAGUUGAUGCCACAGUUUAAUGCUGAAGAGGUGAUAUAUGAGAGAUCAGAAUAAAGCAUCUGCAUCGUCAACUGCUUGAAAUUUCAAUGGAGCUUUUUAACAACACUGGGACCGAAUGAGUCCUCCUUCUAUAAACACCAGUUCUACCCCAGUCUAAGCCUCAAUUGUAAUAAGGAGCUGCACCUUGGGCGGUAAUUUAUUUCUCAUAAAAGCCUAGAAAGGAGAGUAUACAAGCUACUGCUAAUUCUAACAGAACACAGGCUUGGCGAAGUUUGAAAAUCCUUCAAGAUAUUGAAUGAAUCAAUUUGUUUUUUUCCCCCCAACUUGGCAUAACUACAUUAUUCAGUAACUUCUUAUUUGACACUCAUGAAACUAAAUAAAUAAAUAAUUUCGGAAGAUUUCUCAUUGAAACAGCUAAAUUGCUGCAUUAUUAGUGACAGAACCAUUCCAGAGUCCAUACUCCAAAGUCAGAACUUAAGAGACUCUAAGAACCACAAAAAGUACCGAGAAAGAUGCUCUAUAAACCAGAAUUGUUUGAAAUUAUCAUACUUCUAUACCACUACAGAGAACACGAAGCGAAAUUCUAAUUGGCAAUUGCAUAUCCCAAAAAAAAAAAAAAAAACAGAAAGAAAGAAGAAUACGAUACAUUCUUAUGAAUCAGAAUCAAGUAAGCCCUGGUGAGCUUGUUCAGAAUUGUCAGCAAAUUUCCCAGCAUCAGCAUCAAAGUCAACAAAUUUCAGAGCCCCCAUCAGCCAAAACAUAUCAGAAGUUUUGGAAAUAAAGUCACCAUUCAAUUCUCUAUCUUUAAAGAACAUUUGCAGAACAUCCUCUUCAGCAACUUCACACACUGAGAAGUAAUAAAAACAUAAAAACUGGAAUGGGAAUUGACUGGGUAGCAUUAGAAGCGUCACAAAAAAGGGGUGGUGACUGACCUGGACUACUGCUUGUUCUUAAGAGAGAAGAAGAGAAUGUUGGUGAUGUUUUCUUGGAAAGCGGCUUCUGGGUAUGAGGAAGUGGAGAGAAUAUUGGGAAAUGAGAGUGAGUGUAGUUUGUUAAGAAGCUAAUUCUUGAGAGAGCCUCCAUUUUUGUUGGGACUUUCUGGCUUGUUGCUUGGCUAAGCCCCACUCUGGUUUGAUGGAGAAUGGUUUGGAACAAAAGAGGCGUCAUCGCAUUCUCCUGUCGAGCACCAGCACCGCCGGCCGCUCGCUAUUUUUCUAUUCAUAUAAUUAAUUGUGAGGGAUAAUUUCAUGGGAAUCCGUGAGGUUCACUUAAUAUCAAUAAUACCAUAUAAGUUCUCAAUCAACAUUUGAACUUGUACAGUCAUAAACUCUCCAAAUUAAUAAAGUCCCACAUGUUGGUUUGUAAUUUUAUGAUUCUUAUAACUUUGUGACAAUUUAUGUCAGUUUGCACCAUGGUGUAAUAUUUCAACAAAAGUGAGAAAAAUGUGAAUAACCUUUUAUAAUUUUUUUUAUUUUAUUCAUCUUUAUAAUUAACCUAUUUAUUAAGUCAUAUGUCAUUUAUCUAUUAGAAUGAGAAAUUUUAUUUUACCUUUACUUAGAAUACCACCAUAUUACUUAGAAUGAAAUCUUUAGGGAUAUUAUAAACUAGAAAGUAUUGUAUUAAUAAUUUUAAUAUGGUUAAGUUUUCAAAUAUUCUCUUGUGAAAUAACAAUCUUUAAAACACUCCCAAACUGAUAAGUGAAAAAUGAGAGUGGGUUAACGAAAUUGUUUUUGCUUUCUUUAGAAAAAUAGGAGGAAAGUUGAGAUUUACAAUAAAUUUGAGAAUAUUUCGAAAAUUAUUAUUUCACAAAAGAGUAAUCCAAAAUUAACCACCUCUUACAAUAUAAAUAAAAGAAAAUGCAUCAAGAUGGUAAAUAUAAGCCAUGUGGACUUUUGUGAUUCAUAGAUUUUAUGUAGAAUCUGAUUGUAAUAUCAGUAACGAAAAAAAAAUACCAACAAAGUGUUGGCUCCACUGGCAAUGGAGUCCCUUUAAGUGGUUUGACUGAGUUUGCUACCCAGUUCGAGUCACAGGGAAGUCUCAUUUGUUGAGAGAACUUGUGCCUCUCAGUUCGAGAGGAGACUUCUAAUCUAGAUUGUGGUACAGGCUUAAAGGUGACUUCCACAGUUGGGGCCCUCCCCAGGAUACUUUGUGAUUAAUAUCAAAAAAAAAAAUCAGUAAAGAAAAAUAUUAUGUAUUAAUAUUUCUAAUUGAUUACGGGAAGAACAACGAAGGAAAAGCUUUCCAGAAUAUUAGCAACAAUAUAAACAAAUAUUAUGCUAAUCAAUGAUUAUCUUCGCUAUCAGAACCGUAUGAAACCAGACUUACUGUUACAGGGCAUUUAUUAUGAUCAGCAUCACCCCUAUUUCUUUUCAGCACUGCAGGUUCCGGAGAUUUUUCUGCCGCAUCAAUUUUUUUCAUCGUAUCUGAAGACGAUUCUGCUGCCACAAUCUGAACAUCUUUCUUCGGUUUCUUUGCCAGCGGCAUCACUUUCAUAAUCGAGCUCAAGGGACGAGACGCUGGAUUCUUCUUCCCAAUAAUUACUCUUUGUUGAUGAUGAUCAUCGUCAUGGCUUAUUAAUGUUUCCUUGGAAGCAACACAUUGUGCUGCCACGGCUGCCCUGAAACGCCGAAGCUCCAGGGCCUCUUCGUCAGCAAGCCGCCGCUCUUUUUCCUUCUUAUACGACUCCCAUCCGUCAAGAAACUGGGCCUCGUCUUCGUCCAAGAAUUUCGGAGGCUUGUGCUUCCGGCGGUCCUCGAGAUCCUUUUUCUUUUUGGCUUUGUUCUCGUUCAGUAUCUCGUGAAGAGGCCUGUCUCUCUGUGCUGUCCCUCUUCAACUCUUUCGCCUCUUGUCUUUUUGGCUUCAUCCAAUUGUUCUUCUGAUAUAAAGUUGAUCCUCAAUGCAUUAGUGCUGGUUGCUGUUGAUUGUUCAUCCGCCAUCUUCAAGAUCAAUCGAAAUCAAAAUCCAGUAUACCAAAAUCGAAGUAUCUAGAGAGGGAGUUAAUUAAAUAUAUAAUUUAGCUAGAACUUUAGACGAUGAUCAGUAUAACGAUAUGUGUGGAUCCGACUUACUUAUGUUAAUGAUUAUGAAUGACUACUUUGUGCUAGUGCUACUGGGACUCCGGAUAUUAAGUUGCCCGAACCCAAGUUGGGAAAGUACAAAAUACAAAAUCCUAACUACGUUGAAUUCCAAGGUUUUAAAAAUAAAAAUUAUAUGUAAUUAAAUUCUUUUUAUCUAUAAACACACGUGUGAUAAAAGAUUGUAAAAGCCUUGUCUCAGCUAAUUGACAAAUACUACAAAUCCGUUUCAAUUCUAUAAUUAUUUUUUUAUAUUUUUAGUUGUAAUUUUAGUUAUAAUACAUGAAAGAUUAUUUUCGAAUAGAUAAAUUGUUACUUGAUUGAACAAAAUCCUUAUAGAAAUUGGAGUAGCUAGCGGCUCUCGGUUCACUUAUUUCACGAAGAAAAAUUAGGAGACCCAACUAGCUAGAGAUAUAUGAUCAAAGAUAUUAUUGUCCCUGAAAUGGCAACCGUAUAAAGCGAGAAUUGGAUUGUGAAAUAUGUAAGUUAUGGACCAAAGAAACAAUUUACAGCCACCAUUAUAUUAUAAGGAAGUUACUCCCAAAGUUGUAACAUUUGUGGGAAAAAAAAAAGGACCCAAAGUUGUAAGAUGUGUGGGGAAAAAAAAAGGGUGAGGCGGUUAAAAAGUAAAUAAAAGUAAAAGAUGCAGCUGGAAACAGAGGAACAUAUAUACACGUGUGAGAGAGUGAAAGAAGCUGUAAACCGACCUGAAACCCGACCCGACCCACGAACCUGACCCGAUUGCAUCUCACGAUUCCGGCCACCUCACCGGUCUAGCAAGCUAUCAAUCGGAAGCCCGUGAGACGCUGAUCAUACCCAAGCCGUCAUUACCGCUUAUCGCCGCCGUUUCAAGUUUGAGAAAUCGCAGCCAAAACUCGUCACCACCGCCGUUGAUUCUACCGGAAUUUGACCACGCCACCACCUCAGUUUUGUUCCUCAUGACGCCUUCUUUAAUUCCCGACCAUCCACAACCACCGGGAGUCAUUGUUUCGCCGCCAGCCAAUUGUUAGAGUUUCGCGGUUGUUGAGCUAAGUUCUGAUGCCGUCACCGCGCGUUAGAGUUCACUGCAGGUACCACUGAACUCAGCGUGGCCAAAAGUGUCUAACAUGUGCUUCUUGGCCAACGUUGACUGAAUUCCAGUCACCGUUGACCCACGAGGGUAAUUCGGUAAUUUCACAUUUUGAGGGUGAUUUUGUAAUUUCUGAACCUGUAGAUAUUUUAGUAAUUCCUAAAAUUGAGGAUCAGGUGUAAUUACGAUUCCGAGAGUAAUUUGGUGAUUUAUGAUUUUAGAGUAUUUUAAUGAUUUACAGACUCGAGGGUAUUUUAGUAAUUUUAUCGACGCAGGAGUUGUAAAUUAUGGGUAGAUGUUCGUUUCGGUUUUAUUGCAUAAAUUUAGUCAUAAUUUCGAUUUAUGGAAAAUAAUUAUAUUGUUUCUUUGAUUUGGGAGGAUCCGUGAGCGAGAACCAGUCCGCGGGCGUGGACGAUAACCGAGUGUGAGCAUCGUCACUGUGAGUUGAAUAUACAAAACAUAUUUUCAUAGUUAAUUAUGAUAGUAAAGCAUGUUUGCGAAAUAAGUAUUUUAAAUGUUUUGAUUUAAUAAUUUUCUCGAAAUGGAUUUUAUUCACGCAUUGAUAUUAUAUUAAAAUGUUUGGUUAAUGGUUUUCUGUAUCAACUUGAAUAAAAUAUGAUAGUAUCUUAAAGAUGAGAAAAGUGGAUUUAGAUGUGACAAUGAAAAGAAAGGUAUGAUUUAAAGUAUUGAUUAGAAUGUAUAUAAAUAUGAGUAUAGAGAUUGUUUUUAAAAUCAUUGGACAAUACCCUUCCCUCUAAAUACUGUGAAUCUGUGAUACAGAUGAGAUGAGAGGCCUUUGGGGCCCAUCUGAACACACAUAGAGGUUUUGGGUGGUGUGUUUGGGAGCUUUUGCUUUUUGGGGGCUUAUGCAUGCAGUAUGAUGAUUACAGAGAUACGGAUAUUGAGAUACAGAUAGAUAUUGAGAUACAGAUAGAUACUGACAUACAGAUGAGACAUAUGAGAUAUAGGCCUUUGGGGCCUGUUUGAGUACACACAGAGGCUUUAGGCCGUGUGCUUGGCGCUUUUGUCAUUUGGGGACUAGAUUAUGCAUGCACAUGUAUGAUGAGAUAUGAAAUGGUAUUUCCUUGUCUAUUCGUGUAGCUCCGAGGCAUGACGGUACCUAAAUAAUACAUCAUUGCUCGUCCGUUGAGGUCUAGAUACGACGAGAUUAUUCCCUUGGGUACUUGUUUGGUGACGAUUUUUAGAUUUAUAUAUUCUAUAUGAUAUUGUGAUAUGAUUCCGUGGUUAUUAGGUACGAUAUUAUAUAUGUUUUUCAAGGUUAGUAAUAUGAUUUAAAUGUUAAAUUAUUUAUUAUUGGUUUCUCGCAUAUGGUUUGAUGAAAUUGUGUUUGGAAAUGAUAUGAUUAUUUCUUUUAAAGUAUGAGUUUAUUUUCAAAAAUUACUAUCCACUCACUAAGCUCAUUGAGUUUUAUACUUAUCCAGUUUUUAUUAUAUUUUCCCCCACCAGGAGGUUGCAAGUACACCCAACCCACCCAUCAAGUGUAAAUAUAUUUUGAGUCUUGCCCAUAUGUGAUGGUGUUAAAAGAUAUAGAUGAUUUUUGUUAGGACAUCCUGAUCAUCUCACUCUUUUGGGAUUGUACAAUUUUGUUAUAUUAUUCUUUUGGGAUUAAGAAUAAACUGAUGUAUAUUAAUAUUAGUUAUAAUAUAAUCUUUUGACACUUUGGAGAUAUUUGGAGUAAAAUUCAGUAUUUUUGUUGAGGAUGUUGAUCAUUGAACUUGGUUGUAUAUUGAAUUUUUUUGGGCAGUGUUAUAUUCAUAUUUGCAGAUUGAGAGUGUUAUAUUUAUAAAGGAAACUCUAUUGAAUUUUCAGCAGAAUUCUCACUAAUUAGAUUAUUAUCAAGUUCGUUUUCAUAAGACUAGAUUGACUUGCCCGGGUGAGCUUUGGGGCGGGUCGUUACAAAAGUAAUACUAAAACAAGACAUGUUUAUUUAUUUCUUCCUUUUUUUUUAAAAGCCUAAAAUCCUAAAUAGAAGAUUCAAAAUUAGUGAAGGAACUGCAUUCGCACUGCCUUAUAAAUUUCUCUACAAUGAUCGAUCUACCAUUAAAAAAAAUAAAAAAGUUUGCUCAAAUUUAUAAGAAUAUACAAUCACUUUCACUUCAAUCAGUCAUAAAAUGGGCUUCAGCUCCUACUCCUAGCAAGCAUUUUCAAUACUAGUUUUGUUCAUUACUUCGGUAAAAGGUAUCGAUGCAACCAACUGAGUUUUCAACGUCAAGGACUUUGGUGUUGUGGCCGAUGGCAUUAAGGAUAAGGGUGGCAAAACGAAUAAACGAAUCGAAUUCGAGUCGAAUUGUAAAUGAAUUGGGUUAAAAUUCUACAGAUUCGGAUUCAAUUCGUUUAUUAAACGAAUUGAAAUUUCAGGAUUCGGAUUCGAUUCGUUUAUUAAACGAAUAUUCGGUUUGAUUCGUUUAUUAUUCGUUUAUCCUUAACGAGUCGAACCGAAUCAAAUCGAAUCAGGAUUCGUUUAGAAAAAUAUAAUUAAUAAACAAAAUUAAGCAAAAUAAAAUAUAAAAAAUCACAAUUUUAACAUCCCACAACAAAAUACAAGUAACUCAAACCAUAUUAUGCAGUCAUCUAAAUACCAAAUUACAAAUCCCUAAUAAUACAAAUAACAAUAAUUAAAAUUCAUAUGAUAAAAUAAGGUAAUUUCUUUAAUUCUCUUCAUUUGUUUUUUUCACCUUGAAAACAAAAAUCCUACACCAAAAAGUAAAUAAAAAUGUUAUUAACAAUUUAACAUAUUGCAAUAUUGAUAAUAAUCAUUGUAAAAUUUCAAAAUUUCAAAAUAUCAAAUAUAUACAAAUUUGUAGUAUUUUUAAGGAAAUACUAAUUAAAUAAGACAAAACUUUACCUAUCACACUCACACAAAUCCAAGGAUUUGGAGCAGUGGCAAAACGUAGCACUUGCUGGAUGUAAAAAUUAAAAAGAAAAAGAAAAGGAUUUGGAGAAGGAAAUGAAGGGAAAGAGAUUGCAAAAUGUAGUUGUGGCGCCUGAGUUGCUAGGAGAUGAGGGAAAAGUGCGUGUGAAGUGUAAAAUUAGGGUUGGUCUUUUGGCUUUAUGUGUUAUGCUUAAAAUUACAAUAUUAACCUUCAUAUUUUAAAAAGUUUUCAAAUAAAUUUAAAGAUAAAAAGGUAAUUUAAUUAAACGAAUAACAAACAGGUCGAUUCGUUUAUGACCCAUUUAUUAAACGAAUCCUGAACGAAUAAACGAAUCAAAAUCUUCAAACCCGCAUUCAAUUCGUUUAAUUAGCGAAUCGAAUCGAAUUCACCCAUUUAUUAAACGAAUCAAUUUUUUCAAACCCAAACCCACUUAAUUCGCAUUGAAUUGAAUCGAAUAAACGAAUUUUGACCCAUAUUGCCACCCCUAAUUAAGGAUGAUAGUAAGGUAAGGAAAAAUAAGAUCCGUAUAAAAUAAAUAUUAAUGUACUACUUACGUCAUUUUGAUUAUUUUCAACCAUCAUCAGGUAAAUAAAUAAGUUAAUCAAUGUAUUUAGAAUAAUAUAUUAUAUCUUUCCUGUGCAAAUUUAAAGCAAUCCAACUCAUAUAUCCAAAAUUAACUGCGGUUCAAUUUUGACUCACAUGGAUUCUUUGUUUUGGAAACAUCUCUUAAGGGUUCAAAAAUUAUCGGCUAUGAGUGAUACAAAAAUUAACACAUAUCUAAUUAAAACAUAAAUUCUCAAACUUCAGAAAAUUUUGUUACCCUCUAAGUUAUAGUAUUUCAUUUUAGAUAUCCAAUACAUUUUUGUUCUCUAAUUUUUUUUUUUUUUUGGGUCUCUCUCUAUCAUCGGCCUUUGUUUCUUCCAGUCUCUCGAUUCGUGAGUAGUGCUUUGCUAAAAUGAUACAAAUUUAUCUUUUUCACCUAAUCAAACAAGCAAACAUGUCAACAAUUAUUUGCAUGAAGCAGGCAACUGAGUCCAUUUUCCUUCCGUAGGGCUUACAUUAAGUAUUUUAGGGUGUGUUUGGGAUUGAGGUGCUAUAGCUUUUAAGCUACAGCUGCUGUGAAAAAAAAAUUGUAAUUAUGAAACAAAAGUUAAUAAUAUAUAGUAAAUAUAAAUUUUAAAUAAUAAUUUUGAUAAAAUUAUUAAAAAUAUAAUAAAUUUUAUAUUAUACAAGUGAAAAAUCAUAUCAACAUAGAUUAAAAGCUACAGCAGUUAGUGUUUACCAAACACUUUAGUGCUAUAGCUUUUAAGCUACAGCUGACCAACCUCAAUCCCAAACGCACCCUUAGUGACAAAUGCCUAAUAAUGCAGACUGCUACAAGUCCACUGAGCAGUCAAUGACACUGAUACUUGAACCAAAUUUAAAGGAUUUGGCACCGAAAUUUCUUGCCGGAAGGGAAAAGGCGUGGUCAUAAUAACUACGUUUCAAUUCUACUAUUCUAUAUUAAUCAGAUUCGAAUAUCUUAUGUGUAACCCAGUGGACCUUAUAGCAACCAAUAUGAUAUCAUUCUCUUGUGCACAUUUCCUUUUCUUAUAAUUAAUCUAUACCCAUAUCAAUGAAAUCUAACAAUAAGAAAAAUAAUUAUUGGGGUAAACUAAAGUUAACCCCAAAUAUUUUCUCAAUAUAAAUUAUCCGUAAUUACUUUUCUUUUUAAUUAAAAAAGGGUGUUCAAUAACUUUUUUUGUUUUAAGUUAAAUAAAGAUGUUAAGAGUAUUCCUUUUUUAGUAUGAAAAAGUUAAAAACCCACCAUUUUUUAUUUUUAUUUUUUUAAUUCUCCCUCUCCUCGGCCUUUCUUCCUUAUCCAUUUUAAUUUUUCUUUUUCUUUUUUAGUUAUUUUCCUUUAUUUCUCUCAACCUCAAUUUCUUAUUUUUGCUCCUUUUUUUCAUUUCUAAUUGGCUCUGAUUCUUUGAUUUUUGAGUGAACUCGUGUGUCAUGCUAAUACACCACGUGGCAAAGAGCAAUAAAAGGGGGGAAAAAAUAACAUCUUCAGAGCUUAUAUAAAAAAAAAGUUCUCCCAAAAACAUGGAUAAGUUGCGGGGUUGGAUUUAAUUUUGGGACUAAAAAAUUAAUCUUAUCCUAUGUCAUGUUUGGCUAUUAGAAUUAGUAAAUAAGUCCAAAUCUAUUGGGAUUAUUAGUCCUUAUUUUCAUGUGGAUUUAAGGGCUAGUUUGAGAUUGCGGAGAAUGAUGAAAUAACCUGCUUGUGUUGUGCAGUUAAAAUCAAUUGCUGAUUAGCUUAGUGUUUAGUAAACUGUAUUGUUGCGGUUGUUGUGAGUUUGAAAAGUAAAAUAUAUGCGUUUAGUAAAUUUUAUUACAAACGUGUUGUUUUAUUAUAUAAUGACUAAAAUAGACAUAAAUUUUAAUUACUUAUUAUUUUUAGAGUAUGUUUAAUAAAUUGUUUAGACAUAUCUUUUUUUUUCAUAAACAUAUAAAAUUACAUUAAAAAAAACUCAAUUAAAAAAUCUAAAGAACUUCAUAAUCUGUUACAUAAAUAUGAUAAAAAUUCAUACUUAUACAUAAUCCAAAUAAAACCAAAAGCAAUAUGUAUUACAUUUACAAUAAUUUUUUUGCAAUAAAGUUUCUCAAAUUUUUCAUUUCUUGGGAUCCAGAGCCAUUAGUAUUGUGAUGCUCUUCGUAAGUAUUAUUGCCUCUUUUUAUUCGUUCAUCAAAGAUUGAAGUAGGAUAAUUUUCAAUAUUGUCAAAAUGAAGAUCACGUUGCACAUGUCUCCUUAUAUAAUUGUGCAAUGUCAUGGUUGCAAUGACUAUUUUCACUUGUUUGGAAAACGAAUAGCUGGGCAUAUCUCUUAAAAUCUUCCAUCUUUUCUUCCAUACUCCAAAUGCGAGUUCAAUAAUGCUUCUAAGUGAUAAGUGAGCAUGAUUAAAUAUUUCUUGAUAACCUAUGGGUUUAGUAUCUUGGCGAAACUCUGGAAGGUGGUAUAUUUCACCUUUAUAUGGACCUAAAAAACCACUAAUUUGGGGGUACCCCACAUCCACUAAGUAAUAUUUUCCUGUUGAAUAAAAAACAUGUGAAUUUGUAUAAUAAUAUUUUAAAAGAUUAAAUUUUAAUUCAACUUAAAUACUUUGUAAAGAAAAUAUUAAAUAUUUAAGAAAUAAAAUUUAAAAAAAAAAAAAGCAAAACACCUUUGGGAGGCUUUGGAAAAUUCAUUGUAGGGUUGUUAGAAAAAUCCUUGCAUCAUGUGCACUACCUUCCCGACCUACAAGUGCAAAAAUAAAUUGCAUAUCAAACUACAUGCAACCAUUAUUUUUUGAGUCGGUAUUCCUUUUCUACCAAUAUAUGGUACUUGAUCUUCUAGGAAUAUUGUGGCAAGAACAUGCACACCAUCUAUAGAACCAGUACAAUCUUGAUAAUAGCAUGAAAACAUAUUCAUUGCUAAUAUGUAACUUUGUAAAACAAAAAUUAAAUACAUUUUUUUAAUUACCUCAAAGUGGGGCAUGUAUCUUGAAUCUCUCAGUAUUUCUUUAGGAACUUCCUUAAACUCAGGAUCUUCUGCCUUUAUUAUAUCAAUUGCCGUUAUACAUACAACAUCUAAUGCUUGGCUAAAAUAUCUACUGAUAGUUUCACCUGAGUGUUGAAAUCGUUCUUGUGCUAACCUGUUUCCAACCCCAUGUCCCAAAGUGUGCAAAAACAUUCCUAAACUCUCAGCAGCGCCCAUUCUUCUUGAACCUUGUGGCCCAUAAUUUGUUUCCAGAUCAGCAAAUAAUUUUAAAAAAUACAGCCUUUUCCAUUUUAAACAUCCUGUAGCAUAUUUUAAAAAAUACAGCCUUUUCCAUUUUAAACAUCCUGUAGCAUCGAUUAUCAUUUCCUUCUAAUACUUCCUUCAACCACAUAUUUCCAGUUUGUAUAGAUUUCAUACAUGGUUGUUUAUAAAUAUAUUUGAGAUAAUAGUCUUCUAUAAGAAGUGCAGAUACGCAUACAAUUUGGUCGAACACCUCAUCAUCAGAUGUAUCAAUUUCUAAAAUAAACCUAUAAACAAUUAUUUAAAAAGUAUCACUAAACAUGCAACAAUUUUUUUUUUUUAAAAGUAAAGAUAAAAUGAUGUUAUAAACAAUUACAAAAAUCAUUCAUAAUUAUUAUUAUAACUAAUGUCUGAUGAAAAGUAGUAUGAAAACAGUAUCAUAAAAUUAAUUGUUCAUAAAGCACCUUAUUCCUAAAAGAAACUAAAAUCUAAAAGCCUAAAGGAAAAUCUAGCAUUAUCUAAUAAGAUUACUACAAUAACAUGUUUCAAAGAUUAUAAGUCGGUGAUUUCUCAAAAUGAAGCCAUUUAAGCAUCGUCUCUGUCUUUCGUGACAGAAAACAUCUCUCUCUUCUCUUUAGAUAAAAAGAGUAGAGUGGUAAAUAACCAUAAGUCGCUUCCAACUUCCACUCCAGGUAAAGAUUCAACCAUUUGCAUCACUUCAAGAGUACUACAGCAGACGGUAUCAUUUUUUUUAUCCUCAACAACAUUUAUAAGGCAGUCAAUAUGUUGUGAUAAUUUCGUAUCGUCUCCUACCUUUGCCCCUCCUAAUCCAACCUUUUUAACUUUCUUCACCCUUUUAUCUGUUAUCUUACGUAUUUCAACAUUUCUUUUAUCCACCAAUUUCUCAAAAUUUUCAAUACCUUUGUCAAAUUCCAAUUGAUCAGUGAACUCAUAUGAAUCACCAUUACUUUCUAAUGGAAUGACAUUUUUGUCUAACUCUUCAUUAUUUUCAUAUGGAAGGAUGUCAGCUGAAAGUGGCCAAGCAUGCUCUCCGGUGGCGGCAGUGUUCAUGAACAUCCUGUCCAACUUCCCUUCUAAUUAUUAAUCAAUGCCUCUUUUACGAAACUUGCUUGCCUUGGGAUACAUCUGUAUAUGUACAUUGUAUGAAGUUAAACACUAAUUUUAUAUAUAGUAAAAAAAUAUUGUGGCAAAAUAAUCAGCAUUCACCUUUAUUUUCUUUUGCCACCACUCUUCAGAAGCAUCAAUAGUCUUUAAUAUGGGAUUCCAUCCUAGACCAUUUUCUUUCCCCAUAAAAUCUUUCCAUAAUUUCCAACACUAGUAAAAUGAGUUCCAAGGCAACGUCCUACCUCUAAUUCCGAAAUACACAAAUCACAAAAUAUAACUAGAGUAUUUGCAUCCCAAUGUGCCUUAAUAAGUUGUGCAUUACUGGAAGUUUCAGUAGAGUUGGCAAUAUUAUUGUUCUUCAUCUAUAAUAAUAAAAUGUAAAAUCCAACUCAAUCAUUACAGUCAUGACAAACAAGCAAUAAUAGAUAUCAAACACUCAAGAAAUCAAGCAAUUAUAUCAUUAAUCAGCAUAUCACAAUCAAAAGCCACAUUCACACAAACAUGGCUAUAGUGAAAUAUAACUAUAUAUUUGUUGAUGCAGAAAUCUGGUCAUGUUGUAGGGCUGAUCAGGUUGUCUCUUCAACGAUCAAGUUAGCUCUGGUUGGGGCACUAUGUUGCUCGUUCCUUCCCCUGACGAGCGAAUUUUGCGACCACAACCAACCUCGUUCCUUCUCUUAUGACCUAUACUUAUAGAAAUUGAUCAGAAGCGCCAGUAGUUUUUUCGGCGAAAACCCUCCGAUGCUUAAGUCAGUAUGUAGGGUUUCAGGAAAAACGUUGGAUUAUAAAUCUAUGCAAGCUAACAAUUGUUAAAUGAAGGAAAAUUUUUUUAAAGGCUUUAUGAAAAUGAGUUCUGAAUCCAAAAUAGCAGAGUUUCCCCUUAUUUUUUUCUUGUCUUUUUCCCUUUCCUGUCUUUUUUUGGGGUUUUAUAGGCAACGACCCUUUGUGUCUUGAACAUCCCCCCAAGUCCUCCAUAUUCGAGCCAUCAUAGAUCAAAUGGAUUGCGAAAAUCGUGCAUGGGUUAUCGUGCCUCCCUCGAAUGGUUUGGACGUGGCGAAGCUGCCGCCUUAAUAUGGCAUCAUGCCCAAUUUUUAAGUACAUUUGUCUUGUUGACCUAUAGCUUACACCGAAGAGGGCUAUGGUGCCAUUGUAUCUACUCAUCAAAACAUAGUAGAGGAGAUUCCACCCAACCAAAUGAAUCAUGUACGACUGGUGCUCUUUUAAUCACCUAAACAUCAGUCCCCCUAGUUUCUAGUAUUGUGAGUGGAGCGAGCUAAGACUAGAAACUAGGAGACAAUUAUGGUAAUAAUGCAGGUUAAGUUAUCUAGCUCUAAUCAUGAUCUGGCGAAGUCGAGGUGGCGUUCUCAAAUUAUUUGGUUGCCCGGGUGGUAUAUAGCUGCAAGAGCAAUGUGUAUAGAGCAGACACCUAUGUUCUCAAGUACACUACCAAUCUGACUUCUUGUCAUAUCAUUUUAAAUGCUUGCGACGUGGCACUUCCUACACCAUGUAUUUAAAAUUUGAAAUGGUGAUUUCUUUGCUCUCGAUUAAACUGACACAUGCGUUACUUAAACGCUUCUUUUCUCUUUCCUUCAUAAAAUCCAUAAAUCGAGGACUUCAUUAAACUUGUUCUUCCACUUUCUACUGAGAUUUUUAACUUGAAAUCAAGCACCCUUUUUACGCCGGAGACUCUCUUUCUUCUGCUGUUUUCGCUGUGACAGUGACUCUAUUAACCUUAAACCAUCCCAGGUAUUGCCCUCUGAACUAACUUCUGGUUGUUAUUAUUUUGUCUUGUAUUGUGCUUUCUUGUUCGAGUAUUUGGAUUUGUUUUUAGUUUUCUCCAUGUUAAAAUGAAAAGGAAAAAUUAUCUAUAUUAAGAUGAUGAAGAAAUAGAUUCAUACCUCUAUAUGCUAAGAGAGACUCUCCUCGACCCCUAGAUUUCCCCGAGUGAUGUAGACCCCUCUAAUACUAAGAGCACUCUUAGGUAACCAUCGUUAGAGGUUACUCCACCACCUUCUGGUCACGAACCUAGUGGGAAUAAAAGUGGACAAACGUCGAGCUUCGACGAAAGUCCUAGCUCGAGUGGGGUAGAAAGUCAUGAUGAAGAGAGUGAUAAUGUGGAAAGUGGCACCGAGCCGAUCUAACCAGCUAAAAAAAAAAACCUUGGCCACAGGAUAGAAGCUAAUUCUUAUCCCAUCGAUUUUAUAAAGUACAGCACCACACAAAAUGAUCUAUACAAAUUGAAAAACCUUUAUCGUAUUCCCAACAACAUCCAUCUCGUUAUUCCCGAAAAAGUGAUGUCCCUAGUCAACUUCCUCAAGGCUACGUGACCUUAUACUUGAAGUGUUUCAAGUUAUGAGUUAAAUUGCCCCUCCAACCUUAUUUUGCGAAGUUAUUGAGUGACCUACAUUUGGCUCCUAGUCAAUUAAACCCAAACAGAUGGAGGGUACUUUCAGGCUUGUUUGUGCUGUGGGCUAGGUGUGAACCUUGAAAGCUUACCACUGAUGAAAUAAAGAAUUUACAUCAACUAAGAAACAACCCAAAAGACGUGGGCUGGUAUUAUUUCAUGUCGAGCUCUACAAAGAGAAAAUCCAUCACAGACUUUCCUACCUCAUGUAAAAAAUGGAAGACCAAAUUCUUCUUUGAUGAGGGAAACUAGGGUCAGGUGAUUCAAUUGGGUGGCGGUAGUAUUCAUGUCCCCACGCGUUUUUGCACCCCAGGUCAUUUAUUAUUUUUCACGCCUCAUGCCUUCAUUCUUACCAUUUACUGUGUUUUUUAGAUUAUUGGAGCAUGAUUUACAACAUCAAGGAGGAAUUGUUACUCAAAGUUCAGACUGCCCUAGUCAACGCUUGUACGUGCAAAAGCCUUUUGACGUCAACAAGUCUCAUCGAGUCCCACCUAAUCGAUAUAGCUACGGGGAUAGAUAACAAGAUCCUUGGUGCCAUGGCAAGGAAACAUGCUCGUGGUUCAGGCGACUUUGCCCCUACCCCACAAAAGAAGAGCAACGUCACCCCGACCAGCGCUCCUCCACCAACUCUGCCGCCCUCUCCGGCCUAAAAGGGUGGUGGUGAAAAAUCUCGCUAGAAGACCCCGAGAGUGCUACCCCUUCUACCAACCGAACUUCGUCACCUCUAUCCCGAGACCAAAACAAUUACUUGGCCAUAUACCAAAGGGAAUAUGCCAGGGUGAUGGGGUUCACGUUUGUAAAAGAGUUUGAGGGUAUAACCCUUACUGAGAUGGGAGGCUCCAUCCAAAAAACUACCUUUUAGCCCGCUACAACAGCCUCUUAUUAUAAGUUCAAGGCUUCUCGCCAUAAGAAGAGAUGACAAGUAGAGAUUUAAGACUUGAAGAAAAAAAGUUGAGGCAACUGAUCGUUCAAAGGAGCGAUUGCUUGAACUGCAUAAGCAGAUUCUAGACCUUGAGGAGAAAAUUGCUCUCACUGAGUCCAAGUCCAUUCAACUCGAUCGUGAGGUUGUAGAGAUGGAAUCUGAUCUUGACAUUGCAUGAAGUGAGUGAGAUACUCAGAAAUCAGCGCAUGAAGAGCAAAUUAAAUCUUUGAAAUUGCUUAUAACUAAGUUGAAAGAUAAGGUCAAUAACAUGGAGGACCGGAUGGAUGAGGAGUACGACUCUAGGCUUGCUUUUAGCUAUAACUGCAUUAUGUCUGUCCUUAAGAAGGAAUAUCCAAAGCUGAAGAUAGACAAGCUUGAAGCAAGUGUAAACAAGUAUAUGGCUUAGCAAAAUCAACCAAACAAAGGCCAAGAUGGGACUCCUCCGGGUGCUGAGAGUAGGAAAAAGGAAUAAGGGACAAAACGCCAGAUGCAGCUGUGGAGGUAGCCCUUGCCCUUGUUGGGAUCACUAAUCCUUCCUCGGCUAUGAUUGUUGAUUCCUCCCUUGCAGAAGUAGUUGAGCCUUCCUCCCAAAAUCCAUGAAUUUUAUUUCAUGUUUGAACUGCAAACUUUCAUUUGUUCACAUAUUUUGAAACAUUUAUAAAUUCUGUUUUCUACUUUUCAUUUUAAUACUUUGCUCAAGAAGACUUGUAUGAAUUGUUGUUUUGUCUUCUGAAUGUUUAACUUCUUUACCAACUCCGAUAUUCUAAAACUUAUUGUUGGCCCUAAUGAUUAUUUCAUGGGCUUUGUCCGCUCAUCUUCGUUUGAUAGAAUAGAUUUUUUACCAAUUUUUUGCCUGCUCUGCCUCGAGAAGGUUGUGAGUCUUUUAAGCCCUCAUUUGCCCUGGAAUAAUUUUGGUAAACUUUGCCUGCUCAUUCUUGCCUAGCAGAGCAGGUUAAGGCAAACUUUUAACUUGUAUCAUCUCGACAGGCUUCGAGCCUAUUUAGCCUUUACUUGCCUUAGAAAUAAUUUUUGCAAGUUUUGCCUACUCGUCCUCGCUUGACAGAGCAGGUGUUGAGUGUUAGAAAAUGCAUAUUUAUAGAGGAGAAAACCGUCAUUUUACAUUUCAAGUCUUACUAACAACCCUUAUUUUUAUGUAUUUAACCUACUUGUGAUUUAAUUACAUGUGUUUUAUUUUAAUUAAGUAUUUUAUGUAUUUUAGGGGCAUUAUAGUCAUUUCACAAUAAACGAGAAAUCAGAUGGCAAAACGGACAUCACUUUUGAACUCAGGACGGUCGAAAACCUUAGGAGGAGCAUAAAAGGAAAAAUGGCACUGUUCACAUGUACGGUACUAUUCACGUGUACGGUACUGUAUACGUUACUGUUCACAUAGACGGACCGAUGAUGUGGCAUUGACUGAUCGUCCAAACUAAUCCUGUUGGACUAAAAUUCUUAUAUACUGUUGAUGGUGACGUGGCAGCAUAUCAGUGGACGAAAAAUCUCGCAUACGGUGCAUGCAUCACACAGGAUUAUUUUCAACCAAACCGCAUACUGUUCAUCCGCGUGGUCAAACCGUGGAAUGUUGACUGAUGACGUGGCGCAAUCCUGAGCGUCCAAACUAUUUUUAAUCCGAUGGCCAUGAUUUACUCCAUGUAUCUAUAAAAAGGGGGCCUCCCCCCCCUAAUUUGAUAUCUCUGAAUCCAUUUUUGGGAUCCAUUUUCUGUAAUUCCCUCUCCAUCUUGUAUUUUCUUCGUAUUUUAAUAAAUUUUCAUUUUGCCCCUAGUUCAAUUAAGAGUGGCUAAUUUUCUUGCAAGCUUGGGUUGAUGGUAAAGUUUCAACAUGUGUCAUGGGCUUAAUUUGGUAAAUUUAUUUUCUCUUCCCCUCUAGUUUUUGUGGAUGUUUUGACUUCUCGUCGACAAAUAAUAAUAAGCUUGUCUAGAUACCGUCUUGGUUACACCGGCUCUCUAGUAGAAGUUUAUUAUUAUUUGGUACGGUAAGCCCUUAGCACCAUAUUGAUUAGAGCGUGGUUCAUGAGGUGUGGAUUCCCCCCUCAUGAUUUAAUUGACAUUAAUACGGAUUAUUUAGCCCAUGAUGCAUGUUGAUACGGAUCCAGAUACCCAAGUACGUCAAUUUAAUAGAUUUUCUCUUCAAUUUAUUCUCUCAAUUGCAAUUCCAAUUUUAGAAUUUAUUCUCGCCAUUUUAAUUUAAUUAUUAGCAUAUUCCAAAUCAUUUCCACCAUAAAUCCAACUACCCAUUUACAAAAUUAAUUCUAACACAAUUAAAAUCCACCUCCUCGUGGGAUCAACACUCAUCACCAUUGAUCUAUACUACAAUAAAUUCGUGCGCUUGCGAGUACAUUAAAAUUUGCACAACAAAUUGCUUGACAGCAAUUGGAGAAAGGCUCAUGAAGAUAACUGAUGACAAGUGGAAUGAGAUAGACGACAACACAAUUGAUGAUCUACACCUAGCACUUGCAGAAUGAGUGUUAUCCAGUGUGGUGGAGAAAAAAAACAUCUAAGGAAAUAUGAGAUACUCUCACAAAAUUAUACGAGACCAAGUCAUUGCACAACAAGAUCUUCUUAAAAAGAAGGCUCUAUACUCUUCGAAUGGUUGAAUCUACAUCAGUGACCUACCAUAUCAACAUCUUGAACGCUCUAUUUUCACAACUCACAACGUUGGGUCAUAAUAUAGAGGAAAAUGAAGGUGCAGAACUUUAACUUCAAAGUCUACUAGAUUUAUAUGAUCAACUCAUCAUCAAUCUAACAAACAAAAACCAAGUAGACAAUUUAGUCUUCGAUAAUGUUGCAGCCUUCGUAUUAAAUGAGGACAGCAUGUAGAAAAAUAAGAAAGACAAUCAAGCAAGUUCGCAGCAAGCAGAAGCACAAUCAGUGACGAGAGGGAGAUCAACGGAACAUGGUCCUAGUGGGAGUCACAACCAUGGCAUAUCAAAAUCGAGAAAGUAAGAAGAAUGUUAAAUGCUACAAUUAUAGCAAGAAAUGACACGUUAAGAAAGAGUAUUGUAACAACCAGAAGAGAAGAGAUAGUAAAGAUCUUGAAUCAUAAAAUACUCAGGGAUGUGUAGCAAGUACCUCAGAUUAUGGAGAAAUUUUCUAUAGCGAGGCAACAAUUGUUGCAGAAGGCAAAAAGCGGUUAGCUAACGUCUGGCUCAUAGACUAAGGAGCUACCUGGCACGUGACCUCUCAGAGAGAAUAGUUCUAUACAUAUGAACCUAUCUCAGAAGGAUCUGUAUAUAUGGGUGAUGAUCAUGUCUUGGAGGUCGCUGGUAUUGGUAUUAUCAAAAUAAAAAUAUCUAAUAAUACAGUUCACACAAUUGAGGAGGUACAACAUGUCAAAGGUUUUAAAAAGAAUCUAUUGUCUUUAGGACAAACAGAUAGUCAUGGGUGCAAAACUCAUGUGGAAAAUGGGAUCAUGAAGAUUGCUAAAGACGCGUUUGUAAUGAUGAAGAUAAAAAAGAUUGAUGAUAAUCUAUUCAUGCUUAAAAGGGAAAACACUACAGGAAGCUGAUGCAUGUGUUGCGUUAAAUGGAGAAGAGUCGGCAAUGAUGUGACAUCUCAAACUUGGCUAAUGUCGGAACAAGGUUUGAAGAAUCUCUCUGAGUGAAAUUAUCUUCCAGGGCUCAAAUCGAUGAACUUACCGUUUUGCAAGCAUUGUGUUAUAAGUAAGUAGAAUAAAUUGAAGUUCAAUAGAUAUGUUGCCAGAAGUAAAUGCAUUCUACACUUGAUUCAUUUUGAUGUUUAAGAAUCACCAGACAUAUCUAUGGGAGGUGCAAAGUAGAUGGUGACUUCUAUUGAUGAUGAUUUCAGGAGAUAUUGGGUGUAUCCAAUCAAGAAAAAGUCGGAUGUGUUUACAGUGUUUUAAGAAUUCAAAGUGCAGGAUGAACUUGAAUUUAGGAAAAUGAUCAAGUGUUUGAGGACCGAUAAUGGUGAAGAGUAUACAUAUGACAAGUUUCUUGUAUACUAUAAGCAAGAAGGUAUCCAGAGACAAUUCACGGUAGCAUACACUCCUCAACAAAAUGGAGUGGCGGAGUAGAUGAACAUAACUCUUACAGAAAGAAUAAGAGUUAUGUUGAGGACUAUUGGUCUACCCAACUCAUUCUGGGCAGAAGCAUCCAAUUAAAGAAGUCAAAGCGAUAAUUGAAGGUCUCUCUCGACAAAUAGCAUCGUUAUCGACUGCUAAAUCAACAGAGCCACAUGACCAUGACUCAUACUCAAAUCAAGCCAACGCCAUAGGUGUAAUGAGAAAACCAUCUAAUUACAACCCAUACUCCAACACAUAUAACCUUGGAUGGAGAGACCACUCCAAUUUUUCAUGGUCUCAAGGACUCCAACAGAAUGGACCAGCAACUCCACCAAUGCAACGAAUUCCUCAAAAUCCUUAAGCCUCUCAGCCACCAUUCAGACCAUACAAUCAGAACCAGAACUACUCUCAACCUAGACCAUGGGAGGAUUCAUUUCAGAAUCUCAAGAAUCUUACUCACUCUACGAUUGAGCAACAGAACCGCACCAUUGAUGGACUACGAAAUGAAUUGAGAGUGGGUUUCAACUCACAAGCCCAAUCAGUUUCAAGCCUCGAGAAGAUGGUGGGACAACUUGCUUCUUCAGUUCAGACCUUGGCAAUGACCGUUGAGAAAGGUAAGUUUCCAAGUCAACCAGUGCCUAACCCUAAAGGAGUGCAUGAAGCAAGUACCAGUUCACCACAGUAGCAUGGAGAGGUCAAAGCAGUCAUGACCUUACGAAAAGGAAAAGAAGUCGACAACAAAGUGGAGAUGCCGGUGACAAAAGAAAAUCAAAUUGUACCUAUAAAUGUUGACGACUCAUCACCGGAGGAGAAAGAAGAAACCAACCCACGAGAAUACGUUCCCAAAGCUCCAUUUCCUCAGAGGUUAGCGAAAGGAAAAAAGGGAAAAUCUACAGGUGAGAUUCUCGAAAUCUUCAAACAGGUAAGUGUUAACAUCCCUUUACUUGAUGCUAUUAAACAAGUUCCAUCUUAUGCCAAGUUUCUUAAAGACCUUUGUACUAAAAAGAGAAAUAUGCAUGUUCAAAAGAAGCUGCUGUACGGCCAAGGCGGAUGUACGGUACAGCAGNNNNNNNNNNNNNNNNNNNNNNNNNNNNNNNNNNNNNNNNNNNNNNNNNNNNNNNNNNNNNNNNNNNNNNNNNNNNNNNNNNNNNNNNNNNNNNNNNNNNNNNNNNNNNNNNNNNNNNNNNNNNNNNNNNNNNNNNNNNNNNNNNNNNNNNNNNNNNNNNNNNNNNNNNNNNNNNNNNNNNNNNNNNNNNNNNNNNNNNNNNNNNNNNNNNNNNNNNNNNNNNNNNNNNNNNNNNNNNNNNNNNNNNNNNNNNNNNNNNNNNNNNNNNNNNNNNNNNNNNNNNNNNNNNNNNNNNNNNNNNNUGUCCCAGAAAGUGAAAUUCAUAAUAUCCUUUCAUUCUGCCAUGAACAAGCUUGUGGAGGCCAUUUCAAUGCUAAGAAAACCGCGACUAAAGUUUUACAAUGUGGUUUUUAUUGGCCAACUAUAUCUGCUGUACCGUACAUCCGCCUUGGCCGUACAGCAGUUGGACUGGGAGAAUUACACCCAACUCCAGUGGUGUUACAGCUUGCAGUUCGGUCCACGAAAAUACCUCGUGGUAUUGUGGAGGACGUGCUUAUUCAGGUAGACAAGUUUUAUUUUCCUGUUGAUUUUAUUGUAAUUGACACUCAACCAAUACAGGAUUUAAGGAAGCACAUCCCCAUUAUCCUAGGUCGACCUUUCUUGGCAACUGCGGAUGCUCACAUUCAAUGCAGGACUGGAAAUAUGCAGUUGUCCUUCGGCAACAUGACUAUAGAGCUAAACAUUUUCAACAUUGCCAAACAACCUCACAGUGCAGAUGAUGGAAUUGUUGAUGUGGAUUUAAUUGAAGCAUUAGUUGAUGAUACUUUUGUUUCAAACCUUAGUGAUGAUCCUUUACAAACAUGUUUAACUCACUUUGGUUUGGAUUUUGAUAUUGACAGAUCAGUCGAUGAGGUCAACGCCCUGCUUGACUCCGCACCAUCCUUGGACACUAAUAAAUAGAAGUCAAGAGUUGAGCAAUUAGCACCAUCAGAUAAGCAACUCAUUCCAUCAUCAGAAUCACCACCGAAACUCGAGCUCAAAUCAUUGCCCAACACUCUGGAAUAUGCAUUUUUGGGAGAAGAAAGUACUCUGCCGGUAAUCAUCUCAUCAUCCCUAAAUGACGAACAAAAAGGUAAGUUGUUGGAUGUUUUGAAAAAGCAUAAAGGGGCAUUAGGAUGGACCAUAGCAGACAUAAAAGGUAUAAACCCAGUAGACUGCAUGCAUUACAUUCACCUUGAUGAAAAUGCUAAAUCUACUAGGGAAAUGCAACGUCGGUUAAAUCCUAAUAUGAAAGAAGUUGUUAGAACAGAAGUCCUUAAGCUAUUAGACGCAGGUAUCAUUUACCCAAUUUCUAAUAGUUCAUGGGUCAGUCAUGUACAAGUUGUCCCCAAAAAGUCAGGAGUCACAGUAGUUACAAAUGCUGAUAAUGAAUUGAUACCCACUAGAGUAACUACAGGAUGGCGUGUAUGCAUUGAUUAUAGAAAAUUGAAUUCUGUCACACGUAAAGACCAUUUUCCUUUACCAUUUAUUGAUCAAAUGCUUGAUAAAUUAGCAGGUCAUGAAUUUUAUUGCUUUCUAGAUGGCUACUCAGGAUAUAAUCAGAUCCCCAUAGCACCAAAAGAUCAAGAGAAAUUAUAGAAAGUUGAAUUCUGUCACACGUAAAGACCAUUUUCCUUUACUAUUUAUUGAUCAAAUGCUUGAUAGAUUAGCAGGCCAUGAAUUUUAUUGCUUUCUAGAUGGUUAUUCAGGAUAUAAUCAGAUUCCCAUAGCACCAAAAGAUCAAGAGAAGACCACUUUCACUUGUCCUUUUGGCACAUUUGCAUAUAGGAGAAUGCCAUUUGGAUUAUGUAAUGCACCUGCUACAUUUCAACGAUGCAUGUUGAGCAUUUUUUCUGAUAUGGUUGAACGAUUCCUUGAAGUCUUUAUGGAUGAUUUUUCUGUCUUUGGUGACUCAUUUGAUCAAUGUUUACAUCAUCUAACUCUAGUUCUGCAGAGAUGUAUCGAGAAGAAUUUGGUCUUAAAUUGGGAGAAAUGCCAUUUUAUGGUAAACCAAGGUAUUGUUCUCGGUCACAUCAUUUCGAGCCAAGGUAUUGAGGUUGACAAAGCCAAGGUGGAUCUGAUUUCUAAUCUUCCUCCACCUAAAACAGUCAGAGAAGUAAGAUCUUUCCUUGGGCAUGCUGGUUUUUAUAGACGUUUGAUUAAAGAUUUUAGCAAAGUUUCUAGACCCUUAUGCAAUUUACUUGCUAAGGAUGUACCUUUUAUCUUUAAUGAUUCAUGUCUUAUGGCGUUUCAAAAAUUAAAACAGUUGUUGACAUCAUCACUCAUCAUUCAAGCCCCGAACUGGAGCUUACCAUUUGAACUCAUGUGUGAUGCAUCUGAUUAUGCAGUAGGAGCAGUAUUAGGACAAAGAGUUGAUCGAAUUCCCCACGUUAUUUACUAUGCUAGUAUGACAUUAAAUGAUGCACAGUUGAACUAUUCAACUACUGCAAAAGAAAUGGUAGCAGUAGUGUUUGCAUUGGAAAAAUUUUGAUCAUAUCUCAUUGGUUGUAAAAUAAUUAUAUUCACGGAUCAUGCUGCUCUUAAAUAUCUUCUCACAAAGAAAGAUGCAAAAGCCAGACUAAUUCGUUGGGUGUUACUUUUGCAGGAAUUUGACUUGGAAUUCAAAGAUAAAAAAGGGACAGAAAAUGUUGUGGCGGACCACCUCUCUCGUCUCCAUUUUGACACAAUAAUAGAACAAUUACCAUUAAAUGAGUCAUUUCCAGAUGAACAAUUAAUGAAUGUCGAAGUAUUACCUUGGUAUGCUGAUAUAGUUAAUUAUCUUGUUACAGGUAAACUUCCAGAGCAUUGGACCAAGCAAGACAAGAUCAAAUUCUUUGCGGAAAUAAAGAAUUUCUUUUGGGAUGACCCAUAUUUCUGCUGUACCGUACAUCCGCCUUGGCCGUACAGCAGAAAGCCUGUCUUAUGGCGAGACAGAAGCCGAGCAUGCCGGGAUCUACUCGGCCACGAGAAGGCAGCAGAAUCACAAUCCUUGAAGAAUCAAAGGCAUGCAAAGGCUCGUCAAGUCUCAAAGCCUGUCUUAUGGCGAGACAGAAGCCAAGCAUGCCGGGAUCUGUUCGGCCACGAGAAGGCAGCAGAAUCCCAAUCCGUGAAGAAUCAAAGGCAUGCAAAGGCUCGUCAAGUCUCAAAGCCUGUCUUAUGGCGAGACAGAAGCCAAGCAUGCCGGGAUCUGNNNNNNNNNNNNNNNNNNNNNNNNNNNNNNNNNNNNNNNNNNNNNNNNNNNNNNNNNNNNNNNNNNNNNNNNNNNNNNNNNNNNNNNNNNNNNNNNNNNNNNNNNNNNNNNNNNNNNNNNNNNNNNNNNNNNNNNNNNNNNNNNNNNNNNNNNNNNNNNNNNNNNNNNNNNNNNNNNNNNNNNNNNNNNNNNNNNNNNNNNNNNNNNNNNNNNNNNNNNNNNNNNNNNNNAGAAGACUUGAUGAUGCAUUAUGGGCAUAUAGAACGGCUUUCAAGACCCCGAUUGGGAUGUCACCCUACAGGCUAGUGUAUGGAAAAGCCUCCCACCUAUCUGUGGAACUUGAGCAUCGUGCAUAUUGGGCCAUCAAGAAAUUCAACUUUGACAUGCAGCAAGCCAGCUCAAAAAGAAGAUUACAACUGGCAGAACUUGAAGAAAUUCGCAAUGACGCAUACGAAAAUGCCAAGAUUUACAAGCAACGAAUGAAAGUCUUCCAUGAUAAGCAAAUUAUGAGAAAAUCGUUCACUCCAGGUCAGAAAGUGCUUUUAUUCAAUUCUCGCUUGCACCUAUUCCCAGGUAAGUUACGCUCUCGUUGGUCUGGCCCAUUUAUUGUACAUACUGUUUUUCCACAUGGGGCAAUUGAAAUUAAGGACCCAAAGAACGGUGUCACGUUUAAAGUUAAUGGUCAAAGAUUAAAGCCAUAUCUAGAGUACCAACCACAUGGAGAAGACACCGAAAUAAAUUUGAGUGACCCACCAAAUUUGAAUUGAAUUUUUUUUUUCUUUUCGAUUGAUUUGAUUUUUCUUUAUUUCUUUUUAUUAUUAUUCUUUUGCUAAUUGAAAUUAUUUUUGCAUAAGUGUGUUUGUUUAACUAUUAAGUUUUCUCUUAUCAUUUUUAAUCAUGAGUCUCAUACUUAGACCGUUCCUCCUGAACAUUCUUAAACCACUUCAACGUGUCAAAACUCAUCUCAAAAGACAGAUUCAAUUUUGUAAAACACAUCGCAUUUGGGCUCUACAACCACCAGAGUUAGUAACCUAUGUUGAGGGUUUAGAACGCCAACUCCGAGAUAUUGAGAGAAGUGUUUACGACAUCCAGUUGGAGCUUGAGGUAAAUUCAAUAAGAGGACGAUUUUAAUUUUCUUUGUGUGUUUUAAUUUGUUUUUCUAUUUGUGUGCUUUAGUUUAUUACCCCGGUGAAGUGGCGGAUAACGGUACUCCGUGACAAUCAAGUCAGUUACUUCAGUUUCCCAUAAUAACUGAUAUUCUGAGGCGAAAGUAUGGACAGAAACGAGACUCUAGCGAAGCUUCACAAGCGAUUCCCUUCACUCCCUCAGAAUGCCCUCCUUACGAUCUAUAAAGCCCGGUCUGAACGCAUGCGAUUGCUCAUGAGGAAUAACAUACCUGCAGACAUCCGUUGGUUAAUCGAGGCUAAAGUACGAUCGGCAGGUGAGUUACCUCCAAAAUUUAUUGCAUUCAUGCCUGGUUGUGGUAAAGGAAAUUAUGCAAGAAAACGACGAGCUCGAAGAAUUUCUGUUGCUUGUCACAAGUGUGCCAGAAUGAGUUGCGAUAGAAACCCAUGUUCUUUAGGAAUGGUGUCUGAUAACAGAGAAGAUAAGAUUCAAUUCAUUAGGGAUGGCUUGAAUAAGGAGUCAUUGGAUGAUAUCCUUUUGUCUCUUGAAACGCAUCCCAGUGGAUAUGUACAAGGAGCGAUUCUCCAGUUAUGGCCAUUAUUCCAGAAAGAGCAUACACGAUAUAGUCUUGGGAAUCUGACUAUAAACGACCCUGUUUGCCAGUUUAUAAGAAAACUGGAUAGGAAGCCUAUCCUCGACCCAUAGAGGGCGUUCAAGCCGUUUCUGGACGUAAAACCAGAGGAAGAUGUGAGCCACAGUCGCAACUACAUGUAAAUAUCCUUUUACUUUCUGUUAUUUUAUUUCACUAUUGUUUUAUCGUUUGCAUUAUUGCCUUUAAUAAUUUUAUUACUGUUUGCUUUUUCCUUUUUACUGUUUCCUUUUUGACUCGCAAGCCAUGUGCUUCACGCGUUAUUUCACACUGACAUGUUACCUCAUUCACAGCUGUGACCCACUAUCACCAAGACUCUUAAAUGUGAUUUCUUUUGUCAAACACUCACAAAUUGUUUUUGAGAAAUAUUCCAAUGGCAGCUACUCCCAAUAGACAAUUCAAGAACAUUUGUGUGCUUUCUGGAUUUACAUAUGGCAAACAUAAAGAGUUCGUUGAGGCAGCCAUAGAUCUUGGUCGAAGCAUAGCAGCGAGAAAAUUACACUUGGUGUAUGGAGGAGGUAACCGAGGAUUAUCAAAAAUGGUCUCAGAAGCAGCUUUUAUCAAAGGAAGUCAAGUGUUAGGCAUCAUCCCAAGAGCCCUAAAACCUUUGGGCAGUUCGUCUGACUCAUCAACUGGAGAAGAGUUAGUCAUCUCAGGUAUGCAAGAAAGAAUAACUGAAAUGCUUAAUUAUGCUGAUGCUUUUAUUUUCCUUCCAGGAGAUCUUGCAACACUAGAGGCACUUAUCACACUAACAUUUUGGGCCCAUCUAUACAUUCACCAGAAACCCAUCGGUUUGUUAAAUGUCAAUAACUUUUAUGAUGGCUUUAUCGCAUUUCUGCUGUACCGUACAUCCGCCUUGGCCGUACAGCAGGNNNNNNNNNNNNNNNNNNNNNNNNNNNNNNNNNNNNNNNNNNNNNNNNNNNNNNNNNNNNNNNNNNNNNNNNNNNNNNNNNNNNNNNNNNNNNNNNNNNNNNNNNNNNNNNNNNNNNNNNNNNNNNNNNNNNNNNNNNNNNNNNNNNNNNNNNNNNNNNNNNNNNNNNNNNNNNNNNNNNNNNNNNNNNNNNNNNNNNNNNNNNNNNNNNNNNNNNNNNNNNNNNNNNNNNNNNNNNNNNNNNNNNNNNNNNNNNNNNNNNNNNNNNNNNNNNNNNNNNNNNNNNNNNNNNNNNNNNNNNNNNNNNNNNNNNNNNNNNNNNNNNNNNNNNNNNNNNNNNNNNNNNNNNNNNNNNNNNNNNNNNNNNNNNNNNNNNNNNNNNNNNNNNNNNNNNNNNNNNNNNNNNNNNNNNNNNNNNNNNNNNNNNNNNNNNNNNNNNNNNNNNNNNNNNNNNNNNNNNNNNNNNNNNNNNNNNNNNNNNNNNNNNNNNNNNNNNNNNNNNNNNNNNNNNNNNNNNNNNNNNNNNNNNNNNNNNNNNNNNNNNNNNNNNNNNNNNNNNNNNNNNNNNNNNNNNNNNNNNNNNNNNNNNNNNNNNNNNNNNNNNNNNNNNNNNNNNNNNNNNNNNNNNNNNNNNNNNNNNNNNNNNNNNNNNNNNNNNNNNNNNNNNNNNNNNNNNNNNNNNNNNNNNNNNNNNNNNNNNNNNNNNNNNNNNNNNNNNNNNNNNNNNNNNNNNNNNNNNNNNNNNNNNNNNNNNNNNNNNNNNNNNNNNNNNNNNNNNNNNNNNNNNNNNNNNNNNNNNNNNNNNNNNNNNNNNNNNNNNNNNNNNNNNNNNNNNNNNNNNNNNNNNNNNNNNNNNNNNNNNNNNNNNNNNNNNNNNNNNNNNNNNNNNNNNNNNNNNNNNNNNNNNNNNNNNNNNNNNNNNNNNNNNNNNNNNNNNNNNNNNNNNNNNNNNNNNNNNNNNNNNNNNNNNNNNNNNNNNNNNNNNNNNNNNNNNNNNNNNNNNNNNNNNNNNNNNNNNNNNNNNNNNNNNNNNNNNNNNNNNNNNNNNNNNNNNNNNNNNNNNNNNNNNNNNNNNNNNNNNNNNNNNNNNNNNNNNNNNNNNNNNNNNNNNNNNNNNNNNNNNNNNNNNNNNNNNNNNNNNNNNNNNNNNNNNNNNNNNNNNNNNNNNNNNNNNNNNNNNNNNNNNNNNNNNNNNNNNNNNNNNNNNNNNNNNNNNNNNNNNNNNNNNNNNNNNNNNNNNNNNNNNNNNNNNNNNNNNNNNNNNNNNNNNNNNNNNNNNNNNNNNNNNNNNNNNNNNNNNNNNNNNNNNNNNNNNNNNNNNNNNNNNNNNNNNNNNNNNNNNNNNNNNNNNNNNNNNNNNNNNNNNNNNNNNNNNNNNNNNNNNNNNNNNNNNNNNNNNNNNNNNNNNNNNNNNNNNNNNNNNNNNNNNNNNNNNNNNNNNNNNNNNNNNNNNNNNNNNNNNNNNNNNNNNNNNNNNNNNNNNNNNNNNNNNNNNNNNNNNNNNNNNNNNNNNNNNNNNNNNNNNNNNNNNNNNNNNNNNNNNNNNNNNNNNNNNNNNNNNNNNNNNNNNNNNNNNNNNNNNNNNNNNNNNNNNNNNNNNNNNNNNNNNNNNNNNNNNNNNNNNNNNNNNNNNNNNNNNNNNNNNNNNNNNNNNNNNNNNNNNNNNNNNNNNNNNNNNNNNNNNNNNNNNNNNNNNNNNNNNNNNNNNNNNNNNNNNNNNNNNNNNNNNNNNNNNNNNNNNNNNNNNNNNNNNNNNNNNNNNNNNNNNNNNNNNNNNNNNNNNNNNNNNNNNNNNNNNNNNNNNNNNNNNNNNNNNNNNNNNNNNNNNNNNNNNNNNNNNNNNNNNNNNNNNNNNNNNNNNNNNNNNNNNNNNNNNNNNNNNNNNNNNNNNNNNNNNNNNNNNNNNNNNNNNNNNNNNNNNNNNNNNNNNNNNNNNNNNNNNNNNNNNNNNNNNNNNNNNNNNNNNNNNNNNNNNNNNNNNNNNNNNNNNNNNNNNNNNNNNNNNNNNNNNNNNNNNNNNNNNNNNNNNNNNNNNNNNNNNNNNNNNNNNNNNNNNNNNNNNNNNNNNNNNNNNNNNNNNNNNNNNNNNNNNNNNNNNNNNNNNNNNNNNNNNNNNNNNNNNNNNNNNNUUGGAUUAAAUAGAUUUUACAAUUAAUUAAAUAUAUCUCAUGUAUCAAGUAAUAUUGAAAUUACCUUAAAAUUUUAUUUAAAUGAUAUAUAUAUAUAUAUUAAUUAACAUUAUGUUUUUAUUUAUUAUAAAAUUUAUAUUAAUAUAUAAAAUAUAUGUAAUAGAUUGUAAAAUAUUAAAAUAUUUUUUUAAUAUUGAAAUUAUUUUAGAAUUUAUAUUAUUAUAUUUAUUUUAAUAUCGUAUCUCCAUUUAUUAUAAAAUAUUGGAGUCAAUUUUUUUUUGAAUUAAUAGAAUCAAAGUAUAUUAUGGUCAAAAGAGAGUUUUGGUAUCUUUUAUUAAAAAGUUAGUGGUCUUCAUGAUUAUUACUCCAAACUUUAGGGGUGUCAGUGUCUUUUUCCCUAAUUAUUAUAGUAAUAUAAAUUUUUUUUUUCAUAUUGAUCCUUAACAAAAUUUUGUAUAACCUUUGUCGAAACAACAGUUAAUAUUCAUAUUAAUUUAGAAACAUUGAAUUUUGUAUUAAAAAAUUACUCAAGUUAAAAUAAUGUGGUGAGAAUUUUUAUAGUAACUAAAAUUUCUGCCAAACAUAAAAUUUAAACAGAAAUAAUAUUUUCUUUUUACACAGCACCUCUUAAGUUUGGGGGGAUUGUGUCAGUGUAUAAUGUGAUUGUAAGUGCAUGUGUUUGUGUUGUGUGAAUCUAUGUUAUCUAGUAUUUGUGUAUGGAUUGGAUAAUCUAAUGAAGAUAAAUUGAGUGUCAUUUAAUAAUUGUAAUUGCUAAGUAAGAACAGUGUAUAGAUGAAGGUUGAAUUUCUGUCUUGACAAUGAAGUUUUGAUUGAGUUUUAUAAGUAUGUUGUAGUAGAACCAUGAAAACAUAAAAAAGGUAGAAAAUAUCUCAAGUUUGGGAGGAAACUUUUUGUUGAACUAUGCCUGUUAUGAAAUAAAUUCCGCUCCAAUGGCUUAAGUUGCUGAGUAACCAGAGCUAAGUAUGCACCAUAUAUACAUACUUAAGUCAAAAAAACAACAAGAGCUAUGACCAUUGUUGAGUGUUAGAAAAUGCAUAUUUAUAAAGGAGAAAACCGUCAUUUUACAUUUCAAGUCUUAUUAACAACCCUUACUUUUAUGUAUUUAACCUUCUUGUGAUUUAAUUACAUGUGUUUUAUUUUAAUUAAGUAUUUUAUGUAUUUUAGGGGCAUUAUAGUCAUUUCACAAUAAACGAGAAAUCAGAUGGCAAAACGGACAUCACUUUUGAACUCAGGAUGGUCGAAAACCUUAGGAGGAGUAUAAAAGGAAAAAUGACACUGUUCACAUGUACGGUAUUGUAUACGUUACUGUUCACGACACUGUUCACAUAGACGGACCAAUGACGUGGCAUUGAUUGAUGAGGUGUCACGAUCCUGUUGGAUGUGGCGCAAUCCUGAGCGUCCAAACUGUUUUUAAUCCGAUGGCCAUGAUUUACUCCAUGUAUCUAUAAAAAGGGGGCCUCUCCCCCCUAAUUUGAUAUCUCUGAAUCCAUUUUUGGGAUCCAUUUUCUGUAAUUCCCUCUCCAUCUUGUAUUUUCUUUGUAUUUUAAUAAAUUUUCAUUUUGCCCCUAGUUCAAUUAAGAGUGGCUAAUUUUCUUGCAAGCUUGGGUUGAAGGUAAAGUUUCAACAUGUGUCAUGGGCUUAAUUUGGUAAAUUUAUUUUCUCUUCCCCUCUAAUUUUUGUGGAUGUUUUGACUUCUCGUCGACAAAUAAUAAUAAUCUUGUUUAGUACCGCCUUGGUUUCACCGGCCCCCUAGUACAAGGUUAUUAUUAUUUGGCACGAUAAGCCCUUAGCACCAUAUUGAUUAGAGCGUGGUUCAUGAGGUGUGGAUCCCCCCCUCAUGAUUUAAUUGGCAUUAAUACGGAUUAUUUAGCCCAUGAUGCAUGUUGAUACGGAUCCAGAUACCCAAGUACGUUAAUUUAAUAGAUUUUCUCUUCAAUUUAUUCUUUCCAUUGCAAUUCCAAUUUUAGAAUUUAUUCUUGUCAUUUUAAUUUAAGUAUUAGCAUAUUCCAAAUCAUUUCCACCAUAAAUCCAACUACCCAUUUACAAAAUUAAUUCUAUAUAUAAUUAAAAUCCACCUCCUCGUGGGAUCGACACUCGUCACCAUUAGUCUAUACUACAACAAAUUCGUGCGCUUGCGAGUACAUUAAAAUUUGCACAACAGCAGGUUCUGGCAAACAUUUGACUCGCCUCGCCUCGACCAGGCUUUGAGACAUUUGACCUUUUAUUUGCCUUAGAAAUAAUUUGGUAAGACAUGUCUGAAUGGAAUUCAUCACCUUAUCAUUACUGAAUGCUUAAAUAGUUACAAAAAAGUGGAAAACAUAAGCAUGUGGUAACUAUUACUACAUUAAACAUAAACAACUCAAUUGAAAUAUUAUAUGAAAUGGCUUGCUUGUUGGAAAUAUUUCCUUAAGUGCUCCGUGUUCCAUGAUUUCUUUACUUCUCGACCGUUUGGGUAUGCCAAUUUGUAAACUCCUGGACCAGUUAAACGCAUUACCCUGUACUGGCCUUCCUAAUUAGAGCCAAAGACGCCUUGGCUGGGAUAUCUCGUGCUCUAAUUCACUUUCCUAAGUAUCCAGUCCCUGGCUCGGAAUUAGCUCAUGUGCACGUUCUGGUUAUAGUAGCGCACGACCCUAUGCUGAUAUUCAAUCGUCCUCUGCGAGGCCUUUUCUCUUUUCUCAUCUAACAGGUCAAGAUACAGACACAUCUGCUUGUCAUUCUGUUCCCAUCAAAGUACUCAGUUUGGUGUGUUCCUACUCCAAUUUCUGUUUGGACCACAACUUCAUGGCCAAAGGCCAGGGCAAAUGAGGUUUCUGCUGUUGCGGUUUUGUGGGUUGUCCGACAAGCCCAUAACACACCAGGCAACUCAUCGACCCACGCUCCAUUCUUUUCCCCCAAUCUAGUUUUCAAAAGCUUUUUUAUGACCUUAUUAGCAGUCUCUAUCUACCAAUUUGAUUGGGGAUGAGUCGAAGAGCAGAAUUUCAGCUCAACACCCAAAUUUUGGCAAAAUUCCCUAAAGUUGUGGUUGUCAAAUUGCCUUCCAUUAUCUGUUAUGAGUAUAUAAGAGAUCCUAUAUCUACUUAUAAUAUUCCUCCAGAUGAACUUGGUUUUUCUUUUCCAUGAUCUGGCUUAGAGCUUAAACCUCUACCCACUUUGUAAAAUAAUCUAUCGCCACAGUAGCAUGUGUAGCAACUCCUCGUCCUUUGGGUAGGAGGCCAAUUAGGUCAACCCCCACUGUGCAAAAGGCCAUGGAGAGGACAUAACAGUAAGUUUCUCUAGAGGUUGAGUAGGGACAUUUGAGAAACUUUGGCAACUGCUGGUCAUUUCCCUUGCGUUCUGGUGCAUGGUCGGCUAGAAAUAUCUUUGCCUUAACACUUUAAAUGCCAAAAUUCUUGCUCUGGAGUGGUUACCACAUAUUUCUUCAUGUAUUUCUCGUAGCACAUAGUUUGCCUCUUCAUCAUCCAAACACUGCAAAAAAGGUAAGGUAAACCCUCGGCAGUAAAGUAUCUUAUCUAGCAGCGUAUACCUAGCCGUUCGACACUUUAGUUUUCUCACUUGCUUCAUAUCUAUCGGUAAGCUUCUGUCAUGGAUAUAUGAAUAAUUGGAUCCAUCCGGGACCCUUGAGCAUCCACCCUUAUUAUUUCUGCUUCUUACUCGAUGUUUGGAAAAGUUUUGACCUUCAUUGGGACUGACAUUGGCAGUUUUAAAUCUGCUGUUGCAGUCAUUCUAGCUAACAUAUUUGCUCGGUAAUUCUCUAUUCUUGAUAUCUACUUUAUCUCUAACCCCUGGAAUAUUCCGACCAUUUGUUUAGCCCUCCUUAAAUACAGCUCCAUUUUUUUGCCUCUUGCUUAGAAGUGUUCGUUAAGCUGAUUACAGACCAGUUGAGAAUUUGUUCAAAUCUCAAUUCUUUCAGCUCGUAAGGCAUGCGCUAGCUUAAGCCCAGUUAUGAAAGCUUCGUACUCUACUUGGUUGUUGGUCACCUGAAAUUCAAAUUUUACAGCAUAAGAAAUUUCGACCCCUUCUGAACUGCGUAUAACUAUUCCUGCUCCGGCCCCCUGCUCGUUGCAUAACCCGUCAAUCAUAAUCAACCAGACCUCGAUCGGCUCUGCCUCUCUAACUGAUUAUCCUUCGCAAGUUCUCUCACCCGGCUCGGUGCAUUCUGCCACGAAGUCAGCCAAGGUUUGUACUUUGAUGGCUGCUUAGGGUUGAUAGGUUAUAUCAAACUCACUCAACUCUACUGACCAUUUAAGCAAGCGGCCAAACGCCUCUGGCUUCAAGAGUGCUUGUUGAAGAGGCUGGUCAGUCAUUAUGAUCACUGGAUGUGCCUAGAAGUACGACCUCAGCUUGUGUGUUGCUGUUACUAAAGCCAAUGCCCAUUUCUCCAUCGUCGGGUAUCUGGUCUCUGCAUCUACUAAGGCUUUGCUAGUAUAAUACAUAGGAUGUUGUAUUCUUUCUUCUUCUCUCACGAACACUGAGCUGGUAGCCCAUUUCGAAACAGCUAAGUAUAAAUAAAACAAAUCACUUUCCCACGAUGUAGACAAUAAUGGGGCUUUAGUAAGGCAUUCUUUCAACUGCCCAAAUGGUUCCUCGCAUUCUUCUGACCACUCUAUCUUUCCCCCCUUUCUCAUAACCUAGAAGAAUGCGUGACAUUUAUCUGUUGCCCCUGAUAUGAAUCGAUUCAGUGCUGCUUGCUUUCUCGUAAGGCUUUGCACCUCUUUGAUUGUCCGAGGAGAUUUCAUCUCUGUUAUUGCGCUUAUAUGCUCUGGGUUAGCUUUAAUUCCCCGAUGGCUCACUAUAAAUCCCAUGAACUUUUCUGAGCAUACCCUGAAUGCACAUAUCUUUGGGUUAAGUUUCAUUAUGUAUCUCCUCAGUAAUUCGAAGGUUUCUUCUAAAUGCAGUAUGUGUUCCAUCGGCUCUUUAGACUUUGUAAUCAUAUCAUCCACGUACACCUCCAUAGUACACCUGAUAUAUGGCCCCUGCAUUUUUCAGACCAAAUGGCAUUUUUCUGUAACAAAACAAACUCAUGUUAGUAAUAAAUGCAGUGCUCUCCUUUUCCUACUCAUCCAUAUGUAUUUAAUUGUAUCCGGAGAGUACGUCUAUUAAAGCUAAGCAAGGUGUGGCCGGCUAUUGAGUCAACUAGCUGCUCUAUCUUUGGCAAAAGGAAGCUAUCUUUUGGACAUGCCUUGUUGAAAUCCGUGAAGUCCACACAUAUUAUCCAUUUUCCAUUUGCUAUCUUCACUAGCACUACAUUAGAAAUCCACUCCGGCUAUCUGGCUUUCCUUAUGAAUCAUACUCGUAGUAACUUCUCUACUUCAAUAUUUAUGGCUUCAUACUUUUCCUGAUUGAAGCAUCCUUUUUUUUUCUGUUUCACUGGCCUUGCCCAUUUCCUGAUUGCUAACUUAUGACAAGCGAUCUUUGGAUUAAUUCCCGGUAAAUCUUCUGUUAACAUAAAUAUUUCUUUAUUAUUGAUUUUGAUGAUAACAAACUUGAUUAAGAUUGAUUAAUCUUUUAAAAGCUCAAAAUAGUUUUCAUUGCUUUUAAAUCAUCAUUUUGACUUUAUAAAGGCUUUAUAUUCUAUGAAAAUAUUUUUGGUUAUUCUCAUGUUAAUGGUUUCAAUUGAAAAGCUUUGAGAUUUUUUAUAAUAACAAGUAUUGCUUAAAAUCCUGAAAAUAGACCUAAUUGACAAGUUUUAUAAAGUUUUGGGUUAUAGUAUAAUUUUAUAAAGUUUUAGGGUCAAAUGAUAAUUUUAUAAAAAUAGUUCACUGUAGCAGUUACUAUAGUUAACGACGAUCUGACAAUUUGAAAAUUCAGCCCAACGGUCAUAUUGACCAGUCAAACAACGAUCCGACAUCUAGUUAACGGCGAUCCGACAGUGAGCAGAAAGUCAAUAACGGCUAGUUUUCAGCUCCAACUAUAAAUAAGCUCAUUCAAAUUCAAACAAGGUUGAUCACAACACGACCAUUGAGCUUAUAUUCGAGAAUACAAUCUUCAUAGAGCUUUAAAACACAUUCUUACUUCAUCUAUUCACACAUUGGGCAUUGAUUUGUAAUCUUAAAUAUUGUGUGAGAGAAAAGCAAUUUUUUAUCUUUUACUUUUAAGUGAUUGUAAGUGUUGGGAUACACUUGGGUUAAGAGAUUGGGGAUAAUCUCUUGUUGUAAAGGUUCAUUGAUACCUUGGAAGUCAAGUGUAAGCCUUUGAAGCCUUAGAGGCUUGCUUAGUGAAAUCCUCAAGCCCAGAAAGCUUGGAGGCGUGGACGUAGGAGAUGUUGGCUGAACCACAUAAAAAUCUUCGUGUUUGAAUCUCUCUUUCCUUAUCUUUUUAUAUUGUAAUGGAUUUAAUUAUUAUUCCAUUAAAUUCAUUCUAGAUUUGCAUGAUAAUUUGUUUUAGAAUCAAAUAAUUUUUAGAAUCUCAAUUCACCCCCCUCUUGGGUUGCACACUUGUAUUUCAUCUUCGUGUGACCAGGCGAACAUGUCAACAUAAGACCUUAAACACUUUAUCUGCUCAUCCCUCAAGCUUCGGCUUAGAUUAGAUUUAAUUUUCAUAGUUCUACUCAAGUCAUCAUGUUUCAUUACCACCUCCUCUAAGGUUUCAACCGGUUCCUGCCGACUCUUCUUGAAAUCUCCUCGGUUGUCGAAUCAUGUAACUUGUAAGGUUUCCUUGGCAGCUGUGGUGUAGCGGCUCCUAAACAUCAUCUGGUCGCCCUUUACUACGCUUACUACCACAUCCACCAACCAGCCCAACUCCGAGCAAGAAGAAAAAGCAGCCAAUUGUCCCACCACAAGGCUCACCCAAGGACCGCUUGAGAAGUUCUUCCAAAAAGCAGUAAACCUUUCAGCUAGAGCUGCAACAACAUAUUCAACAACAUGGGAGUAUGGGCCAGCUCACCUUCUUUUUUUUUUUCCAAAUUAUGAAACUUUCCUUUUAUUUAUUUGUUUUUUAUUGAUCAAGUUGCAUUUUUUUGCUUGUUAAUGUAUGCGUGUUUGUUUUGGUUUUAAUUUGUGUGCUUGUGAAGACACAACCCCUCUCAAGUUUGGGGGGUGUGUUAUUAUGUAUUAUGUUUCUAAAGUCCAUGUGUUUGUGUUGUGUGUUAUGUGAAGCUCUGUUAUCUAUUAUUUGCAUGUGGAUUUGAAAACCUAAUAAAGAUAAAUUGAGUGUCAUUUAGUAAUUGGGAAUGCCAAGUAGGGAUAGUUAUAGAUAGAAGUUGAAAGUCAAUCUCAACACUUAGACUUUGGUUGAGUUUCAUGAGUAUAUUGCAGCAGAGCAAGGAAAACCAAAAAGGGUAGAAAAUAUCUCAAGUUUGGGAAAAAGUUUUGUUGAACUAUACCUAUUAUGAAAUAAAUUCUGCUCCAAUGGGGUAAGUUACUGAGUAACUAGGGCUGAGUAUGCACCUCAUAUGCAGACUUGACUCAAAAUGCAAUGAGAGCUAUGAGCAGUGCUGCAGUAACUAUUGAAAAAAAAAUAUGAUGAAGGAAUGAAAAACAAAGGGGUCCACUGCCUAGGAUACUGAGUAACCAAGUCUAUUCAUGAGCUUAAUGUUCAACCUUGAGUUAAAGGUGUCCAAAGGUAAGACCUAGAUAUAGAAUCUUGGAUGUGUUUGUUGUGGCAAAUUUGACAUGUGCUUUGAGUGAGUAAUUGGGUGUCAUCAUUACAAGUGAUAGGCAUUCGCAUGAAACCUCAAUGUUGCAUUGAAGGGUUUGAUUCAAUAAUGAAAAAAAAAACUGAGAAUGAUUGUUGUAGCACAAUGUGAAUUUAUUGCAAGACUUUUGUCUCCCCCACAAGAUGGAUUUGGUUAUAUUGUUUUAUAUCUGUAAAAUGCAUUUGAUGCUUGAGUGAUGUUGCAACAUCUCUGAGACUUGAUUAAAGUACACACACACACUUUGGAUAGAAUAAUGCCUAAGUCAAGAGCUGAACUACUAUGGCAAUUUUACAUGAUUGAAGGUGUGAUCUAAGGGUUGAAGAAUCCUUGCAAAAUUUGAUGAUAGAGCUAAGUUAUUUGUUGCAUUAUUGUAUGAUUAAAAUGUGAGUGUUGUUGUCAUUACUUGAGAACAAGUAAUGGUUUAAGUUUGGGGGUGUGAUAACUCUAUGAAAUGAGAGUUAUCAUGCUACUUUUGAGCUUAAAUCAAGAUUACUUAGAGAGUAAUUGAUGUGUUUUAGUGCAUUUUAAUGAUAGUUUACAUUAACAUUCAUUUUAGUUUAAGUUUAAUAAAGUGCGCUUGAUUUCGAAUAAUUGUGUGCUUAAAACAUAUGAAUAAUUGUAGAUGACCAGGACUUUAAAUUUCAUGGGAAGGAUAUUGUAGCAAUGGGCUUACAAAAAGGACAAAAGAAUAUAGCUAUAGAAGAAUUGAAGUAAAUCUGGAAUAGUGCAGAUGUUGUAGCCAUUGCUGUAACAACCGAUGUUGUAGCAAUUCUAAAACAACGACAGAAAAAAUCCCGCGUAAAGCAAUUAACAGAUUGUGACAUGUAGUUUCCUAAUUGGGAAAAUACAAGCUUGGGAUCUCCGUUUACCCUAAUUUUGAGCUAUAAAAUAGGCACACAUGCAAAAGAAAAGUAGGUCGUCAACCAAGAUCACAAAUCAAAAAGAAAACAAAGGAAAAACAUAUUUCAAGAACAAGAAUCAAGGCUGCACCGAUGGAGAAUUUACGGGAAUCAAUUAGAAUUCAAUCUUUCUUAUUCUUCUUGUGAUUUCUUGUUUCUUUUUUUAUAUGAGAAUGUAUUUGCCGGUCGAAUCUCUACUGUUUAGCUUUCUUUUGCAAAUCAUGAACUAAUAUUAUUUGUGGUUGAGUGAUAAAUAAAUUUAAUGGCUCAUUGACUUAAUUUAUAUGUUGUUGCAUGUUUUGCUAUAGCAUUUUGUUGUGAUAGUAUUUAUUUGAAGUCAUUAUUUCGGCUGACCACCCAUUUAAUAAUACAAACUAGGAAAGAGCCACAAAAUGGCAUAUCUAAGUGAAACACAUCAGAACAAUACUUGGUUUUAGAUUGGGUUUCCUGGGUUGAGUGUAAUGUGAGCUCAAAAAGGUCAUGCCUAAUCUAAAAUUAGUGAUGAACUAGAUAUAAGGAUUUACCUUGUAGGGUAAAUAAAACCCAAACGUGUAAUGUUAUAUCUUAUGUUGGGCAUAAUUAUUGGUCACUAUUAGGUUGUAUAUAGAUAUAAGACAUCCAAUAUGCGACAGCUAAGGAUACAUGAGGAUUCUGCCUAAUGCUGUAGCAGAUUCUGCAGCAACUGAACUGAAAUUUACAAGAAAUAGUCAAAUUUGUUAAGAGAGUUAAUCACUCAACUACUUCAUUCCCAUUGAUUUUAUCUUUGUGUUUGACGUGAGAGUUUUCUUUUCUGCAUAUUUACUUAUUGCAUUUUAUUAGGUAGUUUAUUAGUUUAAUUGUUCAAUCUAUUUUCAAUUCGAGCAAAAUUAUUAGGGUUGCUUUAGUAAUUUCCAUAACAUCAAUCCAUGUGGAUACGAUCUUCAAUACUUAUCAUUAUAUUACUUAUUGUGUACACUUGCACAUUGGCACCCAUAGCAUUUGAAUUUAUACCAACAAGUUUUUGGUGCCGUUGCCGGAUAUUGAUUGUUUAUUGAAAUUUGUGAAUUUAAUCUAAAGAGUGUUAAACCUUGAUUUUAUUUUAAUUGGCUUAUUUUGUUGAUAGGAAACUCUUGCAUGUGCAAGUACAAACCUGUUGAGUUUUAAUUUGAUCCAGAGAAUGAAAGAACUGCUGAGAGAUUAAGAAAAGAGCAUAAAAAUUCAAAAGCUGCUAUAGCAAUAGAUGACUUAGAAGAUGUGGAAAACUUGAACUCUAUAAGGGAAAUACAACCAGUUAAUAGUCGAAAAGGUCAUAAUAGACAAAAUGAUCAGGGACAAUCAGAAAACAACAUCAUAUACAUGGCAGACAAUAAUGAUAGAGCCAUUAAAGACUAUGUCGCGGUGACCCCUCAAGUUAUGCAUCCUGGAAUUGUUAGACCUGAAGUGCAAGCUGUUAAUUUCGAACUCAAACCAGUGAUGUUUUUUAUGUUGCAAACAGUGGGGCAAAUUAAUGGGUUACCUUUAGCAGACCCUCAUCUUCACCUCAAACUUUUCUUGGAGGUAAGUGAUGCAUUUAAAAUUGCUGGAGCAUCAUAGGAUGCAUUAAGACUCAGAGGUUUCUCGUAUUCAUUGAGAGAUUGGGCACGAACAUAGUUGAACUUUUUACCGCUAUGGAAUUAUUUGGCUGGAGCAUUUAAAAUUGCUGGAGCAUCACAACAUGGAAUGAUUUGGCUGACAAAUUUUUGAUGAAGCACUUUCCACCAACCAAGAAUGCGAAAUUGAGGAAUGAAAUAACAUUUUUCCAUUAACUUGAGGAUGAAAGUUUGUACGACGCAUGGGAAAGAUUUAAGGAAUUACUCAGAAAAUGUCAUCAUCAUGGUAUUCCUUGUUGUAUACAAAUAGAAACUUUCUACAAUGGGCUGAAUCCAAGUACUAGAUUAAUGGUUGAUACUUUAGUAAACAGAGCUUUAUUGUUUAAAUCCUACAAUGAAGCUUACAAAAUUUUGGAAAGAAUUGCCAACGACAAUUAUCAAUGGCCAUCAAGUAGAUAAAUUGUAAUAAGGGGAGCAACAGGAGCCCAUAAUGUAGAUGCCUUUACAGCAUUAUCAGCCCAAGUAAUUUCACUGACAAACAUUGUAAAAGCCAUGACCAAUGAUCUAGCAACUAUCCAAUAAGUUGUUCAGGUUUCUUGUGUUUAUUGUGGAGAGAGGCACUUAUUUGAUAAUUGUCCUGGAAAUUCAGCUUCAGUCAAUUAUGUAGGCAAUUAUAAUAGACAACAUCAGAGUAAUCCAUACUCAAACACCUAUAAUCUCGGAUAGAGGCAACACCCAAAUUUCUUAUGGAGUAACUAGAAUCAACCUGUUACAACAUCAAAUAGAUAGAACAGACCUGCACAGCCACUAGGAUUUCAAUAGCAAAAUCACAAACAAAGAACCACCAACAAUGAUCAACUCUGUUUUCUUGAAGCUUUGCUCAAGGAAUAUAUUGUGAAGAAUGAAGCAGAUGUCUAAAGUCAAGCUGUAACUUUGAGGAAUCUAAAAAAUUAGAUUGGACAACUUGCUACAAUAUUAAGUAACAGACCUCAGGACAGUCUACCUAGCAACAUAGAAGAUCCAAGAAGUGGAGGCAAAGAACAUUGCAAUGUGAUUAACUUAAGGUCUGGAAAAGAUGUUGAUAGUCGUAUUGGUUUCACAAGGAAAAUGAUGGAACAUAACUUAACCCAAGAGGAAAAACAAGUUAAAGAAGAGCUAUAACAGCCCAAUUUCCAACAUAUUGGUGAGAGUAGUCACGCUGCAGCAACUACAUAAAGAAGUAAUUUAGAGUUUGUUGAAGAAGAAGUUGCAGCACCAACAACAACAAACUAGACUAGAUCAAAAGAACAGCAACAUGCACUACUUGUUGCAGCCCAACAGUUUAGAUACCCACCACCAUUUCUACAAAGAUUUCAGAAGCAGAAAUAAGAUAAGCAAAUCAGCAAAUUUCUAGAAGUGUUAAAACAGUUGCAUAUUAACCUUCCUUUUGUGGAAGCAUUAGAACAAAUGCCAAAUUAUAUGAUAUUUUUUAAGGAUACUUAGCAAGGAAAAGAAUGCUUGGAGAAUUUAAAAUUAUUGCUCUAACACAAGAAUGCAGCCACAUGCUUCAAAGUAAAAUUCCUCAAAAAUUGAAAGAUCUAAGGAGCUUUACAAAAUCAUGUUCUAUUGGAACUAGGUAUAAUGGUAGAGCACUUUGUGAUUUAGAGGCAAGUAUCAAUGUCAUGCCCUUAUCCGUGUUCAAGCAAUUGGGAGUGGGUGAAUGCAGACCAACAACAGUAACUCUACAGCUGACAGACAUACCUCAUACAUAUCCAGAAGGAAAAAUUAAAGAUGUGUUAGUAAAAAUGGAUAAAUUUAUUUUUCCAGUGGACUUCAUCGUGCUGGACUUUGAAGUAGACAAAUAAGUGUCAUUUAUUCUUAGUAGACCUUUCUUAACCACUGGAAAUACCCUUAUUGAUGUGCAAAAAAAAAUUGACCACAAGGGUGAACGAUCAACAAGUCGCAUUCAAUGUGCUAGAUGCUAUGAAGAAUCUCGAUGAGAUUAAAAAUUAUAAUUUCAUCAGUGUUGUAGACAUUGCUGUGACAAAAAGAUUAAAUGUUGUUGAAGCAAAGAAAAGAUCAGAGCUGCUAACUUUCAACAGCUUGAAGAAGAGGAUACUGCAAUAGCACACAUAGUAUAGAUAGAGGAAAAGCAACCUAUAACGCAUGACAGACCUUUUGAACCUCUAGACCGCUCAAAAAGAUAAGUAAAACCAAUUGUACCAUCUGUUGAAUCACCCCUUAUUUUAAAAUUGAAAAUCUUACCUUCACAUUUAAAAUAUAUUUAUCUUGAUAAAAACAAUACACUCCCCGUAAUCAUUUCUUCGUUUUUUAAUACAGGUCAAGCGAACAGCCUAGUUAAAGUAUUAGGGAGAUACAAGAAAGCUAUUGGAUAGACCAUAACAGAUAUAAAGGGAAUCAGCCCAACAUAUGCAUGCACACAAUUUUACUGGAAGAUUGUUACAGCAAUUCAGUAGAACAACAGAGGUGAUUAAACUCAAUCAUGAAGGAAGUUGUGAAGAAGGAGAUCAUAAAAUGGUUUGAUGCUGGGAUCAUCUACCCAAUAUCCGACAGUUCAUAAGUGAGUCUAGUGCAGUGUGUUUCAAAGAAGGAUGGUGUAACUGUUGUAGCAAAUGAAAAGAAUGAACUCAUCCGUACAAGAACAGUGACUAUAUGGAGAGUUUGUAUGGAUUAUAGGAAGCUGAAUAAAGCCAUAAAAAAUAACCACUUUCCAUUGCCCUUCAUAGAUCAAAUACUGGACAGAUUUGCUGGAAAAGAAUACUACUGUUUCUUAUAUGGUUACUCAGGAUACAACCAAAUUGUUAUAGCACCAGAAGAUCAAGAGAAGACAACAUUCACUUAUCCUUAUGGAACUUUUACUUUUAUGAGGAUGUCAUUUGGCUUGUACAAUGCUCCAGCAACUUUUCAGAGAUAUAUGAUGUCCAUUUUUUCAGACAUGGUUGAGCAAACACUAAAAGUAUUCAUGGUUGACUUCUCGGUUUUUGGAGAAAUAUAUGAUGAUUGCUUGCAUACUUUAGGAAAUGUGCUUAAAAGAUGUGAAGAUACUAAUUUGGUACUAAAUUGGGAAAAAUGUCAUUGUAUGGUAUAAGAAGGUGUAUUUUUAGGACAUAGAGUUUCUAAGAAGAUGAUAGAAGUAGACAAGGUAAAAAUAGAAGUGACAGAUAAACUCCCACCCCCAACUUCAGUCAAAAGAAUUAAGAGUUUUCUAGGUCAUACUGGGUUUUACAGAAGAUUCAUCAAAGACUUUUCUAAAAUAGCUAAACCUUUAUGCACACUGCUGGAGCAUAAUAGACCUUUUAACUUUGGUGAGGAUUGCUUAAAGGCUUUUGUGAAUUAAAGAAAGCUUUUGUUACAGCACAUGUUGUCAUAGCACCAAAUUGGAGUUUACCUUUCAAACUAAUGUGUGAUGCCGUGACCACUCAGUUGGAGCAGUGCUAGGACAAAAGAAAGAAUAAGAUUUUUCACUCCAUUUACUAUGCUAGCAAAACUCGAGCAGAUGCUCAUAUCAAUUAUACAACCACUGAAAAGGAAUUGUUAGCAAUGGUCUUUGCAUUUGACAAAUUCAAAGCUUACUUGGUGGGCACAAAGGUCACAGUCUACACAGACCAUGCAACAAUAAAAUAUUUAAUUGCAAAGAAAGCUACCAAACCAAAGUUGAUAAAGUGGAUUCUUUUGCUACAAGAAUUUGAUUUAGAAAUCAAUGAUAGAAAAGGGACUGAGAAUCAAGUAGCAGACCAUCUGUCCAGGUUGGAAGUAUAUGCAAGCAUAUUAACCAAGUAAGACAUCACAGAAACAUUUCCUAAUGAACAACUCUAAUGCUACAGCAUACACAGAUGCUGCAGCAUUCUAGACUCCAAUGGUAUGUAGAUUUUGUAAAUUAUUUGGUAAGUGGACUGUUACCACCUGACUUAAAUUAUCAGCAAAAGAAGAUAUUCUUCCAUGAUAUUAAAAGUUAUCAGUGGGAUGAACCGUAUCUAUACAAGAUGUAUUCAGACCAAGUGAUCAGAAGGUGUGUAUCAGAUAAAGAAAUUCCACACAUAAUGUAUUCAUGCCAUGCUGUAACUUAUGGAGGACAUUUUGGAGGCCAUAGAACAGCAGCCAAAAUCCUACAAUCAGGUUAUUUCUGGCCGUCCAUUUUUAAAUAUGCUUAUGAGUUUGUUAAAUGUUGUGACAGGUGCUAAAGAACAGAGAACAUAUCUUAAAAACAUGAAAUGUCAUUGAAAAAUACGUUGGAGGUGAGCUCUUUGAUAAAUAGAGGAUAAACUUUAUAGGUCCAUUCCCACCACCCCUUAGAAACUUAUAUAUUCUAAUUGUGGUAGAUUAUGUGUCCGAAUGGGUGGAAGCUAUAUCAUUACCAACAAAUGAUGCCAAAGCAGUGGUAAAAUUUCUUCACAAAAAUAUCUUCUCAAUGUUCGAGACUCCAAAGGAAAUCAUUAGUGAUGAAGGCACUCAAUUUUGCAAUAGGAUGUUUGCGGCAGUAUUGGCUAAGUAUGGAAUUAAACACAAAAUUGCUACAGCAUAUCAUCCACAAUCCAAUGGUCAAGCAGAAGUAUCUAAUCGAGAGAAAAAAAGGGUUUUGAAGGAAGUGGUGAACCCCGCUAAAAAAGAUUGGUCAACCCAUUUGCAUGAUUCUUUAUAGACUUAUUGUAUUGCUUAUAAGACACCCCUAAGCAUGUCCCCAUACAGAAUUAUCUAUGGCAAAGCUUGCCAUUUACCCUUAAAGCUAGAGUAUAAAGCAUAUUGGGCACUAAAACAACUCAACAUGGACAUGUGUUGGUUAUUUUAACUCAAUUGCUAUUGAUGUCAAUGUCCAAGUGUACACAACAAGUAAUAAAGUGAUGAAUAUUCAAAAUCGUCUCCACAUGGAUUGAUGUUACUAGAAAUAUUACGGCAAUCACGAUGGUGCAAACUUCCUUCUAUCUAAAUAAACAAAAUAAAGUUGAUUGACUAAUAAUAUUAACAACUUAACAAAGUAAAUGCAGUGAUGAAAGUAAAUUAGACGGUUUAUGCAAAAAGAAUUCACUAAGAAUAAGGUAGUUGAACGAUCAAACUCUCUUGAUGGGAUGACUGUUUGGUUCAACUAACACCAAUUACUGCAGCAACUUCUAUAGCACUGGGUAGAAUAACCUUGCAUCCUCAGUUUUCGCUUGUUAGGAUUCUCAUACCCUGAUGCAACCUAACAAUAACCAGUUGUUAUAUCACAUAAGAUAUGGCUUUACAAACAUAUACUAUCUCUACCCUACAAGGUGAAUCCCUAUAUCUAAUUCAUCACAACACUUAACUCAAGUGUGGCUCUUUUGGGACUCAAGUUAAACUCAAUCCAGGAAACUUGACUUAAGAUCAAAUAUUACUCUAACAAUUUCCACUAAGACAUGCCCUUUUGCAGCUCUCUCUUAACUUGAAUCAUUAAAUGAGAGGUCAACCGAAAUAAUGAUUGUAAUAAAAGCUAUUAAAGCAAAAUUCUACAACAAUCUUGCAGCAACUCAUAAGAACAGUCAAGAGCCCAUUUAGAUUGUUUGUCACUCAACUACGAUCAAAUUUAGUUCAUAACUUGGAAAAGAAAAACAAACAGCAAAGUAUCAGCCAUGAAAUCAUUGUUUCAAUCAAAGAGUAAGUAAGGGGACAAGUAAAAGAUGAUAAAAAUUGAAUCUAAAUAAUUCUGUAGAUUUCUUCAGUAGAGUAGACUUGUUUUCUCUUGAAUUCUGCUUCUUCCUACUUUUUCUCUUAAUUUUUUUUAUGUUGAUUCACGGCCCCUCUUUUCCAUAUGAUAUGUGCUCCUUUUAUAACUGAAAAUUAAGGUAAACGGAAGCCUAGGGCGCGCAUAAGUUAGAUUAGGAAACUGCAUAUCGCAAUUCUGCAAAUAUCUCGCACGGAAUUUCUUUGUCGUUGUUCCAGGAUUGCUACAGCAACGACUACAGCAACUGUACUGCUCCAAAUUUGUUUCAAUUCUUUUGUAGCCAUGUGUUUUCCUUAUUUUUGCAAGCCUGUUACAUCAGCAUUCCUUCCUUGAAAUUUGAGCUUCCGGAUACCUACAAUUAUGCACACAAUCUAAGCACGAAUUAUUAUAAAUCAAACAAAAUUUAUUAAGAAUAACUUAAAAUGAAUGUUUAUGCAAAAUCUGCUGUACCGUACAUCCGCCUUGGCCGUACAGCAGUUAGGGUUUAGGGUUUUUUUAGGGUUUAGGGUUGUUUGCGGCAGUAUUGGCUAAGUAUGGAAUUAAACACAAAAUUGCUACAGCAUAUCAUCCACAAUCCAAUGGUCAAGCAGAAGUAUCUAAUCGAGAGAAAAAAAGGGUUUUGAAGGAAGUGGUGAACCCCGCUAAAAAAGAUUGGUCAACCCAUUUGCAUGAUUCUUUAUAGACUUAUUGUAUUGCUUAUAAGACACCCCUAAGCAUGUCCCCAUACAGAAUUAUCUAUGGCAAAGCUUGCCAUUUACCCUUAAAGCUAGAGUAUAAAGCAUAUUGGGCACUAAAACAACUCAACAUGGACAUGUGUUGGUUAUUUUAACUCAAUUGCUAUUGAUGUCAAUGUCCAAGUGUACACAACAAGUAAUAAAGUGAUGAAUAUUCAAAAUCGUCUCCACAUGGAUUGAUGUUACUAGAAAUAUUACGGCAAUCACGAUGGUGCAAACUUCCUUCUAUCUAAAUAAACAAAAUAAAGUUGAUUGACUAAUAAUAUUAACAACUUAACAAAGUAAAUGCAGUGAUGAAAGUAAAUUAGACGGUUUAUGCAAAAAGAAUUCACUAAGAAUAAGGUAGUUGAACGAUCAAACUCUCUUGAUGGGAUGACUGUUUGGUUCAACUAACACCAAUUACUGCAGCAACUUCUAUAGCACUGGGUAGAAUAACCUUGCAUCCUCAGUUUUCGCUUGUUAGGAUUCUCAUACCCUGAUGCAACCUAACAAUAACCAGUUGUUAUAUCACAUAAGAUAUGGCUUUACAAACAUAUACUAUCUCUACCCUACAAGGUGAAUCCCUAUAUCUAAUUCAUCACAACACUUAACUCAAGUGUGGCUCUUUUGGGACUCAAGUUAAACUCAAUCCAGGAAACUUGACUUAAGAUCAAAUAUUACUCUAACAAUUUCCACUAAGACAUGCCCUUUUGCAGCUCUCUCUUAACUUGAAUCAUUAAAUGAGAGGUCAACCGAAAUAAUGAUUGUAAUAAAAGCUAUUAAAGCAAAAUUCUACAACAAUCUUGCAGCAACUCAUAAGAACAGUCAAGAGCCCAUUUAGAUUGUUUGUCACUCAACUACGAUCAAAUUUAGUUCAUAACUUGGAAAAGAAAAACAAACAGCAAAGUAUCAGCCAUGAAAUCAUUGUUUCAAUCAAAGAGUAAGUAAGGGGACAAGUAAAAGAUGAUAAAAAUUGAAUCUAAAUAAUUCUGUAGAUUUCUUCAGUAGAGUAGACUUGUUUUCUCUUGAAUUCUGCUUCUUCCUACUUUUUCUCUUAAUUUUUUUUAUGUUGAUUCACGGCCCCUCUUUUCCAUAUGAUAUGUGCUCCUUUUAUAACUGAAAAUUAAGGUAAACGGAAGCCUAGGGCGCGCAUAAGUUAGAUUAGGAAACUGCAUAUCGCAAUUCUGCAAAUAUCUCGCACGGAAUUUCUUUGUCGUUGUUCCAGGAUUGCUACAGCAACGACUACAGCAACUGUACUGCUCCAAAUUUGUUUCAAUUCUUUUGUAGCCAUGUGUUUUCCUUAUUUUUGCAAGCCUGUUACAUCAGCAUUCCUUCCUUGAAAUUUGAGCUUCCGGAUACCUACAAUUAUGCACACAAUCUAAGCACGAAUUAUUAUAAAUCAAACAAAAUUUAUUAAGAAUAACUUAAAAUGAAUGUUUAUGCAAAAUAUAACAAAAAUACAAUGAAAACACAUUAUUUACUAUCUAAGUAAUAUUGAUUUAAGUAUAAAAGUGCCAUGAUAACUCUCAUUUCAAAGAGUUAUCACACCCCCAAACUUAAACAAUUACUUGUUAUCAAGUAAUAAUAACAACACUAACACUUCAAUCACACAAUCAUGCAACAAAUAACUUAGCUCUGCCAUUCAAAUUUGCAAGGAUUCUUCCACCCUCAUAUUACACUCUUAAUCACGUAAAAUAGUCAUACCAAUUUAGUUUUAGACUUAGGCUUCAUUCUGUCCAAAGUGUGUGUGUGCCUUUUUGAUCAAAUUCCAGAGGUGCUACAGCAUUGCACAAACUUUGUAUACAAUUCAGAGGUAGAGCACAAAUAUAUUCACAUAUGGGGGGAGCCGAACUCACAACUAUGUUCAAACUGUGCUAUAUAUAUAUAUAUAUAUAUAUAUAUAUAACAAUUAAACCCUUCAAUGCAACAUUGAACUUUCAUAUGAAUGCUUAUCAUUUGUAAUGACGAUGCCCAAUUACUCACUCAAAAUACAUGUUAGAGUUGCUGCAGCAACACAUCCAGGAUGUUAUAUCCAGGUCUUACCUUUGGACGCCUUUGACUCAAGGCUUAACAUGGGGCUCAUGAACAGACCAUGUUACUUAAUAUCCUCGGCAGCGAUCCUCCUUACUAAAAUUUUUUUUUUUUAACUUACUGCAGCAAUGCUCAUAACUUUUAUUGCCUUUGGACUCAAGUCUGCAUAUGAGGUGCAUACUCAGCCCUGGUUACUCAGCAACUUAUGACAUUGGAGCAAACUUUAUUUCAUAACAAGCGUAGUUCAACAAGAAAUUUCCCCCGAACUUGAGAUAUGUUCUACUCUUUUUGGUUUUCUUGGCUCUGCUACAGCAUUCUCAUAAAACUUAACCAAAGUCUAAGUGUCGGGACAGAAUUUCAACCUCCAUCUGUAACUAUCUCUACUUGGCAUUCUCAUAAAUACUGAAUAACACUCAAUUUAUCUUCAUUAGGUUUUCAAAUUCAUACACAAAUAUUAGAUAACAAAGCUUUACAUAACACACAACAAAAACAAAUGCAAUGCACUCAGGAACUCACUAUAUAAUAGCACAACCCCCCCAAACUUGAGAGGCGUUGUGUCCUCACAAGCACAGAACAUCAAAAUAACUCAACUAACACAUACAUACACCAAACAAAAGGACUUGCAGAAUGAAUCAGACAAUUAAAUUUAAAGGUAAGAAAAGUUGUGCAGAGAUAAGUAAAAUAAACUGGAGGAUAUAAGGUACUCCCUUGUUGCUGGGAGCAUUGAUACAACAAAUUGCAACCAAUUCACCGAUUUUUUGAGGCGCUCCACAGACGAUCCUUAGGAGAUUCUUGUCGUGAGGUAGCGGGCAUCAUUUUUUUCUUUCUCGGAGGUGGGUUGGUGGGAGGAGUUACAGUGGGUACAGCCUGCCGGGAUGGAACAGAUCUGGUCCUUUUUGGCACUGGUGUGUCUGAUGCAGCAACACCUCUAGAAGUGCCCCAUUUUCUCUUAUUGGGUCCUUUAGGACUAGUUAGAAUAGGUUUGCUGGGAGAUUGUACGAAGUAGCUGAAGCUGGUUUUUCAGCUACAUACCCCUCAGCCGUGAUUGCAACGAUAAUAUCAAGUAGGUAUUUUGUCUCUGUGGGUUUGUUUGUAACCCUAGUUGCUGCAGCUUCCAGCUCUGCAUCAAUGUCUUCUGCUUCAUCUUCGGAUGCAGAGCUGGAGCUUUCUCUUUGCCCUUUCGAGAGAGGAAUGGAAUGGGAGGCUCCUCUGCCGGUUCAUCUUCCUCUUCUCCUAUGAUGUGCUUUUUCCUAGACUAAAAGGAAGUCCUAGCUGGGGGUUCCUUGAGUUCUUUUUCAAGGUCUUCAUCCAUCUCUGUUAAGGAACUUUCGGUUGCAGACUUAACACCCUCUUCUUCAAGCUGGUCUAAUUGAUCGUCAGCAUCUGAAUCAACUUCUGUUUGCGGUUCUGCUGCAGCUUCAUCGACAAAUAGUAAUAAUCUUGUCUAAAUACCGCACUGGUUUAACCGGCUCCCUAGUACAAUUUUAUUAUUAUUUGGCACGAUAAGCCCUUAGCACCAUAUUGAUUAGAGUGUGGUUCAUGAGGAGUGGAAACCCCCUCAUGAUUUAAUUAGCAUUAAUAAGGAAUAUUUAGCCCAUGGUGCAUGUUGAUGCAAAUCCAAAUACCCAGGUACGUCAUUUUAAUAGAUUUUCACUUCAAUUUAUUCCCGUCAUUUUAAUUUGAAUUUUAGGAUUAUUUAAAUCACUUCCACCACAAAUCUAAUCACCCACUUAUGAAAAUUAACUUUACACACAAUUAAAAUUUACCCCUCAUGGGAUCGACACCGUCACCAUUAAUCUAUUCUACAAUAGAUUCGUACACUUACGAGUUCAAUAAAAUUUGCACCACAGAUUGUUGUAGCACAGUGUGAAUCUGUUGCAAGACCUUUGUCUCCCCCACAAGAUGGAUUUGGUUAUAUUGUUUUAUAUCUGCAAAAUGCAUUUGAUGCUUGAGUGAUGUUGCAGCAUCUAUGAGACUUGAUCAAAGUACACACACACACACACACUUUGGAUAGAAUAAUGCCUAAGUCUACAGCUGAACUACUAUGGCAAUUUUGCAUGAUUGAAGGUGUGAUUUGAGGGUUGAAGAAUCCUUGUAAAAUUUGAUGACAGAGCUAAGUUAUUUGUUGCACUAUUGUGUGAUUGAAAUGUGAGUGUUGUUGUCAUUGCUUGAGAACAAGUAAUGAUUUAAGUUUGAGGGUCUGCUGUACCGUACAUCCGCCUUGGCCGUACAGCAGAAGAAUGCGAAAUUGAGGAAUGAAAUAACAUUUUUCCAUUAACUUGAGGAUGAAAGUUUGUACGACGCAUGGGAAAGAUUUAAGGAAUUACUCAGAAAAUGUCAUCAUCAUGGUAUUCCUUGUUGUAUACAAAUAGAAACUUUCUACAAUGGGCUGAAUCCAAGUACUAGAUUAAUGGUUGAUACUUUAGUAAACAGAGCUUUAUUGUUUAAAUCCUACAAUGAAGCUUACAAAAUUUUGGAAAGAAUUGCCAACGACAAUUAUCAAUGGCCAUCAAGUAGAUAAAUUGUAAUAAGGGGAGCAACAGGAGCCCAUAAUGUAGAUGCCUUUACAGCAUUAUCAGCCCAAGUAAUUUCACUGACAAACAUUGUAAAAGCCAUGACCAAUGAUCUAGCAACUAUCCAAUAAGUUGUUCAGGUUUCUUGUGUUUAUUGUGGAGAGAGGCACUUAUUUGAUAAUUGUCCUGGAAAUUCAGCUUCAGUCAAUUAUGUAGGCAAUUAUAAUAGACAACAUCAGAGUAAUCCAUACUCAAACACCUAUAAUCUCGGAUAGAGGCAACACCCAAAUUUCUUAUGGAGUAACUAGAAUCAACCUGUUACAACAUCAAAUAGAUAGAACAGACCUGCACAGCCACUAGGAUUUCAAUAGCAAAAUCACAAACAAAGAACCACCAACAAUGAUCAACUCUGUUUUCUUGAAGCUUUGCUCAAGGAAUAUAUUGUGAAGAAUGAAGCAGAUGUCUAAAGUCAAGCUGUAACUUUGAGGAAUCUAAAAAAUUAGAUUGGACAACUUGCUACAAUAUUAAGUAACAGACCUCAGGACAGUCUACCUAGCAACAUAGAAGAUCCAAGAAGUGGAGGCAAAGAACAUUGCAAUGUGAUUAACUUAAGGUCUGGAAAAGAUGUUGAUAGUCGUAUUGGUUUCACAAGGAAAAUGAUGGAACAUAACUUAACCCAAGAGGAAAAACAAGUUAAAGAAGAGCUAUAACAGCCCAAUUUCCAACAUAUUGGUGAGAGUAGUCACGCUGCAGCAACUACAUAAAGAAGUAAUUUAGAGUUUGUUGAAGAAGAAGUUGCAGCACCAACAACAACAAACUAGACUAGAUCAAAAGAACAGCAACAUGCACUACUUGUUGCAGCCCAACAGUUUAGAUACCCACCACCAUUUCUACAAAGAUUUCAGAAGCAGAAAUAAGAUAAGCAAAUCAGCAAAUUUCUAGAAGUGUUAAAACAGUUGCAUAUUAACCUUCCUUUUGUGGAAGCAUUAGAACAAAUGCCAAAUUAUAUGAUAUUUUUUAAGGAUACUUAGCAAGGAAAAGAAUGCUUGGAGAAUUUAAAAUUAUUGCUCUAACACAAGAAUGCAGCCACAUGCUUCAAAGUAAAAUUCCUCAAAAAUUGAAAGAUCUAAGGAGCUUUACAAAAUCAUGUUCUAUUGGAACUAGGUAUAAUGGUAGAGCACUUUGUGAUUUAGAGGCAAGUAUCAAUGUCAUGCCCUUAUCCGUGUUCAAGCAAUUGGGAGUGGGUGAAUGCAGACCAACAACAGUAACUCUACAGCUGACAGACAUACCUCAUACAUAUCCAGAAGGAAAAAUUAAAGAUGUGUUAGUAAAAAUGGAUAAAUUUAUUUUUCCAGUGGACUUCAUCGUGCUGGACUUUGAAGUAGACAAAUAAGUGUCAUUUAUUCUUAGUAGACCUUUCUUAACCACUGGAAAUACCCUUAUUGAUGUGCAAAAAAAAAUUGACCACAAGGGUGAACGAUCAACAAGUCGCAUUCAAUGUGCUAGAUGCUAUGAAGAAUCUCGAUGAGAUUAAAAAUUAUAAUUUCAUCAGUGUUGUAGACAUUGCUGUGACAAAAAGAUUAAAUGUUGUUGAAGCAAAGAAAAGAUCAGAGCUGCUAACUUUCAACAGCUUGAAGAAGAGGAUACUGCAAUAGCACACAUAGUAUAGAUAGAGGAAAAGCAACCUAUAACGCAUGACAGACCUUUUGAACCUCUAGACCGCUCAAAAAGAUAAGUAAAACCAAUUGUACCAUCUGUUGAAUCACCCCUUAUUUUAAAAUUGAAAAUCUUACCUUCACAUUUAAAAUAUAUUUAUCUUGAUAAAAACAAUACACUCCCCGUAAUCAUUUCUUCGUUUUUUAAUACAGGUCAAGCGAACAGCCUAGUUAAAGUAUUAGGGAGAUACAAGAAAGCUAUUGGAUAGACCAUAACAGAUAUAAAGGGAAUCAGCCCAACAUAUGCAUGCACACAAUUUUACUGGAAGAUUGUUACAGCAAUUCAGUAGAACAACAGAGGUGAUUAAACUCAAUCAUGAAGGAAGUUGUGAAGAAGGAGAUCAUAAAAUGGUUUGAUGCUGGGAUCAUCUACCCAAUAUCCGACAGUUCAUAAGUGAGUCUAGUGCAGUGUGUUUCAAAGAAGGAUGGUGUAACUGUUGUAGCAAAUGAAAAGAAUGAACUCAUCCGUACAAGAACAGUGACUAUAUGGAGAGUUUGUAUGGAUUAUAGGAAGCUGAAUAAAGCCAUAAAAAAUAACCACUUUCCAUUGCCCUUCAUAGAUCAAAUACUGGACAGAUUUGCUGGAAAAGAAUACUACUGUUUCUUAUAUGGUUACUCAGGAUACAACCAAAUUGUUAUAGCACCAGAAGAUCAAGAGAAGACAACAUUCACUUAUCCUUAUGGAACUUUUACUUUUAUGAGGAUGUCAUUUGGCUUGUACAAUGCUCCAGCAACUUUUCAGAGAUAUAUGAUGUCCAUUUUUUCAGACAUGGUUGAGCAAACACUAAAAGUAUUCAUGGUUGACUUCUCGGUUUUUGGAGAAAUAUAUGAUGAUUGCUUGCAUACUUUAGGAAAUGUGCUUAAAAGAUGUGAAGAUACUAAUUUGGUACUAAAUUGGGAAAAAUGUCAUUGUAUGGUAUAAGAAGGUGUAUUUUUAGGACAUAGAGUUUCUAAGAAGAUGAUAGAAGUAGACAAGGUAAAAAUAGAAGUGACAGAUAAACUCCCACCCCCAACUUCAGUCAAAAGAAUUAAGAGUUUUCUAGGUCAUACUGGGUUUUACAGAAGAUUCAUCAAAGACUUUUCUAAAAUAGCUAAACCUUUAUGCACACUGCUGGAGCAUAAUAGACCUUUUAACUUUGGUGAGGAUUGCUUAAAGGCUUUUGUGAAUUAAAGAAAGCUUUUGUUACAGCACAUGUUGUCAUAGCACCAAAUUGGAGUUUACCUUUCAAACUAAUGUGUGAUGCCGUGACCACUCAGUUGGAGCAGUGCUAGGACAAAAGAAAGAAUAAGAUUUUUCACUCCAUUUACUAUGCUAGCAAAACUCGAGCAGAUGCUCAUAUCAAUUAUACAACCACUGAAAAGGAAUUGUUAGCAAUGGUCUUUGCAUUUGACAAAUUCAAAGCUUACUUGGUGGGCACAAAGGUCACAGUCUACACAGACCAUGCAACAAUAAAAUAUUUAAUUGCAAAGAAAGCUACCAAACCAAAGUUGAUAAAGUGGAUUCUUUUGCUACAAGAAUUUGAUUUAGAAAUCAAUGAUAGAAAAGGGACUGAGAAUCAAGUAGCAGACCAUCUGUCCAGGUUGGAAGUAUAUGCAAGCAUAUUAACCAAGUAAGACAUCACAGAAACAUUUCCUAAUGAACAACUCUAAUGCUACAGCAUACACAGAUGCUGCAGCAUUCUAGACUCCAAUGGUAUGUAGAUUUUGUAAAUUAUUUGGUAAGUGGACUGUUACCACCUGACUUAAAUUAUCAGCAAAAGAAGAUAUUCUUCCAUGAUAUUAAAAGUUAUCAGUGGGAUGAACCGUAUCUAUACAAGAUGUAUUCAGACCAAGUGAUCAGAAGGUGUGUAUCAGAUAAAGAAAUUCCACACAUAAUGUAUUCAUGCCAUGCUGUAACUUAUGGAGGACAUUUUGGAGGCCAUAGAACAGCAGCCAAAAUCCUACAAUCAGGUUAUUUCUGGCCGUCCAUUUUUAAAUAUGCUUAUGAGUUUGUUAAAUGUUGUGACAGGUGCUAAAGAACAGAGAACAUAUCUUAAAAACAUGAAAUGUCAUUGAAAAAUACGUUGGAGGUGAGCUCUUUGAUAAAUAGAGGAUAAACUUUAUAGGUCCAUUCCCACCACCCCUUAGAAACUUAUAUAUUCUAAUUGUGGUAGAUUAUGUGUCCGAAUGGGUGGAAGCUAUAUCAUUACCAACAAAUGAUGCCAAAGCAGUGGUAAAAUUUCUUCACAAAAAUAUCUUCUCAAUGUUCGAGACUCCAAAGGAAAUCAUUAGUGAUGAAGGCACUCAAUUUUGCAAUAGGAUGUUUGCGGCAGUAUUGGCUAAGUAUGGAAUUAAACACAAAAUUGCUACAGCAUAUCAUCCACAAUCCAAUGGUCAAGCAGAAGUAUCUAAUCGAGAGAAAAAAAGGGUUUUGAAGGAAGUGGUGAACCCCGCUAAAAAAGAUUGGUCAACCCAUUUGCAUGAUUCUUUAUAGACUUAUUGUAUUGCUUAUAAGACACCCCUAAGCAUGUCCCCAUACAGAAUUAUCUAUGGCAAAGCUUGCCAUUUACCCUUAAAGCUAGAGUAUAAAGCAUAUUGGGCACUAAAACAACUCAACAUGGACAUGUGUUGGUUAUUUUAACUCAAUUGCUAUUGAUGUCAAUGUCCAAGUGUACACAACAAGUAAUAAAGUGAUGAAUAUUCAAAAUCGUCUCCACAUGGAUUGAUGUUACUAGAAAUAUUACGGCAAUCACGAUGGUGCAAACUUCCUUCUAUCUAAAUAAACAAAAUAAAGUUGAUUGACUAAUAAUAUUAACAACUUAACAAAGUAAAUGCAGUGAUGAAAGUAAAUUAGACGGUUUAUGCAAAAAGAAUUCACUAAGAAUAAGGUAGUUGAACGAUCAAACUCUCUUGAUGGGAUGACUGUUUGGUUCAACUAACACCAAUUACUGCAGCAACUUCUAUAGCACUGGGUAGAAUAACCUUGCAUCCUCAGUUUUCGCUUGUUAGGAUUCUCAUACCCUGAUGCAACCUAACAAUAACCAGUUGUUAUAUCACAUAAGAUAUGGCUUUACAAACAUAUACUAUCUCUACCCUACAAGGUGAAUCCCUAUAUCUAAUUCAUCACAACACUUAACUCAAGUGUGGCUCUUUUGGGACUCAAGUUAAACUCAAUCCAGGAAACUUGACUUAAGAUCAAAUAUUACUCUAACAAUUUCCACUAAGACAUGCCCUUUUGCAGCUCUCUCUUAACUUGAAUCAUUAAAUGAGAGGUCAACCGAAAUAAUGAUUGUAAUAAAAGCUAUUAAAGCAAAAUUCUACAACAAUCUUGCAGCAACUCAUAAGAACAGUCAAGAGCCCAUUUAGAUUGUUUGUCACUCAACUACGAUCAAAUUUAGUUCAUAACUUGGAAAAGAAAAACAAACAGCAAAGUAUCAGCCAUGAAAUCAUUGUUUCAAUCAAAGAGUAAGUAAGGGGACAAGUAAAAGAUGAUAAAAAUUGAAUCUAAAUAAUUCUGUAGAUUUCUUCAGUAGAGUAGACUUGUUUUCUCUUGAAUUCUGCUUCUUCCUACUUUUUCUCUUAAUUUUUUUUAUGUUGAUUCACGGCCCCUCUUUUCCAUAUGAUAUGUGCUCCUUUUAUAACUGAAAAUUAAGGUAAACGGAAGCCUAGGGCGCGCAUAAGUUAGAUUAGGAAACUGCAUAUCGCAAUUCUGCAAAUAUCUCGCACGGAAUUUCUUUGUCGUUGUUCCAGGAUUGCUACAGCAACGACUACAGCAACUGUACUGCUCCAAAUUUGUUUCAAUUCUUUUGUAGCCAUGUGUUUUCCUUAUUUUUGCAAGCCUGUUACAUCAGCAUUCCUUCCUUGAAAUUUGAGCUUCCGGAUACCUACAAUUAUGCACACAAUCUAAGCACGAAUUAUUAUAAAUCAAACAAAAUUUAUUAAGAAUAACUUAAAAUGAAUGUUUAUGCAAAAUAUAACAAAAAUACAAUGAAAACACAUUAUUUACUAUCUAAGUAAUAUUGAUUUAAGUAUAAAAGUGCCAUGAUAACUCUCAUUUCAAAGAGUUAUCACACCCCCAAACUUAAACAAUUACUUGUUAUCAAGUAAUAAUAACAACACUAACACUUCAAUCACACAAUCAUGCAACAAAUAACUUAGCUCUGCCAUUCAAAUUUGCAAGGAUUCUUCCACCCUCAUAUUACACUCUUAAUCACGUAAAAUAGUCAUACCAAUUUAGUUUUAGACUUAGGCUUCAUUCUGUCCAAAGUGUGUGUGUGCCUUUUUGAUCAAAUUCCAGAGGUGCUACAGCAUUGCACAAACUUUGUAUACAAUUCAGAGGUAGAGCACAAAUAUAUUCACAUAUGGGGGGAGCCGAACUCACAACUAUGUUCAAACUGUGCUAUAUAUAUAUAUAUAUAUAUAUAUAACAAUUAAACCCUUCAAUGCAACAUUGAACUUUCAUAUGAAUGCUUAUCAUUUGUAAUGACGAUGCCCAAUUACUCACUCAAAAUACAUGUUAGAGUUGCUGCAGCAACACAUCCAGGAUGUUAUAUCCAGGUCUUACCUUUGGACGCCUUUGACUCAAGGCUUAACAUGGGGCUCAUGAACAGACCAUGUUACUUAAUAUCCUCGGCAGCGAUCCUCCUUACUAAAAUUUUUUUUUUUUAACUUACUGCAGCAAUGCUCAUAACUUUUAUUGCCUUUGGACUCAAGUCUGCAUAUGAGGUGCAUACUCAGCCCUGGUUACUCAGCAACUUAUGACAUUGGAGCAAACUUUAUUUCAUAACAAGCGUAGUUCAACAAGAAAUUUCCCCCGAACUUGAGAUAUGUUCUACUCUUUUUGGUUUUCUUGGCUCUGCUACAGCAUUCUCAUAAAACUUAACCAAAGUCUAAGUGUCGGGACAGAAUUUCAACCUCCAUCUGUAACUAUCUCUACUUGGCAUUCUCAUAAAUACUGAAUAACACUCAAUUUAUCUUCAUUAGGUUUUCAAAUUCAUACACAAAUAUUAGAUAACAAAGCUUUACAUAACACACAACAAAAACAAAUGCAAUGCACUCAGGAACUCACUAUAUAAUAGCACAACCCCCCCAAACUUGAGAGGCGUUGUGUCCUCACAAGCACAGAACAUCAAAAUAACUCAACUAACACAUACAUACACCAAACAAAAGGACUUGCAGAAUGAAUCAGACAAUUAAAUUUAAAGGUAAGAAAAGUUGUGCAGAGAUAAGUAAAAUAAACUGGAGGAUAUAAGGUACUCCCUUGUUGCUGGGAGCAUUGAUACAACAAAUUGCAACCAAUUCACCGAUUUUUUGAGGCGCUCCACAGACGAUCCUUAGGAGAUUCUUGUCGUGAGGUAGCGGGCAUCAUUUUUUUCUUUCUCGGAGGUGGGUUGGUGGGAGGAGUUACAGUGGGUACAGCCUGCCGGGAUGGAACAGAUCUGGUCCUUUUUGGCACUGGUGUGUCUGAUGCAGCAACACCUCUAGAAGUGCCCCAUUUUCUCUUAUUGGGUCCUUUAGGACUAGUUAGAAUAGGUUUGCUGGGAGAUUGUACGAAGUAGCUGAAGCUGGUUUUUCAGCUACAUACCCCUCAGCCGUGAUUGCAACGAUAAUAUCAAGUAGGUAUUUUGUCUCUGUGGGUUUGUUUGUAACCCUAGUUGCUGCAGCUUCCAGCUCUGCAUCAAUGUCUUCUGCUUCAUCUUCGGAUGCAGAGCUGGAGCUUUCUCUUUGCCCUUUCGAGAGAGGAAUGGAAUGGGAGGCUCCUCUGCCGGUUCAUCUUCCUCUUCUCCUAUGAUGUGCUUUUUCCUAGACUAAAAGGAAGUCCUAGCUGGGGGUUCCUUGAGUUCUUUUUCAAGGUCUUCAUCCAUCUCUGUUAAGGAACUUUCGGUUGCAGACUUAACACCCUCUUCUUCAAGCUGGUCUAAUUGAUCGUCAGCAUCUGAAUCAACUUCUGUUUGCGGUUCUGCUGCAGCUUCAUCGACAAAUAGUAAUAAUCUUGUCUAAAUACCGCACUGGUUUAACCGGCUCCCUAGUACAAUUUUAUUAUUAUUUGGCACGAUAAGCCCUUAGCACCAUAUUGAUUAGAGUGUGGUUCAUGAGGAGUGGAAACCCCCUCAUGAUUUAAUUAGCAUUAAUAAGGAAUAUUUAGCCCAUGGUGCAUGUUGAUGCAAAUCCAAAUACCCAGGUACGUCAUUUUAAUAGAUUUUCACUUCAAUUUAUUCCCGUCAUUUUAAUUUGAAUUUUAGGAUUAUUUAAAUCACUUCCACCACAAAUCUAAUCACCCACUUAUGAAAAUUAACUUUACACACAAUUAAAAUUUACCCCUCAUGGGAUCGACACCGUCACCAUUAAUCUAUUCUACAAUAGAUUCGUACACUUACGAGUUCAAUAAAAUUUGCACCACAGAUUGUUGUAGCACAGUGUGAAUCUGUUGCAAGACCUUUGUCUCCCCCACAAGAUGGAUUUGGUUAUAUUGUUUUAUAUCUGCAAAAUGCAUUUGAUGCUUGAGUGAUGUUGCAGCAUCUAUGAGACUUGAUCAAAGUACACACACACACACACACUUUGGAUAGAAUAAUGCCUAAGUCUACAGCUGAACUACUAUGGCAAUUUUGCAUGAUUGAAGGUGUGAUUUGAGGGUUGAAGAAUCCUUGUAAAAUUUGAUGACAGAGCUAAGUUAUUUGUUGCACUAUUGUGUGAUUGAAAUGUGAGUGUUGUUGUCAUUGCUUGAGAACAAGUAAUGAUUUAAGUUUGAGGGUCUGCUGUACCGUACAUCCGCCUUGGCCGUACAGCAGAAGAAUGCGAAAUUGAGGAAUGAAAUAACAUUUUUCCAUUAACUUGAGGAUGAAAGUUUGUACGACGCAUGGGAAAGAUUUAAGGAAUUACUCAGAAAAUGUCAUCAUCAUGGUAUUCCUUGUUGUAUACAAAUAGAAACUUUCUACAAUGGGCUGAAUCCAAGUACUAGAUUAAUGGUUGAUACUUUAGUAAACAGAGCUUUAUUGUUUAAAUCCUACAAUGAAGCUUACAAAAUUUUGGAAAGAAUUGCCAACGACAAUUAUCAAUGGCCAUCAAGUAGAUAAAUUGUAAUAAGGGGAGCAACAGGAGCCCAUAAUGUAGAUGCCUUUACAGCAUUAUCAGCCCAAGUAAUUUCACUGACAAACAUUGUAAAAGCCAUGACCAAUGAUCUAGCAACUAUCCAAUAAGUUGUUCAGGUUUCUUGUGUUUAUUGUGGAGAGAGGCACUUAUUUGAUAAUUGUCCUGGAAAUUCAGCUUCAGUCAAUUAUGUAGGCAAUUAUAAUAGACAACAUCAGAGUAAUCCAUACUCAAACACCUAUAAUCUCGGAUAGAGGCAACACCCAAAUUUCUUAUGGAGUAACUAGAAUCAACCUGUUACAACAUCAAAUAGAUAGAACAGACCUGCACAGCCACUAGGAUUUCAAUAGCAAAAUCACAAACAAAGAACCACCAACAAUGAUCAACUCUGUUUUCUUGAAGCUUUGCUCAAGGAAUAUAUUGUGAAGAAUGAAGCAGAUGUCUAAAGUCAAGCUGUAACUUUGAGGAAUCUAAAAAAUUAGAUUGGACAACUUGCUACAAUAUUAAGUAACAGACCUCAGGACAGUCUACCUAGCAACAUAGAAGAUCCAAGAAGUGGAGGCAAAGAACAUUGCAAUGUGAUUAACUUAAGGUCUGGAAAAGAUGUUGAUAGUCGUAUUGGUUUCACAAGGAAAAUGAUGGAACAUAACUUAACCCAAGAGGAAAAACAAGUUAAAGAAGAGCUAUAACAGCCCAAUUUCCAACAUAUUGGUGAGAGUAGUCACGCUGCAGCAACUACAUAAAGAAGUAAUUUAGAGUUUGUUGAAGAAGAAGUUGCAGCACCAACAACAACAAACUAGACUAGAUCAAAAGAACAGCAACAUGCACUACUUGUUGCAGCCCAACAGUUUAGAUACCCACCACCAUUUCUACAAAGAUUUCAGAAGCAGAAAUAAGAUAAGCAAAUCAGCAAAUUUCUAGAAGUGUUAAAACAGUUGCAUAUUAACCUUCCUUUUGUGGAAGCAUUAGAACAAAUGCCAAAUUAUAUGAUAUUUUUUAAGGAUACUUAGCAAGGAAAAGAAUGCUUGGAGAAUUUAAAAUUAUUGCUCUAACACAAGAAUGCAGCCACAUGCUUCAAAGUAAAAUUCCUCAAAAAUUGAAAGAUCUAAGGAGCUUUACAAAAUCAUGUUCUAUUGGAACUAGGUAUAAUGGUAGAGCACUUUGUGAUUUAGAGGCAAGUAUCAAUGUCAUGCCCUUAUCCGUGUUCAAGCAAUUGGGAGUGGGUGAAUGCAGACCAACAACAGUAACUCUACAGCUGACAGACAUACCUCAUACAUAUCCAGAAGGAAAAAUUAAAGAUGUGUUAGUAAAAAUGGAUAAAUUUAUUUUUCCAGUGGACUUCAUCGUGCUGGACUUUGAAGUAGACAAAUAAGUGUCAUUUAUUCUUAGUAGACCUUUCUUAACCACUGGAAAUACCCUUAUUGAUGUGCAAAAAAAAAUUGACCACAAGGGUGAACGAUCAACAAGUCGCAUUCAAUGUGCUAGAUGCUAUGAAGAAUCUCGAUGAGAUUAAAAAUUAUAAUUUCAUCAGUGUUGUAGACAUUGCUGUGACAAAAAGAUUAAAUGUUGUUGAAGCAAAGAAAAGAUCAGAGCUGCUAACUUUCAACAGCUUGAAGAAGAGGAUACUGCAAUAGCACACAUAGUAUAGAUAGAGGAAAAGCAACCUAUAACGCAUGACAGACCUUUUGAACCUCUAGACCGCUCAAAAAGAUAAGUAAAACCAAUUGUACCAUCUGUUGAAUCACCCCUUAUUUUAAAAUUGAAAAUCUUACCUUCACAUUUAAAAUAUAUUUAUCUUGAUAAAAACAAUACACUCCCCGUAAUCAUUUCUUCGUUUUUUAAUACAGGUCAAGCGAACAGCCUAGUUAAAGUAUUAGGGAGAUACAAGAAAGCUAUUGGAUAGACCAUAACAGAUAUAAAGGGAAUCAGCCCAACAUAUGCAUGCACACAAUUUUACUGGAAGAUUGUUACAGCAAUUCAGUAGAACAACAGAGGUGAUUAAACUCAAUCAUGAAGGAAGUUGUGAAGAAGGAGAUCAUAAAAUGGUUUGAUGCUGGGAUCAUCUACCCAAUAUCCGACAGUUCAUAAGUGAGUCUAGUGCAGUGUGUUUCAAAGAAGGAUGGUGUAACUGUUGUAGCAAAUGAAAAGAAUGAACUCAUCCGUACAAGAACAGUGACUAUAUGGAGAGUUUGUAUGGAUUAUAGGAAGCUGAAUAAAGCCAUAAAAAAUAACCACUUUCCAUUGCCCUUCAUAGAUCAAAUACUGGACAGAUUUGCUGGAAAAGAAUACUACUGUUUCUUAUAUGGUUACUCAGGAUACAACCAAAUUGUUAUAGCACCAGAAGAUCAAGAGAAGACAACAUUCACUUAUCCUUAUGGAACUUUUACUUUUAUGAGGAUGUCAUUUGGCUUGUACAAUGCUCCAGCAACUUUUCAGAGAUAUAUGAUGUCCAUUUUUUCAGACAUGGUUGAGCAAACACUAAAAGUAUUCAUGGUUGACUUCUCGGUUUUUGGAGAAAUAUAUGAUGAUUGCUUGCAUACUUUAGGAAAUGUGCUUAAAAGAUGUGAAGAUACUAAUUUGGUACUAAAUUGGGAAAAAUGUCAUUGUAUGGUAUAAGAAGGUGUAUUUUUAGGACAUAGAGUUUCUAAGAAGAUGAUAGAAGUAGACAAGGUAAAAAUAGAAGUGACAGAUAAACUCCCACCCCCAACUUCAGUCAAAAGAAUUAAGAGUUUUCUAGGUCAUACUGGGUUUUACAGAAGAUUCAUCAAAGACUUUUCUAAAAUAGCUAAACCUUUAUGCACACUGCUGGAGCAUAAUAGACCUUUUAACUUUGGUGAGGAUUGCUUAAAGGCUUUUGUGAAUUAAAGAAAGCUUUUGUUACAGCACAUGUUGUCAUAGCACCAAAUUGGAGUUUACCUUUCAAACUAAUGUGUGAUGCCGUGACCACUCAGUUGGAGCAGUGCUAGGACAAAAGAAAGAAUAAGAUUUUUCACUCCAUUUACUAUGCUAGCAAAACUCGAGCAGAUGCUCAUAUCAAUUAUACAACCACUGAAAAGGAAUUGUUAGCAAUGGUCUUUGCAUUUGACAAAUUCAAAGCUUACUUGGUGGGCACAAAGGUCACAGUCUACACAGACCAUGCAACAAUAAAAUAUUUAAUUGCAAAGAAAGCUACCAAACCAAAGUUGAUAAAGUGGAUUCUUUUGCUACAAGAAUUUGAUUUAGAAAUCAAUGAUAGAAAAGGGACUGAGAAUCAAGUAGCAGACCAUCUGUCCAGGUUGGAAGUAUAUGCAAGCAUAUUAACCAAGUAAGACAUCACAGAAACAUUUCCUAAUGAACAACUCUAAUGCUACAGCAUACACAGAUGCUGCAGCAUUCUAGACUCCAAUGGUAUGUAGAUUUUGUAAAUUAUUUGGUAAGUGGACUGUUACCACCUGACUUAAAUUAUCAGCAAAAGAAGAUAUUCUUCCAUGAUAUUAAAAGUUAUCAGUGGGAUGAACCGUAUCUAUACAAGAUGUAUUCAGACCAAGUGAUCAGAAGGUGUGUAUCAGAUAAAGAAAUUCCACACAUAAUGUAUUCAUGCCAUGCUGUAACUUAUGGAGGACAUUUUGGAGGCCAUAGAACAGCAGCCAAAAUCCUACAAUCAGGUUAUUUCUGGCCGUCCAUUUUUAAAUAUGCUUAUGAGUUUGUUAAAUGUUGUGACAGGUGCUAAAGAACAGAGAACAUAUCUUAAAAACAUGAAAUGUCAUUGAAAAAUACGUUGGAGGUGAGCUCUUUGAUAAAUAGAGGAUAAACUUUAUAGGUCCAUUCCCACCACCCCUUAGAAACUUAUAUAUUCUAAUUGUGGUAGAUUAUGUGUCCGAAUGGGUGGAAGCUAUAUCAUUACCAACAAAUGAUGCCAAAGCAGUGGUAAAAUUUCUUCACAAAAAUAUCUUCUCAAUGUUCGAGACUCCAAAGGAAAUCAUUAGUGAUGAAGGCACUCAAUUUUGCAAUAGGAUGUUUGCGGCAGUAUUGGCUAAGUAUGGAAUUAAACACAAAAUUGCUACAGCAUAUCAUCCACAAUCCAAUGGUCAAGCAGAAGUAUCUAAUCGAGAGAAAAAAAGGGUUUUGAAGGAAGUGGUGAACCCCGCUAAAAAAGAUUGGUCAACCCAUUUGCAUGAUUCUUUAUAGACUUAUUGUAUUGCUUAUAAGACACCCCUAAGCAUGUCCCCAUACAGAAUUAUCUAUGGCAAAGCUUGCCAUUUACCCUUAAAGCUAGAGUAUAAAGCAUAUUGGGCACUAAAACAACUCAACAUGGACAUGUGUUGGUUAUUUUAACUCAAUUGCUAUUGAUGUCAAUGUCCAAGUGUACACAACAAGUAAUAAAGUGAUGAAUAUUCAAAAUCGUCUCCACAUGGAUUGAUGUUACUAGAAAUAUUACGGCAAUCACGAUGGUGCAAACUUCCUUCUAUCUAAAUAAACAAAAUAAAGUUGAUUGACUAAUAAUAUUAACAACUUAACAAAGUAAAUGCAGUGAUGAAAGUAAAUUAGACGGUUUAUGCAAAAAGAAUUCACUAAGAAUAAGGUAGUUGAACGAUCAAACUCUCUUGAUGGGAUGACUGUUUGGUUCAACUAACACCAAUUACUGCAGCAACUUCUAUAGCACUGGGUAGAAUAACCUUGCAUCCUCAGUUUUCGCUUGUUAGGAUUCUCAUACCCUGAUGCAACCUAACAAUAACCAGUUGUUAUAUCACAUAAGAUAUGGCUUUACAAACAUAUACUAUCUCUACCCUACAAGGUGAAUCCCUAUAUCUAAUUCAUCACAACACUUAACUCAAGUGUGGCUCUUUUGGGACUCAAGUUAAACUCAAUCCAGGAAACUUGACUUAAGAUCAAAUAUUACUCUAACAAUUUCCACUAAGACAUGCCCUUUUGCAGCUCUCUCUUAACUUGAAUCAUUAAAUGAGAGGUCAACCGAAAUAAUGAUUGUAAUAAAAGCUAUUAAAGCAAAAUUCUACAACAAUCUUGCAGCAACUCAUAAGAACAGUCAAGAGCCCAUUUAGAUUGUUUGUCACUCAACUACGAUCAAAUUUAGUUCAUAACUUGGAAAAGAAAAACAAACAGCAAAGUAUCAGCCAUGAAAUCAUUGUUUCAAUCAAAGAGUAAGUAAGGGGACAAGUAAAAGAUGAUAAAAAUUGAAUCUAAAUAAUUCUGUAGAUUUCUUCAGUAGAGUAGACUUGUUUUCUCUUGAAUUCUGCUUCUUCCUACUUUUUCUCUUAAUUUUUUUUAUGUUGAUUCACGGCCCCUCUUUUCCAUAUGAUAUGUGCUCCUUUUAUAACUGAAAAUUAAGGUAAACGGAAGCCUAGGGCGCGCAUAAGUUAGAUUAGGAAACUGCAUAUCGCAAUUCUGCAAAUAUCUCGCACGGAAUUUCUUUGUCGUUGUUCCAGGAUUGCUACAGCAACGACUACAGCAACUGUACUGCUCCAAAUUUGUUUCAAUUCUUUUGUAGCCAUGUGUUUUCCUUAUUUUUGCAAGCCUGUUACAUCAGCAUUCCUUCCUUGAAAUUUGAGCUUCCGGAUACCUACAAUUAUGCACACAAUCUAAGCACGAAUUAUUAUAAAUCAAACAAAAUUUAUUAAGAAUAACUUAAAAUGAAUGUUUAUGCAAAAUAUAACAAAAAUACAAUGAAAACACAUUAUUUACUAUCUAAGUAAUAUUGAUUUAAGUAUAAAAGUGCCAUGAUAACUCUCAUUUCAAAGAGUUAUCACACCCCCAAACUUAAACAAUUACUUGUUAUCAAGUAAUAAUAACAACACUAACACUUCAAUCACACAAUCAUGCAACAAAUAACUUAGCUCUGCCAUUCAAAUUUGCAAGGAUUCUUCCACCCUCAUAUUACACUCUUAAUCACGUAAAAUAGUCAUACCAAUUUAGUUUUAGACUUAGGCUUCAUUCUGUCCAAAGUGUGUGUGUGCCUUUUUGAUCAAAUUCCAGAGGUGCUACAGCAUUGCACAAACUUUGUAUACAAUUCAGAGGUAGAGCACAAAUAUAUUCACAUAUGGGGGGAGCCGAACUCACAACUAUGUUCAAACUGUGCUAUAUAUAUAUAUAUAUAUAUAUAUAUAACAAUUAAACCCUUCAAUGCAACAUUGAACUUUCAUAUGAAUGCUUAUCAUUUGUAAUGACGAUGCCCAAUUACUCACUCAAAAUACAUGUUAGAGUUGCUGCAGCAACACAUCCAGGAUGUUAUAUCCAGGUCUUACCUUUGGACGCCUUUGACUCAAGGCUUAACAUGGGGCUCAUGAACAGACCAUGUUACUUAAUAUCCUCGGCAGCGAUCCUCCUUACUAAAAUUUUUUUUUUUUAACUUACUGCAGCAAUGCUCAUAACUUUUAUUGCCUUUGGACUCAAGUCUGCAUAUGAGGUGCAUACUCAGCCCUGGUUACUCAGCAACUUAUGACAUUGGAGCAAACUUUAUUUCAUAACAAGCGUAGUUCAACAAGAAAUUUCCCCCGAACUUGAGAUAUGUUCUACUCUUUUUGGUUUUCUUGGCUCUGCUACAGCAUUCUCAUAAAACUUAACCAAAGUCUAAGUGUCGGGACAGAAUUUCAACCUCCAUCUGUAACUAUCUCUACUUGGCAUUCUCAUAAAUACUGAAUAACACUCAAUUUAUCUUCAUUAGGUUUUCAAAUUCAUACACAAAUAUUAGAUAACAAAGCUUUACAUAACACACAACAAAAACAAAUGCAAUGCACUCAGGAACUCACUAUAUAAUAGCACAACCCCCCCAAACUUGAGAGGCGUUGUGUCCUCACAAGCACAGAACAUCAAAAUAACUCAACUAACACAUACAUACACCAAACAAAAGGACUUGCAGAAUGAAUCAGACAAUUAAAUUUAAAGGUAAGAAAAGUUGUGCAGAGAUAAGUAAAAUAAACUGGAGGAUAUAAGGUACUCCCUUGUUGCUGGGAGCAUUGAUACAACAAAUUGCAACCAAUUCACCGAUUUUUUGAGGCGCUCCACAGACGAUCCUUAGGAGAUUCUUGUCGUGAGGUAGCGGGCAUCAUUUUUUUCUUUCUCGGAGGUGGGUUGGUGGGAGGAGUUACAGUGGGUACAGCCUGCCGGGAUGGAACAGAUCUGGUCCUUUUUGGCACUGGUGUGUCUGAUGCAGCAACACCUCUAGAAGUGCCCCAUUUUCUCUUAUUGGGUCCUUUAGGACUAGUUAGAAUAGGUUUGCUGGGAGAUUGUACGAAGUAGCUGAAGCUGGUUUUUCAGCUACAUACCCCUCAGCCGUGAUUGCAACGAUAAUAUCAAGUAGGUAUUUUGUCUCUGUGGGUUUGUUUGUAACCCUAGUUGCUGCAGCUUCCAGCUCUGCAUCAAUGUCUUCUGCUUCAUCUUCGGAUGCAGAGCUGGAGCUUUCUCUUUGCCCUUUCGAGAGAGGAAUGGAAUGGGAGGCUCCUCUGCCGGUUCAUCUUCCUCUUCUCCUAUGAUGUGCUUUUUCCUAGACUAAAAGGAAGUCCUAGCUGGGGGUUCCUUGAGUUCUUUUUCAAGGUCUUCAUCCAUCUCUGUUAAGGAACUUUCGGUUGCAGACUUAACACCCUCUUCUUCAAGCUGGUCUAAUUGAUCGUCAGCAUCUGAAUCAACUUCUGUUUGCGGUUCUGCUGCAGCUUCAUCGACAAAUAGUAAUAAUCUUGUCUAAAUACCGCACUGGUUUAACCGGCUCCCUAGUACAAUUUUAUUAUUAUUUGGCACGAUAAGCCCUUAGCACCAUAUUGAUUAGAGUGUGGUUCAUGAGGAGUGGAAACCCCCUCAUGAUUUAAUUAGCAUUAAUAAGGAAUAUUUAGCCCAUGGUGCAUGUUGAUGCAAAUCCAAAUACCCAGGUACGUCAUUUUAAUAGAUUUUCACUUCAAUUUAUUCCCGUCAUUUUAAUUUGAAUUUUAGGAUUAUUUAAAUCACUUCCACCACAAAUCUAAUCACCCACUUAUGAAAAUUAACUUUACACACAAUUAAAAUUUACCCCUCAUGGGAUCGACACCGUCACCAUUAAUCUAUUCUACAAUAGAUUCGUACACUUACGAGUUCAAUAAAAUUUGCACCACAGAUUGUUGUAGCACAGUGUGAAUCUGUUGCAAGACCUUUGUCUCCCCCACAAGAUGGAUUUGGUUAUAUUGUUUUAUAUCUGCAAAAUGCAUUUGAUGCUUGAGUGAUGUUGCAGCAUCUAUGAGACUUGAUCAAAGUACACACACACACACACACUUUGGAUAGAAUAAUGCCUAAGUCUACAGCUGAACUACUAUGGCAAUUUUGCAUGAUUGAAGGUGUGAUUUGAGGGUUGAAGAAUCCUUGUAAAAUUUGAUGACAGAGCUAAGUUAUUUGUUGCACUAUUGUGUGAUUGAAAUGUGAGUGUUGUUGUCAUUGCUUGAGAACAAGUAAUGAUUUAAGUUUGAGGGUGUGAUAAAUCUAUGAAACGAGAGUUAUCAUGAUACUUUUGAGCUUAAAUCAAGAUUACUUAUAGAGUAAUUAAUGUGUUUUAGUGCAUUUCAAUGAUAGUUUACAUUAACAUUCAUUUAUAGUUUAAGUUUAAUAAAGUGCACUUGAUUUCGAAUAAUUUUGUGCUUAAAACAUAUGAAUAAUUGUAGAUAAUCGGGAGUUUAAAUUUCAUGGGAAGGAUGUUGUAGCAAUGGGCUUACAAAAAAGACAAAAGAAUAUGGCUAUAGAAGAAUUAGAGCAAAUCUGGAACAGUGCCGAUGUUGUAGCCAUUACCGUAACAACCAGUGCUGUGGCAAUUCUGGAACAACAACAGAGAAAAUCCCACGCAAAGCAAUUAACAAAUUGUGAUCUGUAGAUUCCUAAUCAGAAAGAUGCGCACUCAGGACAUCUGUUUACCCUAAUUUUGAGCUAUAAAAGAGGCACACAUGCAAAAGAAAAGCAGGCCAUCAACCAAGAUCAUAAAUAAAAAAAAAGAAAUAAAGGAAAAACAGAUUUCAAGAGCAAGAAUCAAGGUUACACCAGUGGAGAAUUAGCGGGAAUCAAUUGGAAUUCAAUUUUUUUUAUUCUUCUUUUGAUUUCUUGUUUAUUCUUUGACAUGAGAACGUAUUUGCUGGCUGAAUCUUUGUUGUUUAGGUUUCUUUUGCAAACCAUGAACUAAUAUUAUUUGUGGUUCAAUGAUAAAUAAUUUUAAUGGCUCCUUGACAGAAUUUAUAUGUUACAGCAUGUUUACUAUAGCAUUUUGUUGUGAUAGUAUUUAUUUGAAACCAUUAUUUCGGCUGACUACCAUUUAAUGAUACAAGCUAGAAAAGAGCCACAAAAUGGUCUAUCUUAGUGGAACACAUCAUAACAAUACUUAAUUUUAGAUUGGAUUUCCUGGGUUGAGUGUAACUUAAGUCCAAAAUGGUCAUGCCUAAUCUAAAAUUAAUGAUGAACUAGAUCUAGAGAUUCACCUUGUAGAGUAAAUAGAACCUAAACGUGUAAUGUCAUAUAUUAUGCUGGCAAAACAAUUGGUCAUUGUUAGGUUGUAUAUAGAUAUAAGACAUCGAACAUGCAACAGCUGAGGAUACAUGAGGAUUCUGCCUAAUGCUGCAGCAGAUACUGCAGUAACUUAAAUGAAAUUUGCAAGAAAUAGUCAAGUCCGUUAAGAGAGUUAAUCACUCAACUACUUCAUUCUCAUUAAUUUUAUCCUUGUGUUUGACGUGAGAGUUUACUUUUCUGCAUAUUUACUUAUUGCAUUUUAUUAGGUAGUUUAUUAGUUUAAUUGUUCAAUCUAUUUUCAAUUCGAGCAAAAUUGUUAGGGUUGCUAUAGCAAUUUCCAUAACAUCAAUAUCUAUGGAGAUGAUCUUAAAUACUUAUCAUUAUAUUAUUUGUUGUGUACACUUGCACAUUGGCACCCAUAGCAUUUGAAUUUAUACCAACAUUGGUCUCUCCCUUCGUGCCCACGUUCUCUCGAAGUCAGACUCCCAACUCCAUUGUUAUGUACCCCGUCGAGAUGCCGCCUAUUGAAGGAAUCUCCUCAUUUCUAUUCCUUCGGUGACUGGGCUCCUGGCAACAUCAUCUCUUGUCACAUUGGUCUUGUAAACCCUUAUUUGCUCAUUCCUUAGCUCAUGCAAUAUGGCGGUAAAAGUCUCCAUCUGCUUUUCCAUCCGCUCCAUUCGCUCAUGCAUCACUCUCUCCCUUGCCUUAUUUGCUAUUUCUCUCACAGUUAUCGUCUCAUUAGUCUCAUGCUCGCCUCCUUGGGCAUUAUUCCUCCAUAUAUCCUUGUACACGCGUUCACUUCUCUCUGCGAGUUGCUCUGUUUGUAGUAGCUUUUUGUUCAGCUCCUCACAGACGGGGACAAAAAUGUUGAUGCAAAAAUUUGAUUGUAUUUUAGGGCUGACCAGGUUGUCUCGUCAACACUCGAGUUAACUUUGGCUAAGCGCUACGUUGCUCGUUCCUUCCCUUGACGAGCGAAUUCUACGACCACAACCAACCUCGUUCCUUCUCUUUUGACCUAAACUCACAUAAAUGGAUCAGGGGCGUCGGUAAUUUUUUCGGCGAAAAUCCUCUAAUACUUAUGUCAGUAUGUAGGGUCUUAGGAAAAACGUUGGACUAUAGAUCUAUGCAAGCUAACAAUUGUUAAAUAAAGGAAAAGUCUUUUUAAAGGUUUCAUGAAAGUGAGUUCUGAAUCCAAAAUGGCAGAGUUUUCCCUUGUUUUUUUCCUUUCUUUUUCCUUUUCUUGUCGUUUUUCAGGGUUUUAUAGUCAGCAACCGUUUGUGUCUUGAACAUCCCCCCACCUCCUCUAUAUUGGGGCCAUCAUGUAGGGGUGGGCAAAAUACCCGACCCGACCCGACCCGACACGAUCCGACCCGAAAAAAUUCGGGUUCGGGUCGGUUCGGGUUGUUAUUGAAACCCGAACGGGUGAAAAAUUACAAACCCGAUCGGGUUGUGAUCGGGUCGGGUAAAACCCGAUCCGAUCCGAAUACCCGAUCGGGUCGCCAAAAAAAAAAAUAUCACUAAACCUAUAAACACAUCACACAUGCACACACCAGACACCACACACACGGCCACACAAAGUUACAACUCAAAAAGUCACAAAAACAAGUGGCUAAAAAAAAUUGACAAAUAAAAAACAAAACAUAAUUAUAACCCACACACACAGGCCACACAAACAUUGAAACAUAUCUUCGCUGCCUUCACACUUCACAGUCCUCAUCCCCACAGCCCUCAUCCUUAACACUCACGACUUCACACACACACACAAAUAUCGCAAAAGCCAAAAGCAAAGCGGCAGCUAGCAGCCAACGCAGAGAAGAGAACGGAGGAAGCGCAGCCAGCGCAUGCAGCCACCUAACCCGUGACUGGAUCUACUGCUCCGCGACAUCCGUAGCUACCAGAUCUGCUGUUGCCGGAUAUCUACAGGAUCUGCUGCUGCUGGAUCCGCUGCGCUGCUAUCAGAUCUGCUGCUGCAACCUCCACCACCACCAAGUUCCACCGCGAACCAGCAACCCGAAUUCUUUUCUUUUUUGAUGCUUUGAUGGUAUAUAAUAAUAUAUUAUAUAUUAUCUGUUAAUUGCUAAGUAUAUGUAUUGUUAAAUGUUAAUAAUAAAAUGAGGGAAAUUCUUGUAUCGAAAAUUUUGGAGUUUAAUUUAUUAAGUCUGUGGAAGCUUAAAUAAUAUGUAUGUAUGAUUUGUUUUGUUUUGUUUUGUUUUGUUUUUAAUGAAUAGAUUAAGCAGAUUAAGCAUUAAAAUUAAAUAUUUUGCAUUUGAUCUGUGCAGUGUUUCACCCGAUCCGAAUUAACCCGAAUUUAACCCGAUUAUUUGACCCGAUCCGAUCCGAUCCGAAUAUGUUCGGAUCGGGUCGGAUCGGGUUACAACUUCGGGUUGAGUUCGGAUGAAUUCUUUUCUAACCCGAUCAACCCGAAAUCCGAUCGGGUUGAUCCGAACCCGACCCGAACCCGAAAAUGCCCACCCCUACCAUCAUGGAUCAAAUGGACUGCGAAAAUCGUUCAUUGGUUAUCGUGCCUCCCUCGAACGGUUUGGACGUGGUGAAGCUGCUGCCUUGAUGUGGCAUCAUGCCUUAUUUUUAAGUACAAUUCUCUGGUCCACCUAUGGCUUACACCGAAGAGGGCUCUGGUGCCAUUGUAUCUACUCAUCAAAAUAGAGCAGAGGAGAUUCUACCUCAACCAGAUGAAUCACAUGCGGCUGAUGCUCUUUUAAUCACCCAAACAAUAUUAAAGUUAGACAUUUUAUGAUUAUAUGAUAAACGAGUCUAGAAAUAUGUAUAAAAUACGAACUUAAAUUGUGACAAUAGAUUAAAUUGUGAGAACAGAUAUAAACCGUUGAAUUAAUACCAACGAAUUAAUGUUUCGUUCAACUUUUUUCCAGCAUUGUAAUAUUUGUAAGAAAAAGAACAACAGUAAAACAAAGAAAAAGAGAGGGGGUGGGGGGACCACUGAAUUAAUUAACCCAUUCUUUUAAUAUUUGCAUGAAAAAGAAGAACAGUAAAAUGAAGAAAAAAAGAGGGGGCAAGGGGACCACUGAAUUAAUUCACCCAUUCUUUUAAUGCACUUGAUUUAUUUUGCAAGCAUAAAUUGGGGAACGGUGAAUUAAUGCACUCGUUCUUUUUCUUUGUUUUCUUCCUCUUUUUUUUCCUCGAAUUACACAACGGAUUUUUCUUGAAGAUUAUGAUAUUGACGAAAAAAAAAAUGCGAAUUAAAAAAAAAAGAAUACUCAGUUUCCUAACAAGAGACUCAGGCAGGCUUCCAUGUUCCAAAUUUUGCACAAACAAAAAGAAUACGAUGGAUUUUUAAAAAAAAAAUAGAUUGGCAACGGAUUUGGAACAAUUAAUAUAUAUAUAUAAUUUAAAUUUUAAAAACUAUAGUUAUGAAAUUAGAAUAUGAACUUAUUGGAUUAAAAUUAGAGAGAACGUAUGUGAUUAUGGCGGUAAUAUGAGAUCUGAUGAUUUAUAUAUUAGAGUUUAUAGAUAAAUAAGAUACAAUUAUCUUUUAAUAAAAUAUAAGGUUAUAAUAAAAAUUUUAAUAAGGUGUGGUACUUUAUUAAAUAAGCUGCUUAUAAAAAGUAACCCCCUACCUGCUUUUAAAAGCUGCUAAUAAAAUGGAUAAAAUUAUGAAAUAAUAUGAUUUUACAAAAUUUAUCAAACACUGUUUUUAUCAAAAAUUAUGCAAUAAACAGCUUAUUAAAUUUCCACCACAAUCUCAAACUAGCCCUAACUAGGAUUAGAUUGACAAGAUUGAAUGAAAUAUUUUGUCCUCUUUAUCACUCUUUUCUUUUUCAUUUAAACUAAUAUUUAACUUAAGUUAAAUAUAAAAAUUAAUUUCAUAAUUUAUUCACCUAGAAUUUUAUAUUAUAUCCAGUAUCAAAAUUUUAUUCAAUAAUUUUUUUUAAAUUGUGCUUAAUUUAAUUCAACAAUUUAGUUAAUCUAGUAUUGAAUAUUAAAUGUAAAAAUUAUUCAAUUAUUUGUUUACAAUAAAAUGAAUAUUAAGCAUCCAAAUUAUUAUUUACUAGUAUUUUAUAUCCAUUAAUAUAAUAAUUCAUAAGAAGCACAUCAUUCAUUAAUUGAGUUUUAUAUAAAAUAUCAACUUAAAUAUCAUUAAACUUAAUUUUAAUUUAAUUUAAUUUAACCCAAUCUAAUAUUAUACCAAACAAGCAUAAAUAUAUAAUUUAAUCUAAUUUAAUUCUAAUAAUUAGUCGAAUCCCAUCAUAUGUCUCGAACAUAGCCAAAAAGUAUACCAUUCAUGCAUUCGAUUCGAGUGCAAAGUGCAGUGGUGGAGGAAUUAGGCUUGGCAAGGGGAUGGGUCCGGCUAAGUUUUGUAAAAUAAAGGGUCCCAACCCUUAAAAAGCCCGACCCUACAAACUAGGGUUGUACUCGGGCUUUAUCCAAGCCCGACCAUAAUUUUUAUAUUUUUUUAAUUUUUAGAUUCUUUUUUUGGAAUAAGGCUCCAAUUCUUCAUUUUUUUUAUUAACUAGAAAAUAGAACCGCGCUUCACGCGGCUUUUAAAAAAAAAAUUAUUAUUAUCAUUUUUUUUUACUUUACAUUUGAUGAAACUGAUAAAAAAUAUAAAUUAUUUUUUUUAAUAUGAGGCAGCCUUAUAAAAAACAAAAAAAGUUAUUAGCCAACAAUACAAAUAAAGAAGCAACGCAAGAUAAAGAAUAAAAUGAGAGAAUAUAUUAUAGAGUGAUUUUAUUCAUUCCAAUUGUGUGUGUACAAAAUAAAAAGAUGAGCUCUCCUUUUAUAGUUAUAUAAUUACUCUAUGAAAUUAAUGAAAAAUUAUAGAUCAUAAUUCCUUAUGAGAUAAUGGGAGUUAUAAGAAAGCUAAAGGUUGCUAAAGGGAGGUAGUGGGGAGAUUAAGAGAUAUAUGUUAUAAGCAUCUACAUUUAUUUUAAUAAAUUAAUAACACUCCCCCUUAGAUGUUCAUUACAAAGAAUAUACCUCAUUAAAAUCUUUACAUAAUUAUUAUUGUGUAAUAACAAUCAAAUUAAUUAUGAGAAGAUGAAAAGUCAAAUUUAAAAAAAAAAUCUCUAUUUAUUAGAUAAUAGAGAAUAUACAAAGAUGAUAAAUGUUCAUGCCACAUCACCUCCUCAAGUCUCAGCUUUAUAUAUAUAUAUAUAUAUAUAGAUAUAUAGAUAUGAUUAUUAGAUAAUAGAGAAUAUACAAAGAUGAGAAAUGGUGAUGCUACAUCACCUCUUGUAUAAUUUAUGAUUAAUAAAGUUUCAAUUAAAGAAGAUAGUGGGUCUUUUGAUGAACUGUUACAUAUUAAUUGUGUAAUAGCAGUCAAAUUAAUUAUGAGAAGAUAAAAAGCUAAAUUUGAAAGAAAAUUUCUCUAUUUAUUAUAUAAUAGAUAAUAUAUAAAGAUGAGAAAUGGUGAUGUCACGGCACCUCUUGUAGUUCCAACUUUCUAUAAGUAUAUAGAUUGGAUUAACAAGGGUGAUAAGUUUGUUUAAAGUUAAAAACACAGCCUGAUAGAUCAUAAAUAGACACAGAGAAAGUCGUGGGUUCAAUGAAGAAGAAGGCUGCGGUAGGAGAGUCUCUCGUCACUUCAAAUGUGGGAGUAAGCUACUACGAUAUUUACAAACACAUCAUCUUUACACACACAGUUCCUCUUUCAUCAUGAUCUUUGUUAAAAUGAAAUAUAAUUACCUUCAUCUUCAUUGACAUCAACUUUGAGCCCGAGUCAGUGCAGCGAAGAAAGGCGGCUGGGGGUAAACGCAUGCAAGCCAAUCGUGUAUGGGCAGCCUCCAUCUCCUGCAUGUUGCCAACGUAUUAGGGUUAGCCAUAUUGAGUGUGUCUGCCCUGCUAUCACCCCCAAGCUGGCCGCUUUCAUUAAUGUCAACCGUGUCAUUCGCCUCAUUGAAGGCUGCGGUAGGAGAGUCUCUCGUCACUUCAAAUGUGGGAGUAAGCUACUACGAUAUUUACAAACACAUCAUCUUUACACACACAGUUCCUCUUUCAUCAUGAUCUUUGUUAAAAUGAAAUAUAAUUACCUUCAUCUUCAUUGACAUCAACUUUGAGCCCGAGUCAGUGCAGCGAAGAAAGGCGGCUGGGGGUAAACGCAUGCAAGCCAAUCGUGUAUGGGCAGCCUCCAUCUCCUGCAUGUUGCCAACGUAUUAGGGUUAGCCAUAUUGAGUGUGUCUGCCCUGCUAUCACCCCCAAGCUGGCCGCUUUCAUUAAUGUCAACCGUGUCAUUCGCCUCAUUGAAGGCUGCGGUAGGAGAGUCUCUCGUCACUUCAAAUGUGGGAGUAAGCUACUACGAUAUUUACAAACACAUCAUCUUUACACACACAGUUCCUCUUUCAUCAUGAUCUUUGUUAAAAUGAAAUAUAAUUACCUUCAUCUUCAUUGACAUCAACUUUGAGCCCGAGUCAGUGCAGCGAAGAAAGGCGGCUGGGGGUAAACGCAUGCAAGCCAAUCGUGUAUGGGCAGCCUCCAUCUCCUGCAUGUUGCCAACGUAUUAGGGUUAGCCAUAUUGAGUGUGUCUGCCCUGCUAUCACCCCCAAGCUGGCCGCUUUCAUUAAUGUCAACCGUGUCAUUCGCCUCAUUGAAGGCUGCGGUAGGAGAGUCUCUCGUCACUUCAAAUGUGGGAGUAAGCUACUACGAUAUUUACAAACACAUCAUCUUUACACACACAGUUCCUCUUUCAUCAUGAUCUUUGUUAAAAUGAAAUAUAAUUACCUUCAUCUUCAUUGACAUCAACUUUGAGCCCGAGUCAGUGCAGCGAAGAAAGGCGGCUGGGGGUAAACGCAUGCAAGCCAAUCGUGUAUGGGCAGCCUCCAUCUCCUGCAUGUUGCCAACGUAUUAGGGUUAGCCAUAUUGAGUGUGUCUGCCCUGCUAUCACCCCCAAGCUGGCCGCUUUCAUUAAUGUCAACCGUGUCAUUCGCCUCAUUGAAGGCUGCGGUAGGAGAGUCUCUCGUCACUUCAAAUGUGGGAGUAAGCUACUACGAUAUUUACAAACACAUCAUCUUUACACACACAGUUCCUCUUUCAUCAUGAUCUUUGUUAAAAUGAAAUAUAAUUACCUUCAUCUUCAUUGACAUCAACUUUGAGCCCGAGUCAGUGCAGCGAAGAAAGGCGGCUGGGGGUAAACGCAUGCAAGCCAAUCGUGUAUGGGCAGCCUCCAUCUCCUGCAUGUUGCCAACGUAUUAGGGUUAGCCAUAUUGAGUGUGUCUGCCCUGCUAUCACCCCCAAGCUGGCCGCUUUCAUUAAUGUCAACCGUGUCAUUCGCCUCAUUGAAGGCUGCGGUAGGAGAGUCUCUCGUCACUUCAAAUGUGGGAGUAAGCUACUACGAUAUUUACAAACACAUCAUCUUUACACACACAGUUCCUCUUUCAUCAUGAUCUUUGUUAAAAUGAAAUAUAAUUACCUUCAUCUUCAUUGACAUCAACUUUGAGCCCGAGUCAGUGCAGCGAAGAAAGGCGGCUGGGGGUAAACGCAUGCAAGCCAAUCGUGUAUGGGCAGCCUCCAUCUCCUGCAUGUUGCCAACGUAUUAGGGUUAGCCAUAUUGAGUGUGUCUGCCCUGCUAUCACCCCCAAGCUGGCCGCUUUCAUUAAUGUCAACCGUGUCAUUCGCCUCAUUGAAGGCUGCGGUAGGAGAGUCUCUCGUCACUUCAAAUGUGGGAGUAAGCUACUACGAUAUUUACAAACACAUCAUCUUUACACACACAGUUCCUCUUUCAUCAUGAUCUUUGUUAAAAUGAAAUAUAAUUACCUUCAUCUUCAUUGACAUCAACUUUGAGCCCGAGUCAGUGCAGCGAAGAAAGGCGGCUGGGGGUAAACGCAUGCAAGCCAAUCGUGUAUGGGCAGCCUCCAUCUCCUGCAUGUUGCCAACGUAUUAGGGUUAGCCAUAUUGAGUGUGUCUGCCCUGCUAUCACCCCCAAGCUGGCCGCUUUCAUUAAUGUCAACCGUGUCAUUCGCCUCAUUGAAGGCUGCGGUAGGAGAGUCUCUCGUCACUUCAAAUGUGGGAGUAAGCUACUACGAUAUUUACAAACACAUCAUCUUUACACACACAGUUCCUCUUUCAUCAUGAUCUUUGUUAAAAUGAAAUAUAAUUACCUUCAUCUUCAUUGACAUCAACUUUGAGCCCGAGUCAGUGCAGCGAAGAAAGGCGGCUGGGGGUAAACGCAUGCAAGCCAAUCGUGUAUGGGCAGCCUCCAUCUCCUGCAUGUUGCCAACGUAUUAGGGUUAGCCAUAUUGAGUGUGUCUGCCCUGCUAUCACCCCCAAGCUGGCCGCUUUCAUUAAUGUCAACCGUGUCAUUCGCCUCAUUGAAGGCUGCGGUAGGAGAGUCUCUCGUCACUUCAAAUGUGGGAGUAAGCUACUACGAUAUUUACAAACACAUCAUCUUUACACACACAGUUCCUCUUUCAUCAUGAUCUUUGUUAAAAUGAAAUAUAAUUACCUUCAUCUUCAUUGACAUCAACUUUGAGCCCGAGUCAGUGCAGCGAAGAAAGGCGGCUGGGGGUAAACGCAUGCAAGCCAAUCGUGUAUGGGCAGCCUCCAUCUCCUGCAUGUUGCCAACGUAUUAGGGUUAGCCAUAUUGAGUGUGUCUGCCCUGCUAUCACCCCCAAGCUGGCCGCUUUCAUUAAUGUCAACCGUGUCAUUCGCCUCAUUGAAGGCUGCGGUAGGAGAGUCUCUCGUCACUUCAAAUGUGGGAGUAAGCUACUACGAUAUUUACAAACACAUCAUCUUUACACACACAGUUCCUCUUUCAUCAUGAUCUUUGUUAAAAUGAAAUAUAAUUACCUUCAUCUUCAUUGACAUCAAUUUUUUGUUUUUCUUUUUUCAGGUAUCACAACUCCCUGACUUAUCCCGCAGUUAGUUAAUAUACUUUGCCUGCUCCUAUAUAUAUAUAUAUGGAGACGGUUGGAGAGAUUAAUAAAACGCUGGCAUUACUUUUAAUGCUCAAGCUUUAUAUAUAAUUUAUUUGUCUGGUGUAAUGGUAACUCAUGUAUUAUCUUCAUCAAAUUACGCGUUUCUCUUAUUGCUUUUCAAUUGAUUUGCUGUCUUCAGCAAUCGAUCCUUGAUUUUCUUGUACAAUUUUCAUUACUAUUGUUGAGUUUUCUCGGACGUUGAUGGCUUGUUGCUGUGUAUGUAUGGCUGCAAUUAAACGACUGGAAACAUUUGCUCUGUGCUAUUCUUGUCUCUAUAUUGAUUCCAACUAAUAAUAAGAAACGCUACACAUAUAAAUUAAUGGUCCUGAUCGAUAAGCCAGCAAAGCAAUUAACAUACAACAAAAUGCCUAGAUGCCAGAAUGAAACGGAUUAGAGGAAACAAAAUUGCGAUUUGGCUUUCAUAUCCCUUCGAAACAAAUUGGUGAUUUUCUUCACAAUCGAAAAAUGCCAUCCCUCAGCAGCUAGCUAGCUUCGCACUCCUAGUAGUAGCUAGCGUUUCUACCUAGAAACUGUCAUCUCAUUCUCAUCUUAUCCCAAAAAAAAAAAAAAACUGUCAUACGCAUAAACAUUAUGGAAAGAUUUCUUUUCAGCACUACUUUCAUUAGUAAUAACAGCUGGCCUUUCAGUUAAUAAUACUAAGUCAAGAUUUAGAACACCUAAGUGAAACUGGAUCUGCUCAAACCAAUCUGAGUAAUUAAGGCCAUUGAACUUAACAACAAAUGAAACUUGCGAAUAAAGAGCAACAUGCACAAAUAUUGCAAAUAUAUAAGUGCUUACACAUUAAUGCUUUGAACUUAAACACAUAAUAUAUAUUUAGAUAAAAUUCACAUAAACCUUAAGCGCAUAUUGAAGUUCACCUUUGGAUACAAUAAUACACUACAAUAAACAUAAAUAAUACUUAACUUUAAUUUCACAUAAUUAGUAAUCAAGUACACAUUAAUUAGAUAUGCAUGCUACCUUUAGAUGUACUAAACAUAUCUAAUCAAGCAAAUUAAUUACUUAUAAUCAUAAUCAUAGAAUAUAAAAUUAAUUAAUCAACUUUUAGACGAUUCUUAAAUAUUUUAUAAUUUAUGAAUUUUAAUAUACCCAUACAAGAAAAUUGUCAUGUCAUUCGAUCAUAAGCAUCACAAUAAUUAUGAGUAUUUGAAAUUGAAAUUGAUUUGACAUCUAUGAAAACUUUCUAAUCUAACCACUUCGGUAACUAACAAAUUAAAUAUGAUACAGACAUCAAAAUCAAAUAAUGACGAAUGUUGUAAAAAUAAUAGGCAUAUAAAUACUUACAAUAAUAAUCAUAUAUUAAAGAAAAGAAACAUAAAUUCCUUGAGUUCAUUAAUAUUGCAUGUAAGCCAAUAAUAUGCAAAUAGUUUCAAACAUAUCAGACAUAUAAUUCAUAAGUUUGGUCAGAUUAAUUCGUCAUGGCCAAGUUCUUAAGAUUCAUAAGCCUAUAUCAAAUUCAUAAAACAAAAAUGUCAUGGCCCAAGCAUAAUUGAGAUAUAGUAAAACCUAUAAAACUAUAUACAUCAUGCGCAAGUUAGAAAACUUACCUCCUGCCAUAGUUAUCAGAUUCAAUUGUACACAACCUUUCUACUGGAAUGCAAACAAAACCAACGAAAACAAGCGAUGCUUUAUCCUCAGAAUUUUCUAGUCUAUCCAACACUUAAAUUCCUGAGAGUAGAUGGUAUACACAGGCUCUGUUGUUAGACCAGGGACCCUCAAUAUUUUUCUCGAGAAAACGUGACUGUUAGUCAUCUCCCAUCAAGAUGACAUGUUUAAAUAAAAGAGGAAGUUAUGAGCCGUUAUCCCCUUAAUUUUAGUAAACCACCCAUAAUGUGUAUGAGAGAUAUUAGGAAGAGGUGUUUUAUCUUUAUUCAAAUUUUAAACCAAACCCAACGUUUUAAAAGUAAACUAAAUAAAGAUAAAUAUCAAUUUAAAUUAAAAAACUAAUAAUUAAAAUAAAUUAGAUGGCCACAUAAUACACGUUUUGAAAACGUGUCUAACAAAACCUUGACCAAAAAAUAACAAUAAUAAUAAAAAUAAUAAAAUAUAAAAGCCCAUUAGAUUCAUGAGUAAUUCACGUGAACAAUGGUUCACAAUUUCAUAAAUCGCAGGAAAAAUUCAUACGGCCGUUGCAGCGGAAAUAUAUAUACAUCACCAUAAUCUUUAAUUGAAAAUCACGAAUUCUAAUUAUUGGGCUGAUACUAAUUGUUGGAAUUUUUUAUAAUUUUCAUAAAGCUAAUAAAUCCUAAUUUGCAUAAACUUUAAUUCUUAAAAUUAUAAAAUAUCAUGAUUUUUACAUCAUCAUAAUUAAGAAAAAACAUACCCUGAUCCAUGAGAAUUUUUUUUGAUGAAAUAUCACUGUAAGGAAUUAAAAAUUAACAAAAUUGAUUUAUCUCUCUUGACCCUUAUAGAGUGAUUUACUUUCUGAUGGAGAGAAAAUUAAAGUGAUAUCCUUUUUAUAUUGGGUGGAGAGGGGAUCAAUUUUAAUAAAACCAUAAUUCCUACUUUCCAUCAAAGUGGGCAAUUAAUUUUAAAAUUUCAGCUCAUAAUUUAUUUUAUUAUUUAAAUCCUAAAUUAUUACUAACUUAUAAUGUGGCACGCGGGCCACUGUAAAAUAUUCCAACAUUAAUUUCGGCAAAUUUUAGCUAGCUUUCCCUUUUGGGGGGUCAAGCUGGCUUUUGGCUUAAAAUUUUCCACGAAGGAAAGCAAAGACACCAAGUCAAGGUCUUCCCAUCAAAUGAAUUGCUUAAACAACACGGCAAUGUAACCCCACUACUACUAGAAAGCUCUUAAAUAUAAUAUAAACUAGAAAAUAGAACCGCGCUUCAUGCGGUUCUGAAAAAUGAAUUUAGUAUUAUUUUUUUUAUUUUACAUUUGAUAAAACUGAUAAAAAAUAUGAAUUAAUUUUUUUUAAGAUGAGGCAGCCUUAUAAAAAAUAAAAAAAGCUAUUAACCAGCAAUACAGAUGAAAAGCCAAAUUUAAAAGAAAAUUUCUCUAUUUAUUAGAUAAUAGAGAAUAUACAAAUAUGAAAAAUGGUGAUGCCACAUCACCUCCUCAAGUCCCAACUUUAUAUAUAUACUAGAAAAUAGAACAGCGUUUCAAGCGGCUUUGAAAAAAGAAUUUAGUAUUAUCCUUUUUUUUUUACUUUACACUUGAUGAAAUUGAUAAAAAAAUAUGAAUUGAUUUUUUUUUUAAAUGAGGCAGUCUUAUAAAAAACAAAAAGAAAACUAUUAGCCAGCAAUACAAAUAGAGAAAUAACGCAAGAAAUAAAAUAAAAUAAUAGACUAUAUUAUAAAGUGAUUUUAUUCAUUUCAAUUGUGUAUGUACAAAACAAAAAUAUGGGCUCUCCUUUUAUAGCUACAUAAUCACUCCAUGAAAUUAAUGAAAAAUUAUGGAUCAUAAUUCCUUGUGAGAUAGUGGGAGUUAUAGGGAAGCUAAAGGUUGCUAAUGAGAGAUAGUGGAGAGACUAAAAGAUAUAUAUUAUGAACAUUUACAUUUAUUUUAAUAAAUUCAUAACAUUCCCCCUUGGAUGUUCAUUACAAAGAAUAUGCCUCAUUAAAAUUAAAAUCUUUACAUAAUUGUUAUUGUGUAAUAACAAUCAAAUUAAUUAUGAGAAGAUGAAAAGCCAAAUCUAAAAGAAAAUUUCUCUAUUUAUUAGAUAAUAGAAAUAUACAAAGAUGAGAAAUGUUGAUGCCACAUCACCUCCUUAAGUCCCAACUUUAUAUAUAUAUUAUAUUGUAUUAUUAUUGUUCCAUUUUUUGUUGAUUUUGGUUGUAAGGAAUUAAAUUAAUUAAUUUUUAUUUAGCAUUAACAACAAUAUAACAUGUAACAAUCUAACCAAAUUAGCAAGUAAAUAAACCAAAUAUUAAAUAUUAAAUUAAUAUGAAAUAGGGACAAAUAUUAGUAGAGUGAGUUGAGACCACGAGUGGUAUGUAUGUUUAACUUUCAAGUGUUAUUUUUUUAAUUUUAAAAAUUCAUUUGAGGAUCGGUCAAAGUUUUUUUAUAAGGCCCUACAUUGGGUCUGAUUCUUUGAGCCCUAACUCAGUCAUUAACUCCUUAAACUGAGGCUAAAGUCAUAAAAGUUAUGGUUAGAUCAAUUUGGCCAGGCCAAUAGUUGGGUCGAGCCUUUCUACCAUCGCUAGGAAGAAUUAUCGGGAUGAAAAAAUAAAUUUUAAUUCCUCUAAAAUAUUAAUAAUAUACUAGUAAUUAAAUAUUUUAAUGAUUAUUCAAUUCCAUAAAAUAGCCAAGACCUUUUUUUCCCCCUUGACUAAAAAUGCCGAAAGCAAGUCCACUGGAGGAGCCAUCAAUGACAUUGAGAAUUUAAAGACCCGAAGCAUUGAGCACGAAAGUUCUUGCCGACAAGAGAAAGAGGUGGUCAUGAUAUUUUCUUGGAAACAGAUCCAGUGCUCAGCUGAGUUUGUGCUGAGCACCCGAUCAAUGGUUAGCAAUUAUCUUAUAUAGACCUUAAGCAAUUUCUAACUAUUGAUAUGGUGCUCAGCACAAACUCAGCUGAGCACCGGAUCCUGAUCCUAUUUCCUUAGUUUUUGUCGGCCCAAAUUAACAGAGACAAAAUAUACCACACGAGCUAAACACUUUCCGGAUAACCCGGUGAAAUAAAUUUAGAGAUUAAGUGAAAAAACAAAUCAAACGAGUUUAUUUAUUGUCCUACAGAAAUGAAAACAACUAUUACAAAACCUAUAUCAAUUGCUUUUCGACUCAGGGUUUCAACAGUUUUCUGCCUUGGAAACGCCUUGUAAAGUAUUUGAUUCAAAACCUAACCAUCGCAGUUGAGACGAAACUUAUAACAAAAAUUACAACAUAAAACUCUGAAACUUCAUAAUUAGCCUAUUACUCUAAACUUUAAAGUCUAUCAUUUUAACCAUUCAAUUCCUUUUCUAAAACUCUUUUUUUUUUUUUUUUUUGGUUUCUUUGUUUGUAUCUCCCACUGUAAUAAUGCAAGUUCAAAGUCCACCGAGGGGCCACAGCAAACACUUAAUUGAUGACUUAGAAGACUUGAUGAUGAUCCAAAGCAACGAGCACGGAAAUUUCUUGCAGAAAUGUGAGACUGAGAUCAUAAAUCCUUUUCAAGCAUACUAUUACGUACCAAAUUCGAUUGAUGCAAACGUAUCAUAUGGGCAAACGGAGGACAUUAUAAAUGUCAAGCAAUAUAAUAACAUUCUCAUCAUAAGCACAUUUCCUUUCCCCAUAAUUAAUUCAUCACUAUCCACAGCAAUGACAUCAACCAUCAUGCGUGUUUCUGUUGCCCCUCUCUUUCUUGAGUUGUUUACUUCAGUUACCAUGAUCAACAUCAGCUUCUGCAUUGCCAACUCUAACGUGGCUUGCAUAGACAGUGAGAGACAAGCGCUUUUAAAGUUGAAGCAAGAUCUCAAUGAUCCUUCAAACCGUCUUGCCUCUUGGAAUAUUGGUGAUGGAGAUUGCUGUGCAUGGGAUGGUGUUGUUUGUAACAACUUCACUGGCCAUGUCCUUCAGCUCAACCUCGGAAACCCUGAUCCUAAUCAUGGGACGGGGUCAAAGCUGGUUGGUAAGAUAAACCCCUCUUUGGUUGACAUAAAGCAUUUGAUUCACUUGGACUUAAGCGGUAAUGAUUUCCAGGGAAUUCAUAUUCCAAAAUAUCUUGGUUCUCUUCAGAACCUUAGAUACCUGAAUCUCUCUGGAGCCGAAUUUGCAGGAGUGAUUCCUCACCAACUUGGAAAUCUCUCUAAUCUUCACUAUCUUGAUCUCAGUAAGAAUUUUUAUGAGUUACAAGUUGAAAGUUUUUUAUGGCUAUCUGGUCUUUCUUUGCUAGAGCACCUCGAUCUGAGUCAGGUUGACCUUAGUAAAUCCUCUGAUUAUUUACUCACGAUAAACUCACUCCCUUCUUUAAGAGUAUUGAAGUUGUCCUACUGUGAACUCCAUCAUUUUCCUUCAUUAUCCUCUGCUAAUUUUUCCUCCCUUAAGGCCCUCGAUCUUUCUGGAAACCAUUUUAAUAACUCUUUGUUUCAAUAUAGUAGUUGGGUUUUUGGUCUUCGUAAUUUAGUCUUUUUCGAUCUUGGUAAUAAUGAAUUUCAAGGUAAAAUCCCCAUUGGACUAGGAAACUUGACAUUUCUUAGACGUCUUGAUUUAUCUUCUAAUGAAUUCAAUUCUGCAAUACCUGGCUGGUUGUCUAAGCUUAAUGAUCUUGAGUUCCUUUCUCUUAGAGGUAAUAGCUUGCAAGGUAAGAUUUCAUCAAUGGGUCUAGAAAAAUUGACUUCUAUCAAAACUCUCGACCUUUCCUUAAAUUAUGAGCUUUCAGGGAAGAUUCCAACAUCGUUUGUACGGCUUUGUAAGUUGACAUCAAUCGAUCUGUCGUAUGUUAAAUUGAGUCAAGACUUAUCACAAGUUUUAGAUAUUUUCUCUGCGUGUGAUGCAUAUGCACUAGAGUCACUAGUUUUGAGGAGUUGUCAAUGUUCAGGUCACUUGACAAAUCAACUUGGGCAAUUUAAAAGUUUGAACAGGCUUCGACUAGGUAACAAUUCUCUUUCAGGUCCACUUCCAUCUGCUUUAGGAGAACUCACAUAUUUGACAGAUCUAGAUCUUUCCAGAAACAGGCUGAAUGGUUCCAUUCCAUUGUCUCUAGGACAAAAUUUAAACUUAGAAUAUCUAGAUUUGUCCAACAACUUGUUGAAUGGUUCUAUUCCAUUGUCUUUGGGAAAAUUUUCACACUUAGAGUAUCUAGAUUUGUCCAACAAUAGGAUGAGUGGAACACUUUCUGAAAAUCAUUUUGUCAAUCUAACAAAACUGACUUCAUUUUCUACAUCUGGUAACCCGCUAAUCUUGCAAGUCAAUCCGAACUGGGUUCCUCCUUUUCAACUCGAUACAUUGAAAUUGAGGUCAUGUCAUUUAGGGCCUCAUUUUCCAUCGUGGCUUCAUUCACAAAAGCAUUUGUCUGAUUUGGACAUAUCCAACACAAGAAUUUCUGAUACUAUUCCUCGUUGGUUUUGGAAUUCCAUUUCCCAAUAUAAGUUUUUGAAUCUCUCUAGCAACCAAAUCUACGGUGAGAUUCCAAAUUUAGAUUUUGAUAACCGUCCAUCGCCUCUUCUACCUCCCUCAUCUGGCAUACUUGAUUUUUCUAAUAAUGGUUUUUCGGGGUCCAUUUUUCAUUUAAUAUGUAAUGGGUUAAAGAGCAUUUCUUAUCUCCAACUCUCGAAAAAUUACUUUUCUGGGGAUAUACCUGAUUGUUGGAUGAAUUGGCCUGGCUUGGGUAUGCUGAAUUUAGGUAACAAUAACCUUACUGGUAGUCUUCCGGCUUCAAUUGGAACUUUAAGUUUUCUUUGGUCAUUGAACCUGCGCAAUAAUAGAUUGUCUGGAGUCAUUCCUGCGUCAUUUCAAAAUUGUUCAGGUUUGGUAUAUCUUGACAUGGAUGAAAAUGAGUUUGUCGGGAACAUCCCAACAUGGAUGGGGGAGAGAUUUUCUGGAUUGUCGAUACUCAUUCUUCGAUCAAACAAGUUUCACGGCUAUUUGCCAAUUCAACUUUGUCGUCUAACUUCUUUACAAAUUUUGGAUGUUGCAAACAACAAUCUCUCGGGAACCAUACCCAGAUGCAUCAGUAACUUCACUGCUAUGGCGACGACGGACUCAUCUAAUCUACAGAAUGCCAUAUCUUACGUUACAAUGAUGGAUGGGACCGAAGCUGCGCUGGAUGCAUCAGUUGUGACGAAGGGGUUUAUGGUUGAAUAUGACUCCAUUCUGAAUUUGGUAAGAAGCAUAGACAUUUCGAAGAAUAAUUUCUCGGGAGAAAUACCUAUGGAACUGACAAAUCUUAAAGGACUGCAAUCACUGAAUUUGUCCCACAAUUUUUUCACCAGCAAAAUUCCUGAGAAAAUUGGUAAUAUGAAAUCAAUUGAGUCCCUCGAUUUCUCAGCGAACCAACUUUCUGGUGAAAUUCCCCAAAGUAUGUCAAGUUUGUCAUUUUUAAAUCACCUGAACUUGUCCAACAAUCACUUGACUGGGAAAAUUCCUUCAAGCACUCAAUUGCAAAGCUUCGAUUCAUCCUGUUUUGCCGGCAACAAUCUAUGCGGAGCUCCACUUCCUAAUUGUACUGGGAAUAAUCCUCUUGUACCUGAAGAUCCAAAUGGAAAUGGAAACGAAGAUGAAGACGAAGUGGACUGGUUGUUGUAUCUAAGCUUGGCACUUGGAUUUGUAGUGGGUUUUUGGGGUUUCAUAGGUUCUCUACUUGUCAGCAGAAGAUGGAGGUACAAGUACUGUCAUUUUUUGGAUGGCAUUAUGGAUGAAUUUGGCUGCUUUGUAAGAAGAUGUUACUAGAUCUUUCCGUGCCUGUAUGUUUGUUGUAUUAUGUACUUGGGGUCGAGGAUGCAAUGUCACUCGAUCAUUACAAUAAAAGGAAAGAAUUGGACAUUGGAGCCCUCCAAAAUUACACUAUUUUUUCACAAUGUUUCAACAUUUAGAUCACCUAAGCAGGUGUCGAGAUUAAAUGAAUUUAAGCAAAAAAACUCAAUGAGAGAGCUAUUGAUUUCACAGUCCAAUCUCUACAUAAAAUUUAUGUUUCUUCGUUUCAGAGGGUAAAAAAUAAGAGUUGUCCAUUCAUUAGUCCAUCCGACAUUGCUAAUGAAGAACUGCUUUAGAUAAUUUACAAACAUUUUCUCUAAAUUAAAUUUGUAUUUUAGAAAAAAAAAAGUCUCACAAUAUUCCAAACACACCUAAUAGUUGAUUUUAGGCAGACUUUUUUUUUUCUCUGUCUCUCUCUCUCUUUCUUGAAUAGCACAACUUGUUAGGUCAAUUCACCUAGACAUUUUCUUGAAUGAGUGAAGAAAAUGGUGUUUGGUGUCAGUGAUAAAGAGAUGGAAAAAUUAGAUUGUUUAUGACUGAGUGACUGUGUGUGAUAGAGUAUUUGAACUAUACACAGUUAAUAUAACAUAGAUGAUUUUAGGCAGAGAUCGACUGAUUGUGAAUGCCUUUUGUGCUCAAAAUGACUCAAAUUCAAUUAGUAAUAAAAGGGUUAAGAGUUUGAUAUUUAACGGGGAGGUUUCUUAUUUCCAUUCAAACCUAAUUAAAGGAAAAAUAUAUAACAAACGUAUUUUUAGGCAUUGUGAUCCGGCUCAGGGAAAAAAAAAACUGAGAGUGAGAGAGAGAAAAGUUGAGCUAUUUUUGUGAAUUGACCUAACAAUUGGAUCACAAAUUUCACUAAUAUGAACUCCUUCAGGUUUGAAAAAAGAAUUACAUUGAAACGACGUGUCGGUUGACUCAAACGAGUACGGUACAAACCCUGCCUGAGAGUUUAGAGAUAAACCCUGGAAGCAGAGACAUUCAAAGCUAGGGUUUUGCAAAUUCUCAAAGACUAAACCGAAGAAGCCAAAUCAUGACACGACUGAGCACCGAGCAAAUUUUGAAGGACAACAAGACUGGCGAUCCCAAUUCCAUAAAAUCUCUGACUCUCACUCACAAAGCUCUCUCCGACGUCUCUUGCUUGACCGAUUUCAACAACUUAGAGAGACUCGACCUUAGCUCCAACAACCUCACUUCUCUUGAGGUGCCUACCAUUCAUUCAUUUCCCCAACACCCCAGUAACAAAUUUACGCCUUUAUCAUUUCUUGGCAUGAAAUUUCAUUUUUUUUAAAUUUUAUUUGAAGGGGUUGAGGCAUUGCGUGAAUUUGAAGUGGCUAUCAGUUGUGCAAAACAAAUUGCAAAGCUUAAAAGGAAUCGAAGGACUCUCUAAGCUCACUGUAAGUGUCAUCCCCUUGCUUUGUUCGUGAUGUUUUACAUUUUUUACACUUUUAAAUGGUUGCUUGUGAGAGAUUCUUGUUUUCCCAUGAGAAGGUUUCAAUGCUUAUUGUUUCUGGUGAUUUGGUUGAAAUCUUUUAUCCGUUUGUUAUUAUUGUCCAUUGGGACACUUGCUCGGUCUAAACUAGUUGUUUGAAGUAGUUUAGGUUUGGAAAUGAUGAGCUAAUUGGAUUAUUUAAAUUCACCUUGUUCUGUCUUCGAAAUUCAGGUGUUGAAUGCGGGGAAAAAUAAGCUUAGAUCGAUGGAUGAGGUGAUGUCUGUUGUGAGCUUACGUGCUUUAAUUCUGAAUGGUGAGAUUUAGACCCUAAUUGCAGCGCCCUUUUUGUAAGUUGGUGAUAUGAAAAUAUGGAAAUCAGUUCGUUUUUUAACCUUUUUUUUUUGUUGGGCGGGGUGGUUGUGCAGACAAUGAGAUUGUUUCGAUAUGCAAACUUUAUCAGAUGAAGGAAUUGAACACUCUUGGUACAGAUUCUUAUUUCUUCAUGUUCACACUUCAUUGUGUUUGAUAAAAUCUGUUCCUUGGCUGAUGUUUGUUAGUAGAUUGACAUUACAUGCUCUAGCCUAUGUUUGUUCAAGUGGUGUUGUCUAUAUAGAACUUUGGCGAGAAUGGGAGAGGAAUAAGAGCUGUAAUUCUUAGAGAAGUAACAAUUACAUUUUUCUUAGAGUCAAUAAUUUUUAACUCUAUAAAUUUUACUUGUUCUAGGAUUUGGUUUAAAGGAGUGGUUGGUUAAGGCAUGGUCGAAAGACUUUUGAGUAGAGAGCAAACCUGUUUGAUUUUGAGGAGAUAGCAAACUUGUGUGCAAUUCUUUUUGAUUUUGCAUGUUCGUGAUUGAUGAUACUGUGUUCAGAUCAAAGCAUUAUUGGAAUUCAAGUUGAUUCUUGGGAUAAAUGUUUGUUUCUCCUGCAGUUCUUUCUCGAAAUCCAAUUCGCAAAAUUGGCGAUUCUCUGCUCAAUAUGAAAGCUAUUACAAAGGUAAGCAAUGCUUUGGUCAUUAAUUGCCCUUAGCUAUUAUUUUGAAAGACUGUUGCUAAGGCUGUUAAUCAAGAUUGGCUCCAGCUCUCUCUCUCAAACUGCCAAGUCCAGAUUAUUGGUUCUUCGCUCAAGUCUUGCACAGAAUUGAAAGAACUCUGACUUGCUCACAAUGACAUUAAGGUAAAUCAUGUACCCAGUGGUCAUUUUAUGAUAGCAGGCUAUCCUCAAAUUCAUUAUAUUUUUUUUGUUUGUUAAUAUCAUGAUUGAUAUUUUGUUCAUUUCUUAAGUUGUCUUUCUCUGUCUCACUCUCUGAAUUGCCUAGACUCUUCCGGCCGAGUUGGCUUUUAAUAAGAAGCUUCAAAAUUUAGACUUAGGAAAGAACUUGAUCACGAGAUGGUCAGAAUUGAAGGUGAGGCAUUGAAAUAUUUGUUUCUUUUAUAUUUGUUUUCAUCAAGUUUUUUCUGUAUACUUCAUCACCAUGCAUAAUGGUAACAUGCUUGAAUAGCAGGUGCUACAGUCAUUAGUUAGUCUGAAUAACCUCAAUCUACAAGGAAACCCUGUAGCUGAAUAUGAUAAAUUGGCAAAGAAGGUAAUAUUGCAAUCAUUUUAUCAUGUUAAUCAUCUUUCAAGAAUUCUGCUCCUAGCUGGAUUAAUCUAUGUUCAAUAUUGUUGCAGGUCAAAAAUCUAUUGCCAAACUUGCAUAUAUUCAAUGCUAGACCAAUAGAUAGAAUCACCAAAAAUGAGAAGGACAAUAUAGUUGAUAAAGUUAAUGAUUCCUCAAAUAAUGCUGAUGACACGAUAAAAGUUCAUAUGGAAAAGAAAAGAGAUGGCACUAGAGAAACAAAUGACAAACCCUCAAAUAAAGAAAUUCAGUGGCGCAAAAGUGAUUCUGCAGCAGGGAAGAAAUUGAAAAAGAAGUCAAAAGAGCAAGAAAGGGAGCUUGAUGCUAUUAAUGAUGCAAUGAACUCUGGAGGCAUUGUGCCUGGUCGAAACAAAGAUGGCGAUCUAAAUAGUUCUAGAGAUGUUGAUAUGGAGAAAGAUCUGAAGCGGAAGAGAAAGAAAACCAGUGAAAAUCUCUCAAACAAAGACAUUCAAGUUGACGAU
rnacentral:lncRNA from 1 species